rnacentral:lncRNA from 1 species
UUUUUUUUUUUUUUUUUUGUGGAAUCAAAGAAUCAUAUAUAUGGAUUGCACUCUAUAAUUCGAAGGGUUUUAUCAAAAUUAAAAGAACUCUAUAUAUAUAUUCUCAAUGCUUUUAUUUAAGAUAAUAGAGGAGAAAGGACCUAUCAUCAAUUAUUUAGUGUUAUUUGAUCCCAAAAAGAGGUUCAACUAAAACGAUAGAGAAAGGUGGCUUUGGAGAAGUCUUGUUGAUGGGAUAGAAUUAUUGGAGGUCACUUCAAAAAAGCCUAUCACAAGUACAUAGAAACUCCACAAUGAUUUGAACCCCCAAAGCCAAAGGUACCACUAAAAAGUUGGAACAAACAUUGAUGCACUUUUGAGAGGUCAUAAACGAAAGAUCACACUCACUUUGUAUGUAAAUGCUACUUCAUAUAUUUCAUGUUACUUUUUUCGAAUAAUGAACGAAUCUUUCCACAUAAAGAUUUAGUAAUUCAGAAAGUGUAUAAUCGUAAGAACAAAGAAAAAUACUACUAUCUAUUAUCGAAUCCAUUAUAUUACUUCAAAUGUACCUAAUCACACUCAUUAUAUGUCAAAGCUGGUGGAUAAACGCCAAUAAUGUUUUAGAAAAGACAUGUAUAAGAUGGACCCAAUUUGAAAAGAAACAUUACUGUAUAGGUCAAAUAUUCAUUAACUACGGAUACAAUAGAUUUUGGCUUCAAUAGAUUUUUCAGUUUUAAUAAGAAGAUAAUUCUUGCGGCCAAAUCAUUUGCAUCUAUACAAUUUAAUUUUGUAAUGCUCUAUAUUUACAAUAACUAUGUUAACAAAAAACAAAACUCUAUAUAUAACUAGAAUUCUUAAUCCCAUAAGUAAAACCAUAUUUUCCCAACUUAAUUAUAACCACAUUCAUUUUACCAUAUGGCCUUGCCUUUGGUUGAAGAAACUAUGUGUUUUGGAUAAGACAAGCAAACUAUGAUGAAGUAGAAUGGUAUACUAAUGUUAGUAUGUACAUUGGAGAUAGUCUUAGGCAAGUUAGUAUGUAUAGAAAGUCGAAAGUCAAAAGUCAAGAUGAUUGUCUAAGAAGAGACACCAACGUAACAAGACAAGCUGGUUUGGUUCAUGAAACAAGACAUGUACAAGUUUACAACAACAAAAGUUAUGACCAUCUCUUUAAAAGCAAACAGUAUUAUUUUGGCACCAAUUUCUACAACCACACAUUACACGUAUAACGCAUAUAUACAUGCUCAUUUUCUUGUUCCGUGUUUCAUCUUGUUCACAUUUCUUCAAACACAUUAAAAUCCUCACUUCCAUCAUAAACUAUUCAAAAAAAAAAAUCAGAGUUUUUAGUCAAACCUAAGACAUGAAGCAAAUUCUCAUGUUCCGGUACAGUGAAGUAACCUCGUAUCUCAUUCUCACAUGUCGACGACUGUGUAUUGAGACCUUAUAUAUUGGCACGUGCGUUUGUGCACAAUUCUAUCAACAGCUAGUAGCUCAUAUGGUCUCCACGAUGCAUUUUGAAUAUGUAAUAUGUAAUAUGCAAAAUCAAGAGUUUCUUUUAUUUUUUUUCGUAUUGAACCGAUACUUUGGGGAUACAAAUAUUCUUUUUAAGUCUAGUUAUCCUGAUCAUGUGAAAAAAAUAUUAUACUGAUGCCAUAAGGAAGAAUAACAAAAUAUAAAAAAGAUAAGUACUGAUGCCAUAUGCACUUCUGCACUGAUACACAUGUAGAGAGCAUAGAAUCAAAGCCUAGUGAAGAAGUACAAUAACGUCAGCAGCAUUAUCCUUAAACCUCAAUGGCAAAGGGCACCUUAUUCCUUCCUAAAUCAAGUAAUAUUUCCAUGUGCCCUCUAUAGAAUAUCCAUUUACACAAUAAAUUCCACAUUCGUCGAACCAAUUAUUAAACUUUUGAGCAAUGUAGAGGUAGAUAAUAAAUAUUGAGAAUGAUGUCGAUGGAGGUAAAAGAAAAGCUAGCUGUAACAUACAACAAUCUCUUUCAAUCUUUUGAAGUCAAUCAAAAUCACAUGCGUGAAAAGACUAAACUCUCUUUAGUCUCUCUACCACAAAAGCUUUCGGCUACUUUGUAGGACAGUAAGUAUCAACAUCACACUAUAGCAGAUAGAGAGACACAGAGAAGAUCCAAUGGUUAUGGUUCGUAAUGUUGACGAGCUAAAAAUUUUGACCAAAGACUUUCACAAACUCUCUCAACAAAAAAAAAAACAAGCCAAUAUAUUACAACUAUUUUUAUCAAGACCUAUUCCUUAAUAUUUUAUAAUUAAACAACUUCUUUUAAGUACACAAUCAAAAAGUUUGGUGAUCAUCAAUAUGUAACGAAUACCCUAAAGAAAAUAUUACAAUGUCCCUUUAAAAAAAGGUUAAAUAUAUUUGUCCUCUAGACCGGGGGUGUGCGAGCUUUACUGGAGCUCUUAUUCAUUUCGACUGUUCGGUUGAACACUAGCUUGUCCGGUGUAGAAUCUUUGUCAACAGCAAAAUAACCUGUUCAAGAAAAAUGCACUCAUCUCAAGCUCUUUGGUUUUCAAUAAACAAAAAAAGGAAACAAACACUUUGGGAUAUAUGUUUUUGAUGCUUCAAUAUAUAUACCUUUCCUCUCGAACUGGAAUUUGUCCCCAAGGACAGCUUCUUUAAGGGUUGGUACAGCAAAAGCAUUUGAAACAACCUUUCUGGAGUUUGUGUUGAUGUCGUCGAGCCAAUUCUCUAGUUCUGAUGGGUUCUGUUGUUGUUUAAGACAAUAUAAACGGUGACAAGUCUUGGCUAAAUGAUCUAUAAAUUAAACAAGAAAAUGAAAGAAAAGAACAUAGGAAAAUUUGCAUACCUGCGAGUUAAAAAGUUUAUCGAAAAGGCGAAUUUCGACUUUCAAUGGCUCUUUUCCAGGGGAAGGUUCAGCAACCCAAUGUAAACAUCCCUGCCAAAUAAAACUCAAAAUAUAAAGACGAAUCCAAACAAGGUAAAAGAUCUUGUGUUUGUUAAAAUAAUUAGAACCUUUAGUUUCUUCUGCGUGGAUUCGUCAGCACGAACAUACUCUGCGUGGACCUCAACAAUAGUUUCAUUGUAAACAGCACGAACAACACCAAUGCAUUUGAUAGGGUAAGCAUAUCUGCAAAAACAUGAGCCAUCUUAUUAUGAUCUUUUAUCUUUUUCUUGUAACUCAAGAAAAGCUGCAUGUGUCUAUAUGUGUAGCGUUGCAUUUACUUUAGUUGAACUGUUUUACCAGGGGCAAGCCCAUAGUAAUCUUUUGAAUCCACCAUUCGGAAAUCAUCUCGUUCAAUGUAUACAACUCUAGAGAAAGGAACCUAUAUCAAGAACCAAAACCAAAAACAUUAUACUAGAAUUGGCAUUUCACAUUAUGUGUAUAGAUAAAAAAGUCCUUACCAAACAGAGUUUCUCACCUUGUAAAACACUGAGGGGUCGUCACGACCAUCGUACCACCUUUGUGCAUCAAACUCUAUGACUUUAUCUGAUUCCAUAUUGGUGAUGACCACCUUAAGAGGAUUAAUCACCACCAUGGUUCGGGGAGCGGUUUUACCUAACUCCUCUUUAAUAUGAAACUCAAGACGAUCCACAUUUAUCAUACUAGCAUCACUACAAUAUAUGAUGGUUUAUUAGCAAAAACAUAAUCAAAAUUUCUAGUGAACAAAAACAGCUAACCACAGAAAUGAACCUUCUAGUAAUGCCAAGUCCUCGUAUAAAAGCAUUGAUCGCGGUUGGCGUCACACCCCUCCGUCUUAAACCAGCAAGUGUCAUCAGACGCGGAUCAUCCCAACCAUUCACAUGAUUGUCUCUCACAAUGUGAUGCAACUACAACAACAGAAACAAGUUGAUAAAUAAUCAUGAUUCUCUAGAUGUUAAUGUAUGAUCAGGUUGAGUUUUGACCAACCUUACGCUUUGACAUCACAGUGUUGGUUAUAUUCAACCGUUAAUAUUCCCACACAUGGGGCAUGUAGAGUCCCAAAGAAUGUAACAGCCAGUAGUAAGAAGCACGACGAGUUUCAAAUUCGAGUGUACAGAGCUACAUAACAUAUAUACAUAAGAAUAUAUUUUAUAGAAAUCUAAUAAGACUAAUAGAAUAAGUUUAAGAAUCAAGAAAACUAACUGAAUGUGUUAUGUUCUCAAGAGAAUCAACAAUGCAAUGAGCAUAAUCAUAACUUGGGUAGAUAAACCAUUUGUCACCAGCAUGCGGAUGAGGCGUAAGCUGCAAAAAUAAAAAAACAGAGAAACAUGAAAAUCUUGAUUAUGCAACAAGACAUAAAACUCUGUUUUUUCUUUUUUCACUAACCUUUAUACGAUAUGCAAUAAGGUCAUACAUAUUACAAUUAUCAUUCUGCAUAUCCAUUUUCAUUCUUAGGGUAGCCUCCUCUUCUUUCAUGUUUCCACGUUUCAUUUCUUCAAAGAGUUUCAAAGAUUCUUCUAUAGGCCUGUCUCUCCAAGGGCUGUUCAGUUUCUUCUCCCUGUACUCUUUGAUCUCUUCUUUAGUCUGACAUUACAAAAAAAACAAGAUACUAUCAGAAUCAGUUCUGCGUUUAGUUUGAUUCUGAAGAAUCCAGUAUCAGUUUAAACUUUGUUCUGUUCAAACCUGGUGAUCAACAUAUGCGUGGCCGCUCUCGAUCAACUUCACUGCAAAUUCAUACAACUCUUGGAAAUAAUCACUAGUGUAUGUAAUCUACAAGAUAUAAAUAAAAGGUAAGGGUGAGACAACUCUAAACAAAAAACUACUAAGUUUAUGUAUGUUGAGUAUAAGAUGAUAAUAAUACCUUAAAGGGUUCCCAACCCAUCCACUUAACAAUUUCUUCAAUGUGAUCAAUAUACUCUCUUCUUUCUGCAUCAGGGUUCGUGUCGUCAAACCUGAGGAACCAUGAAAAAGAAUCGUAAACAAAUGUGUUUAUAGAAGAAACUAGAAUCAUAUACUAAAAGCUUAUAAGAACUAGCUCCUAUACCGUAGAUAACAACAACCACCUCGCUCCUUUGCAAGACCAAAAUUUACAAACAUAGCCUGAAAAUUAAAACAUAAUUUAACAUGUUGGUGUUACCAAGCAUACAACAUAAUGAUCCAUAAUACAGUAACCUCAUUUACAUAUAGACUUACCUUAGCAUGUCCGAUAUGAAGAUACCCAUUCGGUUCAGGGGGGAAGCGGGUGUAAACAUUUCCUCCAGUCUCCUUCAAAUGCUUAUCAAGAAGUUCUCUAGUAUUGCUAUACCUGAGAACAGAGCCGUCACUGAAAGGCACCUCUGUGUGAACCUGAUGAAAACAAUAUAACAAGGUUACAACAGAAUUACCAAAUAUCUUUUAUUUGUUUCACAAUGCAGUUUUGUUCCAUUUCAUCACAAUAAGAGCCUAUAAGUAAUACAAAACAUAUAUGGUCUCUAUUUAUAUUCUCAUGCAACGACUACUUGGAAGUAUUUAGAAAGACAAUACAAAUGGUAAAGUAGUUGUGCAAAAGACUAAAGGCAAAGUGAUACAUUACCCUUUUGUUAUGUUCUGGCUGAGGGAAUAUAGAAUAUGGAUUAAGCUCCUCUUCAGAUGGCUCUGAAGCAGGCUUCUCUUUUUUCUCCUUCUUUUUUGCUGGUUUCUCAUUAUCAGCUGCUGUCUUCUCACCAAGCACUUCACACAAUUUUUCACCUAUGACUUUCUAUUAAAACUUGAAUCUCAAUCAGUAAUGUCAAGAUUGGUAUUUUUGUCAAAUUAAACCAAGAAACAUAAUAUAUGCUUACAAUUAUAAUCUUAGGAUCUACCCAUGGCAACUUUUUCCGGACAUCUCCCAAUAAUUUACGAGCUACAAAACGUAAAUGCAUCACUUUGUGUGUGAAAGAACAAAGAAAUAACCACCAAAUAGAAGAGAAAAAAUAUCUUGGACCAAAGACUAACCUUCUCGGUAACGGUUCUGCAAUAUUGUGUUCUUGUUCUCUUCAAUGAUGUCAGAAACAGUUUUCUCAAUAUCUUCAGCUGAAACAUCAACCCCUGUUCCAAUAACAUAAAUGAAACUAUCAACACGUACUCGUCACUUCAAACACCUGUCUCAUGAUUGCAUCGAAAAGAUACCGUACCAACACCACAUACUUCUUCAAAUUCGUUGACGUUGAAGUCAUUAGACUCAAGAUUCUUAAAAUAUUUAAAUGCAGCUUCGAUCUGUGCUGAUAAGAUGAUAACUUAAUCUGCAUAAGUAUUAAUACAAAAGACAACCAAAACAAGUUUUAGAUUGUUUUUAUGGGACAAAAAAUAGAAGAAGAACAGAACAUGUAAACUGAUAACAUACCUUAGAGGACAUGAUGUAUUUGAUCAACUCUGAACGAUGCACAAGAGCAUCUUUAGGAAACCCAUUUGCAACCUAACAAAACAUCAAUUGGUACCAUUAGUAAACUUCAGCCACCAUUCUUGGCUAACAAGAAUCAAUUCUAAAUUAGGGUUUAAUUUAGAUGAACUCACAGAGUAAAGUAGAUCCCCAGUAGUUUUUUCACACCCAUCAGACACACCAGCCUGUAAACAAACCCUAAGAAGUCAGUAGAAUUCAAGGAGAUAUGUUGGAGUAUAGAACCAAACUGAUCAAGUUAGGUAUAGCGAUACUUAUAAGAGUGAUACAAAAGAUAACCUCGUAGAUGAUGUCGGUGAGAUCAGAUGCUUUAUCUUUGAAACGGAUGAUGUCGGUUGCGGUUUUCUCAUCCAAACCAAUCUUUAGGAAAAGCUCCUUAGAGUUUGCUGAGUUUUCUUCUUUAACACUCAUCGUCUUCACCCUAGGGUUUUACAAGAGGCCAACUCAGUAGCAUAAUAAAAUAAAAGUGAAAAAAAAAUAUCAUCCUGACCUUGAGACAUCAAAAGAAUCUAUAUGCAACAUAAAAUCCAGGAUUUUUAAAUUACCGAGUUGGUAUAACUGAUGGAGAGAAGAGAAGUGAAGAGGAAGCAAACGAGACUGAUCAGCGAGAGAUGGUGAAGAGGAGGAAACUAAAACGAGGAAGAACGUAACCCUAGAGAUGGUGAAGAGGAUGGUACAAGUAAAUCAAAUACGAACUCACAAUUUUGAAGAUAGCACCGGAGAUUGAAUAAGAAGGUUUCGGUGUGAUGAACGAAAGAGGAGGAGAGUGGUUUUUUUUAAUACUUUUCAGUUUGUGAUUUUUAAGGGUUUGGAAAAUAAAAGGAAAUACUCUUUAUGAAUUAGAGGUUUUGAAAUAUGUUUAAAGAAUUUUCGAUUUUAUUUCUAUUAUUUUGCCAAUUGUGGUGGGUGUUAAUUAACAUGGACAGCAAAAGAAUUAAAAUAUAUAGAUAUGUGUAUAUAUAGAUUAUGGAAUAUUAGUUUUUAGACGCGCACAUACUUAAAAAUUUGAGAAUUAAACUCUCAGCUGCACUAGAUCAAGAAUUAAAAUAGAAUUUGUGAAAACAGAGUAAAGAACAUAGACACAGAGAAUAAUUUACGAGUUUGCAUGACUCGAUUGAUAUGAUUGAACCUACGUCUCAGCUUUGUUCGUAUUUAUACCGUUCAUCAAUUACCAAAAUCAAUAUAAGAAAAUUAACAAAAAUCUAAGAUGCUUCUCUAGAUCGAUCUUUGUUCGUUAUAGGAGCUAGAGAUCGGAUCAAACCACAACACACAUGCUCUAAAGAUUAGUAUAUAUAUACUCACGUACGUACGUGAUGAUCUAUAUAUUCUCUUCACAUGAUUAGAGCAAAUGGCUUCAAUUAAUUCACAUAAACAUCUCCUGACUAUUCAUUUACUAUGUAUAACGAUGUCGCCAGCAAUAAAUAUACUAUUGUUGUAAAAGUAUUAUUGGUCUAGUUACGAUUGAUUUAGAGUUAAAUACUUAUAUAUGUACCUUAGUUUAUAGAUCAACAUUUCGAUCUUAAAUAAUACUGUAUAUACAAUUUUUAUUACAGAUGAUUGAGCGACUUUAUAGCUGCAAUGUUUCAAACUAGAAAACAUGCAUGCAUUGCUGAUUAACAUGUUGUUCAGUUUUAUCUAAGUGGAUAUUACUACUGUCCUUUACUGACAUAUGUGAUAGUGAAAUAUAUGUAUAUUAGAAUACUGUAUCUAAGAAAUAAGAUAUGGCAAUGAUCAAGUACAAUGAAUCAAAGGAUACCGUCGGUUUAAUAAUAAGUUUGGUACUAUGUAGAUUCAAAAUACAAACACUAUUAUCAGAUGCCUUUUCCAACAUAAAGCUUAAAAGAUAAACAGAAGGAAUCACUUGGUCGAUAUAAUAUUACUUUUCUUGAAAUUCUACUACCAAAGAAGAAAUAAUCGUUAGCAAAAUCAACAGUUCAAAUUUUUUUUUUUUAAAUGAAUCCUCUCUUUGUUUUAGAAUGUUAUCACUCUAUGAUAAUGAAAAGUUUGGUAUUUGAGAAAACAAUAACUUUAUUUACGAACCGACUGAACAAGAGUGAUGAAUCUAGACUUAUUUGGACGAAUAUGUAAUGUUUUUUUUUUUUUUUAAUGUAUUGUGUGUGCAAGUCGAGGACCUCAAAGUGAUCACCGAUAAGAGUAUUCGUGCGACUUGCAUCAUAUAUAUUAACUUUCAUAUUCUUGAUUAUAUAUAUUAACUUUCAUAUUCUUAAACAGUUAGUUAAAGAUAAUAAUUAAAGUUAGUUGAUUGUAAUAAUAUACUAUCAUUUGUCUUAUAUGGAUUAUGCUGAACACAUCAACAAUAGUUUGAUGUUAUAUAAACUGCUGAAACACAUCAACAUAACUUUAGUAAGCAUCUUUUUAAGAACGAGGACAAAAAUAUUAAGGGUGUGUUGGAGAAAUAGUACAUUUUUGAAACUUAAUUAUAGAACUAGUACAAUCACUAUAUUUACAAUUAGGAAACUAGUACAUUAUCACUAUUUGCUACUAUUUGAUUGACUUUUAAGCACUCAAAAAACAUAUUAUUUACAAGUAUGCUAUUAGAAUAAUUAUAUAAUGAUUAUAUAAUAUAAUUCGUACAUCAUAUUUUAUGUACAGAAGUGUAAAAACAUAUAUUUGUACAAUAAUAAAAAUAUUACACAAUAACAUCCGUACAACAUAUUAGUGUACGAAUAUGUACAUAAAUAUGCAUAAAUUCAUAUAUCAUAGUAGUUGUACAGAUAAAAAUGUGUAAUUUUUUAUACAUGCGUACAUAUAGCAAGCUGUACGGGGUAUUCUAUACAUCUAAUCAAGUGUACACAAACGUCUGUACAUAUACUAAAUUGUACAAAUACGUCUGUACAUAUACUCUGUACAUCUAAUCAAGUGUACACAAACGUCUGUACAUAUACUAAAUUGUACAAAUACGUCUGUACAUAUACUCUGUACAUCUAAUCAAGUGUACACAAACGUCUGUACAUAUACUAAAUUGUACAAAUACGUCUGUACAUAUGCUAAAGUGUACAAAAAAAUAUAUACUUAUGAAAUAUAUUUAAACUAUACUAAGCAAAAUGCAUAUCAAAUUAUUGAGAAAAAAACAUAGAUUUUUGUGAAUCAAAAAAAAGUUUGAAAAAAAAUUACAAAAUCAAGAAUUUUUAGUUAUUAGAAUGUUGGGGUAAGAAUAUUUAAAAAAAUAAAAAAAAAAAAACAAAAAAAACAAAAAAAAAAACGAAAAUCGGAAAACAAAAAAAAAAUGCCCUCCCUUGUCAUUUUUUUUCUCCUUCUUUUUCUAUCUCUCAAAUUCUCUAUCUCACAAAUGUAUUACUUUGCCAAUUUUGAAUAGUAAAUGUAUUACUUCUCCAAUUAAAUUCUCAAAAUGUACUAAAUAUCCUAUUAGUCCAAAUAUUAAUGGGUAAAAUAUCUUUUUUUUGUAUUGGUUUAUUUUGGCAAAUAGAUUGAAAUCUCAACAUUACUUUUACUAUUUUGUUUUCUUCUUUCACUCUUCCUUUAUCUUGCUUUCGCUGUUCCUCUUUUCUUUUUCUUUUUGUUUUAUUGUGAAAAAACUACAACAACUGAUUAGUCCCUCCAUCUCCUAUUGUCUCCCUUUGUUCGUAAGAACAUUUUACAAAUAAAGAAAAGGUUAAGCUGCCAUUUUUGACUUGAGAAUCUUCAUUUGUUCUUUCACUUCUUUGACUUCAAAAUCUUCUCCAUUCUUUAACAUCCUUUUCAAAUCUUCAAGGUUUCUUUACUCUUUUUUCCCGGGCUUUGGCUCUUGAAUGAUAUCAAACGAAGGUAUAUACAUAGAUAGAGAGAGAGCUAGAGAGAGAUAUAUAGUGUGUGUGUGUAAGAUAAAGAGAAAGAGAAAGAGAGGUUAUGGCUAUUGACGUUUGUUGUGCGGAGGCUUCUGGUUCUGGAAUUAGUCCAAGAAUCUCAUUCUCCUACGAUAUAGACUCAACGGACGACGGUGAAGUCAGAUUAGACUCAACACUUCUUGAAUCAGGUUCAGAGUUCGAUUUCUGCUUUGGCUCAAGUUGUUCUGUUCAAGAAGUUUCUCCGGCUGAUGAACUCUUCUCCGAUGGCAAGAUUCUUCCCGUACAGAUCAAGAAAGAUUUACCACAGCCAGUACCCUUCCGUGUUCAAAGAUCUGCUUCUCUCUCAUCAUCAUCUUCGUCCUCUUCCUCUUCCUCUUCUUCCUCAUCGAGAGCACCAGAAAAAAAGAUGAGACUCAAAGAGCUUCUAUUGAAUCCUGAAUCUGAUUUCGAAGACAAGCCAAGAGGACUGUUCUUGCAGUUCAAGAGAAGCAUAAGUCAAAACUACGACAAGAGCCAAAACAGCAAAGGGCUGAUCAGAUCGCUUAAUUUCCUCUCAAGAAGCCACUCAACAGGCUCUGCACCAAACCCUAAACCUAGCUUACUCCCCAAGGAAACCAAUCACCCACACAAGACUCAUCACAAUCUUCCUAAACACACGUCUCCAUUAAGAAGAUCAGCUUCGCUCUCAGCUUCUUCAGUCCCUUAUCACUCGAAGCCACAAGGCAGAAAGAGUUUCGGAAACGGAAACGGUGGGAUCCGAGUCAGUCCGGUCCUGAACUUCCCACCUCCGACGUUCAUCUCAAACGUCGCCGACGGAUUCUUCAGCAUUGGAUCUCUCUGUAGUGGUAAGACAAACACAAAGACAAAAUUAUGAAAAACAUCUUUUGGAAUUUUGUGGCCGGAGAGGGGGAAAAAAGUUCAAACAAAAAAUGUCUUUAUUAUUUAUUUUUAUUUUUUUCUUACUGUGUUGUAUAAUGAUGGAAUAUUAAUAUAGACAGCACAUGUGAAGAUUAGACAGCAUGUGGGUUUUGUCUGUGAUUUCAAAAACCAAAAAACAAGAAUAAUUCACAAACUAGGAGGCGUAGCAGAAGCAUAGGAACGCCUUCUUCGUUGAUUCAAGUUGAUGUUGGAUCUUUGUGGUCAUAUCAUAAGAUUAGUUUUGUAUAACGCGUAAAUGAAAAUAAGAUAAAAAUAUGUAAAGAAAUAAAAAAAUGGGUCGUCGUGGUGAUAGCUUGAUGAUUAAAAGAUAAGAUACAUAUAUAUACAUGAAAUCGUCGUGGUUGACUUUGACUGGCAUUUUACGUCGCUCGAGAGGUCGCAAUAGAGUUGGGAUGAUAGGCUUCGUUAGACUUGGGUUCGGUAAUUAAGUAAUUAGUUAUACGAGUCAGCUUAUAAAUUAUAGUUUAAUUGUAUAAAAAUAUUCUUGAUAAGUUUACCCUUUUACAUACACAUCGGUGACAUAUGAUAUUUCAUACGUUAAAUAUGUCAAAAUGAUUAACAACUAAAUUGCCAUACAAAAUGUUUUACCUUGGUAAACAAACUUGUAAACUUAGACAUGAGGUUAGUCCCAAAAUUCUACCCAUGGUUUCUUUAAUUUGUAUUUAUGAAUGGUACUGUAGAAAUUUAUUAUAUAGUUUUAUUAAUUUAUGUGAAACAUGUCAAAAAUGACAAUUUUUUGUUAACGCGUAGAGAGUAUGUAGAAUUAGUAAUCAAUUGAUUAAUUUACAUUAUCUUAUAAACUUAAACUUUCAAUUAAUAUUGUUAUUGAUAUGAUUUAAACUUAUUCUUUUUAAUUAUUGAACUUUUGGACUUAGAAAACAUUUAAAUUACUUUGGGACGGGUUAUAUGAUGAGACGAGUUUGGAUAGAAAUUAAUAGAAAUUCGAAAUAUCAUUAAUCCGCGGUGUAUUAUCACUUUAUUAAAAUCAUUAACAUGAAAAUAUUAGGCAUAUCAUUCUAGGUUUAUAGAAUUAUAAUGGUGUGUAAAAAAUUGUUAAUCGUAGUAUUUUUUAAGAAACCAUGAGGUAUAUACUAAUUGGGCUUGGGCCUGAAAUUACAUUGGAUCAACGAAAACAAACAGGAGAAGAAAGUGUUCGCCCUAAUCUGGCCGCCGAAAUUAUCUUAUUUUAUAUAACAGUGAUAGGCAAAGGUUAAUAUAGGAAAUACAAAAUCUCAUUUAUGUAUUUUUUUUGGUCAAGAAAGUCUCAUAUAUAUUUUUAAGAAGUGAUUAAUUUUUGCUUAUCUAUCACAAUCAAAUUUACCUUUUUGAAUCUGUUUUGGUAAAAUAUUACAAGAUUUUUCAUAUAAAAAAAUUUAAUUUAUAUACAAUCAAUUAGAUGUCUAAAAGGGGUUAUAUAUUCAUAUGUAUAUUUAAGAUCACAUAUGUUUAAUAAAACCGCAAAAUGGGAAACUCGGAAAAAAUAAAUAAUAUAGUGUGGCUGAUAAGAUUUAUUUUCAAAUAUAGACUAUUGAAAUUCUCUAUGGUAUCUAAAAAUACCAAAUUUACCAAACAUUCCAAACAAGUUAUUCUUUGUGACUUCACAUUUUGUUUUGUUACGUAAGAGAUUGUAGGCUGAAAUCUAUACAUCUUCUAAUAUCAGAGAUAUACUCCAAGUGCAUUUUAAAAUUUUUUAUCUCGAAUCCUAAGAUAACAAUUUAAAUUUUUUUUAAAUUGAUUGGUUUAUCUAUAUAUAUUAUUCAUGUGUUGGUUGAUCCUUUCUAAGAAGCUGAUUAUAGUUUUUGAAAGUUUUGAACGUUCUAUCAAUAACCAAAAAAAAGAAGAAUAGUAUUUUUGUAUUUAGUGUUUUUAAAAAAUAUCGGCAAUAUGAACAUAAAGUUAAGUUUUUAAAAUAAUGUUUACCAUAGCCAUUUAGUUAACUAAAAUAAUCUAUAAAAAAAAUUAUAGUCUCACACUGUUAAGUUUUAAUUAUUAAAAAAAAAAAUACUCUUAACACAUAAAAUUAAGAGUCUUACUAGUUGACCUGACAGUAGCCAUUGGUUAAAGAAAUUGAACCAGACCGAAAAUAGCAAACCGGUAGAGACCGAGUCACACUGAGUGAAACAAUCCAACGCGGGAAAAACGAAUGCCACCACACGGAAUCAAUUAGUCCACUCUUUGUGUAUAUAUAAUAAGCACACCCGCCUUGAAUUGUAUUAUUGACAUUUGGUUCAUUGACACUUUGGUACACGCUCUUGCCAAAUUUGCUGCACCUUCUACUAUACAUAGACACCCAAACUAAGUAAGAAUACACACAAAAGUUGUUCCAAGAGAAAAGGCGAUUCCGCGCAGUUUGAUUCUGAACAGGCUAGUAAUCGAUCGUCGAUAGGUAGAACGUCGAAAAGGGCAAAUCAUCGAUAGGCGAACGAUAUAAAAACAAGGAAUGAGAAACGACACUCAACAACAGUAUAAAUCUUUGAGCUUAGAUCACAACACAAAAGCAAAAGAUUUGGUAAAAAUGUGAAUCCUAUUAUUGAUUAAUAUUUGGCUUUUCUUUGCUGCCUUACUGAAAAAAACAAAAGAGUAUGUUCUAAAUUCUAAUGAAACAGAACCUACUUUUUGUUCCCAUAUCUUUGUACAGGUUAUUUUCUCAGCCAAUGAACAGACCGAAGAAACCCAAAACUAAACAAAGAAUAAUUAAAAGAAACACUAAAAAAAGACCAAAUUCACAAGCUUCAAGCCAUUCCACAAGUCAGCAAAUUAGCCUACGAGAGAACUUCCUGCAACCCCAUCAUCAUCAUCACCUCUGCAGAAUCAAUCAGUAAUCACAAAUUUAGCCAAACACACAUGAUUUGGUUUACAAAAUACAAAUCAAGAAAACAAGAUCAUACCUUUCCCCUCUCAGCUUGGUCUGGAACAUUGUAAAGAUCUUCAGUAACUUCAGUAAUAUAACAAGCUGGAUUCAACAUCUGCAACAAACAAACCCAAAAUCAGUAUAAACACUUUCACAUACCAACCAACGAAAUCAAUACAAAAAAGAAUCGAAUUUUUCGACAUAUACAUCGAUCUGUUUCUGAACGGUUCUUGAUCGUUUCUUCGGCCUGCGCGGUGGUCGUUGCCCCGUAAUCUUGAUAUAAUCUUCUUCAAUCUCUUUCUUAGACAAAGUAUACAACAAUCUCAUCCGAUCUCCCGUAACCGAAUCCUUCACUCGUUUCUUCUCCUCAAUCCCUAACCCCUUACUCUGAUUCGAAUCAAUCCUCGGAAUCGGAGCUUUACAAGCAGCUCUCCUCUUCCUCAAAUUCCACGGCCGUACCUCCACCGUCGCUCCCAACGCUCCCGGCGGCGAAACCUCUCUCUCCGCCGGAGACUCCUCCCUCUCCAUCUCCGGCUCUUUCUCUUCUUCGUCUUCUUCUCCGAGGACUUGCUCCCUAAAAAUCGAUUCGGUCAUCUUAUCAGCAACGUUUCUAAGAUCUAACAUAAUCUUCUCCCUAAACUCUUCGAUUCCUUCUCUCUCAGACGAUUCAUCGACCUGAAACCGUCGAUUCCGAUGAUCGAAUUCGGAAUUCGAAGAUCGGCGUCGGAGUCGUUGAUCACCGCCGGAGCUUGAACCACCACCACCACCGCCGUCGGAAUCAUCACCGACCUUCAUACACCGUAGUUGUCUUCGAGUGCCCCAUAAGUUCGGUAACGAGAAAUUCGAAAGAGUCUUCGAUCUCUCAUGUCCUCCCGUCGUCGCCAUUAAACCUAAACCUUCUCUUUCGUCUUCGUCUUCUUCGUUUAGAUUUUUUUUUUUUUUUUUUUCUUUUCUUCUCUGUCUGUCGCUUUUGAGAGAAACGGAGGAAGAGUUUGUUUAUAUACGAAGUUCCGUUUUUAAUAUUGAAGGGUAGUUUGGUAAAUUAUAAAUUAUGUGUACAGUUUUUGCUAAAAUACGCUGUGAGUGAAUUAUUUUCCCGGGUUUGAGAGAUGUCGGUUUAAGUGAUGGGAAUGGAUUAUAACCGUUCGAUUGUUUUUGAAUUGUGAUUGUAUCCGUAGAUCUUAACUCAUUGCACAAUCUUUGUAGAAUCUAUAACUCGUUUAAAGAGUUAAGUUUUUUUUUAAUACGUACUUGUGGAGAAACUAUAAUAAAAUAUUUUUUUUCCAGGUUUGUUUAUAUAUAUUUUAAUAUAAAAUUGUCACUUAUACCUAAACUAUCCUCACGAAUAUAUGAAUUUACAUUUUAAAUCAUUUUAAAAGUUAAAUAAAGGAUAAUUAAAGAUCGAUUUUAGGAAAUGUAAAUAGUCAUAUAGAGUAAAUUAGAAAGAUUUCAUUUUAUUAUUCUAGUCAAAGGUUUUUAAUAUGUUGAAUAUGGAUUUUUGUUCAAGUUAUUUACUUUUAAGAAUUCUUUGUUUAUAAAUAAGAUAACAUAAUCUUAAAUACGAGUAGAUGAGUUGACAUAUUUCGAUUUUGAUAGGUAUUUGAAUUUUAAUCAAAUGUCUUUUAAUUUUAAUGUAAACUCUUUUAUACCAAUUUUUAUAAAUUUUGUGUUCAUGUUUCAACAUUGAGAUUUUGUUUCUAUAUAACUGAUUAUCAAUAAAUUUAAACCAUGGUAUGAUGUUGUCCGAUAAAUGAACAUAUUUCAACCAUAUCUUAAUAUGUUUAUUAAUUUGUAAAGAUGAUUUUUUGAAGUUGUAAGUCAAUUAUUUUCAGCAAAUUAAUGAGCAUUUUCGCAUUGCAAUAUUUUUCCUUCACUUUCGAGCUCUUCGGGAAGGAAAUGCAAUGAUGUGUCAAUUGCUUCACUUUGACAAACGGGGUCAACAAAGCCUUGAUUAAAACAUUUGAGAAAAACAAAUACGUGAAAAAUAUUAGAGAAAAAUACUUAAUUUUUCAAGUAUUCGUUUUCAAGUAAUAUAAAGGAAAACAAAUAAAUACUUGAAAAAACACUAGAGAAAACUAAUUAGAGGAAUUAUCUGAUAUGAUUUAUAAUCAGAGAUUAGAAAGCACUUUAAUCAUCUAAACACUUCAAAUAAUAACGGUGUCCAGUUUUCAGUCAGCAGAAAUUCAAGUGACAUGUAGUUGUUACCGCUAACAUUGAUUGGCUUGUAGGAUCAAACCCAUAUUUCUAACUUGGUCUAUGAGACUAAGAUACAUUGAGCAAUAAGAAUAAUUUUUCUUUCUUUUUUGGGUUUAAUGUUAAGAUCAAUAAAACUAAGAUUACAUCCUAAAAUAAUUAUAUAUGACAUUACGAUAUUUGGCUAAACUAUGAAAGAAUAUAUAUAUUAAUUAGUUUCAGGCAGCUCGGUCCACGACAUAAAGAUUGUGAAGCUCUUGUGAAGCUAUGGAUCUAUGGUACGUAAAAUUGGUUAAAAGAAAGAAAUCACAGCCAUACUUUUCUGAACCAAACCUUUUUUAGCUUAAAGUGGCAUAUCAUCCACCGUCACAACCACGAAUCAAGCUUUGCUUCAGUUUGUAAACUUUAUUUAUCUCAAUCUGACGUAACCACUAUUUUAGUUUAGACUUAAACUCUAUUUAUCCUAAAUCAAAGUUUUUGUUUUACAAAUCCUUAAUUAAAAUAUAAGAACUUGUGAAAAUUCAUUCUUUUCCCUUAUAUGCCACGAAAAAAAUAUUUGUGUGUAACAAAUUCGAACUUAUUACUAAGAUUAUACAAAGGGUAAUUGAUACAUCUUCAGAAUAUAUGUGUCAGCAGCAAAGAACAUUGUUUGCCACUUCAAACCUAUAUGAAAAGGUAACUUUAAAUAUUACAUUUUGUUAGAAAAGUAUAAACUAUAUUGAAAAGGAACCUCCAACGGCUACUUACUAUACAUACAAAUAAUUGAAAAAAGUAGACAACCGAACCGACCAUGACUUUAACAGCUUGGCUUGGCGCUCCUGCUUAGAUCUAAAAAACUCAAAAACUUUUCAUCUUUUAUAAAUCUUGAACAUUGAUGUCCUUUCCAAGAACUAAACUCUAAAGUACUCUUUUAUGUCAAAAUGUCUCAAAGAAGAAGACCUAUUUUCCAAAGGGUCACGAAACUACUAAAAGUAUCGAUCUUGAGAAGACCAGCCAUCCCUAGACUCAAGCUCAUUCCCAUAAAACGAAGAAGAUCAUCCAAAAGAGUCAAACUCCUUCAGCACUACAACUAUAAGUUUCUCCAAGAGUAUCAAUUCUCGCCUUCACGUACAUCGCUUAUCCGUUGUUGUAGGAAGCGAAUUCGGGUAUCUAGAUCGAGUCUUAAACGCAUUUACGAGCUAUUGUUUCUUUCUCGGUGCAUUGGCUGGAACGAUGAUACAAUAACGCAAAGUUGGAUGGAUAUGGAGCCUUUCCAUUAUGCCCUCGGAGUUGCUUCUCCUGCAAGGGAGCUUCCGCAGCCGUUGGAUUACUUUAGCGAGGAUGAUUCGAUUGAUCUGAAGGCUGAGAGAUUCAUUGAAAAGUUCUACGAUGAGAUGAGGAUGCAGGCGCGGGAAUUUGCUUGAUUGACCAAACUUUGUUUACUUUUUUGAAUUUUGGAAUAUUAUAUUUUCUCUUUGUUAAUUUGUCUUUGCAUCAUAUAUUUGAGACCUUGGAGACUCAUUUAUUUCUUCACUCUGUAUUUGAGUAUCUCUGAUUCUAUCAGUUUACAAUAUCAGUUUUAUCACUUCUUGCUUGGUGGAUUGAUGAUUAUAUGGAAUUUAGAAUUAGAGGCUCUUGUAAACACCAAAAGGAAGUAAACAUUGGGCUUUUCGUCUAAUUGGGCCCUGUUUGAAUUUGAUGUUCACUUCUUUGAAAAUGAAUCCCUCUUGGGCCGUCGAUGUUCACGUCGUCUAAAAUUUUCAAGGUUGUGGACUCUAUUGGGCUGUCCAUUUAUUGCAUGUUCGCAUGGUGCAGUCUAUAUAUUAUUAUACGCAGGUUAGAUAAACAUUUAUACGAGGAGAAAGAUAAAGGGAGAGUUGUUGAAGCAACGAAUGAGAGAUCGACAAGAGGAAGACAUGUCUUUUUACUACUUUGGCUUCGUAAAGUGUUCUGAAACUGGUAGGACAGUAUCGUACGCUAGUCCACUUCAAUUAGUGUCUUCAUAAGUGACAGUAUCAGUAUAUUGUUAUGUAUGUAUUGACCAAGUACAUACGUGCACUUUUGUUUUUAGUUUUUUUGGGUCCUCAUGCCACUUCGCUUCCCAAAAGAUAUCUUUAUGUGGACCAACUACUUAAGCUAUGAACUCUAAAAUUAGCAAACAUUUUACGUCCCACUCCAUGUGAGUUUAAAGUUAUAGAUUCUUCUUUGGAUUGUGCCUAUAUACUACAAGCAAUCAGUGUUUUCAAACUCAACCAAGAAAUGUUCUUGUACCUCAAUUAUGUUAUUUAUACAUGAAGGGCCACUAUUUAAAGUUUAGUUAAUAGGCCAGUACAUCAAUCUAAAUUCUAAGAGCAUGUUCUAUUCAAAUCCAUAGAACGUAUGUAUUUAGGUUGUUUCGUAUACACAUAUAGAACUUGUAACUUUCUCAUUUGUUUAUCAAUGUACAUGUAACUUCCUCAUUUGUUUUCAAUUUUUCUAACUAACGAGAAUCUUAAAUAAAAGAGGGAAAAUUAAAAGGCGUAUCCCCGACAAGAUCUAGUACUUUUAUUCUUAUCCUAUAUAGAAUUGAUCCAUCGACAUCAUAAUUGUAACUACAUUGCAAAAAACGUUAAAAAGAGAAAGGAACUUUCUUUGGAUAUACUUAAGCCAUAAACUUACAUGGAACCAACGAGGCUUCGACACACAUCCAACGCAUCUAUCUUCUCUUUCCAUAUUUCACGUCAAACAAAAGCCAAACCCUAAGGGUUGUCCUGCUUUCAAUCACUUUCCACGUAAGCCCUAUCGUGUUUCUUAGAUGGAAUCUGAAUUUUUCAUCUUAGUGCUUUGUCCCUAACCUACCACAAUGUACUUUAACCACUACCCUAUCUCCACAUUACUCCGAAACUAACAAUUGUUGUCUUGGUUUGUUAGAGAAGGGAAACCGAAACAAAACAUGUGUUAAAGAACUUGUACCAACAAUGUCAAAAAUAAAUAAAUACAACGAACUUCUACCAACACAACAGCCUGACGCUUGCUUCCGCUAAUCCAAUAUUUUCAUUCUUUAUGAAACAUCAUUUAGGAACUAAAUUUUAUCAAAAAAAAUACAAAUACAAAUUAAACAAAAAAUAUGCUUUCAUAAUUUUUGAUAUAAAUACAACAAUGUUAUGUUUUUCUCAUUAAUGUGAACAAACCUUUUAACUAGUAAGAGAAAUUUCUUGUAAUUUCUUGUAGUAAUUGUGUUUGCUCUACAAUCCGACUCAGUGGCGGAUCCAGGAGACUUAUUAACCAAUGGCACAUAUUAAAUAUACCUAAUAAUGAAUACUACAUUAGUAUACCAUAUGAUAAAAAUAUGAAGUAAAAAGGUAAAAAUAGUCCACAUGAAAGGUUAGAACACCCCACCUCUCAUAUUAUCUACAUGUAAACAUUACCAAAUGAACUAAUAUGAAACUAUUGUGUAGAGUUAUUCAAUACAAAAUAAAAAUCAGUGUAGGGCACGUGCCCAACCUACCUAUAACGUAGUUCCACCACUGAUCCGACUGCAAAAUGCAUGAUAAGGACCAUACAAACAACUGUUACGGUGUUACCAGAGAAUCUGUCAUCGCCAGGUUAAAAGUCAUCAAGACUACUAUCUACUGCAGGCUAAGUGUAUAAUAAAGUAGAAACCAUUAUUAUCUAUUAUUUUCGUGUUUAUGCAUUCAGUGGGGAUGCAUAUGUGCAUGCAUGAUACAUUAUUGAUGAAGAUCCAAUGUUUUUGAUAUUUUACGACAAUGAGAUUAUAUGCAAUGUAUAAUGUGUAAUUGUCAGACUGGUAAAAGCAAAAGCAUAAAUAAGAGUCACGUACCCUCAAGAGUUAUAAUAUAUAGUGCGGUGUCUUUUAGAUUAGGGUAUAUAUAUUGCAUGAUUGAUGGUGUGAUAAGGACUUUGAUGAUUCCUUAAAAAGGACACAUGGUUCAGCGAAAGAGCACGUUUUGCGUCUAUGAUAAAACUUUCCCUCCAAUAAGGGUUCCUUUUACAUAUCCACCUUUUUUUUUCCUUCAUACAAAUUAUACACUUAUUAUUGUUAAUUUUCAGUGUAAAGUUUAUUUGAUUCAUUUAGUAAAACAAAGAAAAAAAAAGCUUAAAUAGAAAUACACAAAAAAUUUAAAGACAUAGCUCAGAGUAGAACAAUGUUUUCAGGAUGAAACUAAGCGCGGUUAUACGAAUAGGUUUGUCAAUGAUGCGGAUGAGAUGUGGGCCGAUAGUAACAAAGCAUUAGCACAUUUAAAUAAAUACAUGCACAUUCAUAAUUUGUUUUUCGUUUUAAUUGGGGAAAAGGUCAUGUGGGUUUAUUGGAUUAGCACUUUUGAUGACAAUAUUAUCAAAAAAAAAAUCUUUUGUAAAAUUUAUCCAUCCAAAAAACUUUGUGACAACAUUAUCAUAUUAAUUGAGUUCUAUAUAUAUAUAUAUAUAUGAUGUUAAAUACAGCUCAGAGAUAUGUUGUUUGUGUACGUAAAAAAGAGAGGACGGUAUGUGGAUACGUACGCAUGCAUGAUGAGUGAUUGUGUAUGUAAAAUUUUUAUAGAAAACAAUGUCAUAAAUAUAGAGAAAAAGAAGUGAACAUUUGCCAUAAUCACUAUAAUCGUUUCUCAAAAUAUUGCAUUAUAUUGAAAAAAAUUUGAUAUAAAUUUAUCUCUAUCUAAUGAGAACCUAUUUGACCUCUAACGCUGAGCUAGUCACAAGUAUAAGGGAGAAAUUGCUGGAACAUCGCACUAUUGGUAGAAACAAUUUGCAUUACAUAUACAAUUGCACGAGAGAAUUACCUAGACGACGUUUUUAGACCAACAGACUCAGUUAAAGCUGAAAAAACCAAGUGAAUUUGCAUUAAGUGUUUUAUGACCUAGAUAUUAUUUAAGUCAAUAUCUUGAAUCAUUGUUUGCUUGCAUAUUGUUAUCUUAUAAAAGGCCUUUAUCCAUUGAUUUAAACCCCUAAACACCAUACACGAGGUCAUCUUUAGACUUUCAACAUGUUAAAACAACUUUUGAUACUAUAAUCUCCAUUAGUACUUGGAACCAACCUCUGUAGUCUAUUUUGAUUUACAAAAUGCCUUUCAGUCUCAAAAGGGAUUGAACUUGGGGCACCAAAAACUUAUGAUACCGAAUUUAAAUUGUAUCCCAUUGCAUCCUCUAAGUCACUAACCAGUCAAUGUCCAUAAAACUACUUCCUAAACUUUUUAGUUUGAGCACAAUUAUCUUAAUGCCCAGCUGCCCCAAUACCAAUCACAUCUAUGCCCAUCAUAUACUAUAUAAACAGAGACAGGGACGUAAAUAUACGUGCCAAUUGCAUUACAAAAGAUCUAAAACAAAAUAUACUUUGUGUCCUACACAUAUUUUAUUGGCUCAUGGUGACUAGGAUCCCAUUUCAUAUGUUUUAAACACGAAAAUGCGCUGGUCUACCCUCUACAUAUUAAAUAUAUCAUAUAGUAGUAGACUAGAAUGAUUUUUAUUAUUUCAAAAUUCGGAUACCCCGGGGAUUCUUCCUACAGCUUGUGACAUAUACAUUUAUUUAUGUAUGUUACUCCAAUUAAGCCAUUGUGUUAUUAAACAAUUGUUCUUGUUUUGGUAAUACACAUUCACAUUCGUACAUACGUAAAAUUAAAAAAUGUUAGCAUAAACUUAGUGCAAGAUUCCUCCAUUAUAUAAGUGCUUCUAUAUGCCUUAAAUUUUUAACAUAUGUAUUAUUUGCCUAAUAUUUUAUUUCGAACAAACGUAUCACUUUUAAAAAAAUAGUAUUAUUCGACGACUCAUACCAACACACACAACUUGUGGUAUAUGUAUAAGUCUUAUACUUCGAUUCGCGUUUUUUUUAAUUCCGUGAUUGGCAAAAUUUGUAGCUCACAAAAAUACAAUAUUAUUAGCCAAAAGAGAGUAACUCUACAUCUUUUUUUCAUAGCCGUUACUACUUGCUAAUUAAUUUGUACAUGUAUGUUCUCAUGCAAGAGGGAGUAAACUUAAGAAGAUAUAUAGAGGAAUUGACUUUGAUAACUUUGAGUUGAAUCAUAGAAAGUGCCCAUAAUUGGAAAAACGGUUCAGUGACAAAUUAUUCUAACCAAAUUGUGUUGGACUAGUAAUUUUAAUUCUAACCAAAUUGGGUAAUCGACAAAAUUUAAUUAUAACCAAAUUUUACUUCUAAUUAAGAUUUGGUAAUCGACUAACAAGAACAUGCCCGAAUCUGACUAAAACCGUACGUACUUAAUUACUACACGAUACAAAUUUCCAUGUGCUAGGCUUUUUCAAAAGGUUAUAUAACGUAACGUGCCCCUUUUGCCUAAAUUUUGAGCUUAGUUUUGCUGCAAGCUUGUGAAAAAUAGUUUUUAUACUCACCUUUGAAUCAUAUAUUUGGCCACUAUAAUAACUUUUUUUUUUGAGAUUUCAGUAAAAUUAAGAUCUAAAAGAGAUCUGAAUAGUGGAAUGAUUAUUUUGUUUGUUUUUAUACAUUCUAUUACAGUACACCUGACACAACUUAUGAGUUAUGUCCUAACGCUUAACGUUUAUAUUUUUUAUAUUAUAUAGUCUGAUGUCCUAUUGUUUAUUUUGGUUUUUUAGAGUCUCAACAUUCCAGAACAAUAAUAACCUUCUCAUGAACAUUUUGUUUAGGAAUUGGUUAACCAUUUUGAGACUUACUUUUUUUUUUUUGGGUAGGAAACAUAUAUGGAAUCUAAAUAUUUUACUAAUUAACAAACAAAUUACUGGCAUUUAAAAUUCACUAAAAUGUUAAAAUAAAGACUAAAAAUAAAUAAAUUAAUUAAAAAUGUAGAAAAUAUACAAGAGCUUAAAAAGAAAAUGUCAAUGACCAGCUGGUGCAAGACUGAGAUGCAAAUCCAACCCUAAACCAUCAUCGAACGUAGUUCCCACUUCUCUUGAAAACCCAUUCACCGAUGGUCUCGGCCCAUGGGCCUGAACGUGUCUCAUCUGAGACCCAACAAUCCCAAACCCAGACUCACGAACUCCACCAUACUCGUACGAGAACCCACCCGCACCCGCACCACCACCACCGGAACUAUCUUGGAUCACGCAACCAUGUGACACCUGGAGCUGAGAAGGAGAGACACGUGGAAGAUACAUCCAAGGACCUGCCAUAGGCUGAGGAGACACGGCGGAAGAAGAUGAUGGUAAGAGAUGAGGCGGAGGAGCAAAGGCAGAGACUAUAGGGUUCCGUAAGAAGUGAGACGACGCUGAUGCAGCGUUUGAGUAACUCGCGGCUGCGUUUCUUGUAGCUUGAAGCUGAGCGCGUUUAAGCUGUUGACGCUCUUUCUUGUGUGCGUUUUGGUGACCUCCCAAAGCUUGCGAGUUACCAAACUCUCUACAACAGUACUGACACUCGUACUUACGCUCUCCUCCUCCUCCUCCUCCUCGGCUUCUUGCACCACCGCCGCCACUUCUUCCGGAAGAACCCGCCGGAAACUCGCCACGUUCAGGUGAUAUGGAAGAUUGGUUUGUUUUGACUGAUUGAUCGGAGAAAUCUUCUUCUCCAUCAACACUGAAUCCAAAUAGCUUUAAACGAGAAGUAGUUGUUUUAGAACUAAAAUCUAGCUCCUCCAUUAUUAGAAUAUGCAAGUCUUUAAAGAAAGAGAGAGAGAGAGAUAAUAAGAGAAGAGGGGUUUGAUGAUGAGUGAGGAAGAGGGGGCAUAUAAAUUUAUAUAUAAAGGGGGGGGCAGAGAGAUGUGUGUGGACUUGGAACAGUAACAUGGGAGACACUGUGCAAGUGUGUGUUGUGUGUGGAAAUAUAUGAGAGAUUGUUUUUGUUUUGUUUUGUUUUGUUUGGUUGAUUAACUUUGGUUUUUGUUUUCUUGUUUUUUUUUAAUUUUUCGGACAUCCCAAGAAAGAAAGAAAAAAAGAGAAGAGAGUAGUGAAAGUGGGAGUUUGAGGAACACACGAACCGAGACGACAUGGAUUAUUAGGGGACCCUAUUGGAUUUCAUCUGUCUCCUUUAAUUUCAUGUGAAGGGAAAGUUUCAAGUUCGGCUCCACUUUUUUUGUGUUCAUUCUUACUUGUUCUCUUCGGGAAAAUUCAUAUGUUUCCACCUACUUUUUCUUUUAAAUGUGAUUCUAAUAAGUUAGAGAGAAUAAUUACGAUGAACAUAUAUGUACACUGUUUGGAAAAUGAUUUUAUAAAAAAGUAAUCUCUAUGUUUUUGAUGUAGAAUUAAAGUUUUUUAUAAAGAAAAACUACUUUUUUUUUUGGUAAAAUUACAAAGAAAAACUAUUUAUAUUCAGACGAACUAUACCACCAAUUAUUUUUUAAAAAUAUGUUCAAUAAUUCUAUUAAAAAAAAUUAUUGCGACAAAAAAAAACUUUUAUUCAUAUUUUUGCUUUUUCCGUCAAUUUUGUUUCCAAAUUUUUAACCAUAUUUUGGUGUGAUGGAAAGACUAAAUUUUGGAGAUUUUUUUAUGUAGAGUUUUCCGCAUACUUGAUUAUCACAUUCGAGAAAUAUUAUUAUUGAUUAUACAUCUAAUACGAAUUUCCUGCAUAACAAGUUUUUGCUCUAAUGCAGACUUAUUGUAACCUUAAAUUCAUGGUCGUAACUUGUAAUUUGGAAAUUUUGUAUCAAAGUAUAUUUAAUUCCAAAGCAUACUGAUAAUUAAAAGUGCAUUUUGAAACAAAUUUAUACGAUUGUGACACAGGCUUAUUCCUUCUUCUUUUUUUUGGUAUCACACAUGCUUGUUCAUUGUCAUGGCAAACAUAUCAUUUUCAUUCAAGUUUAAUACUUAUGUCUUAAUUGAAUAAUGUUUUUUUUCCCCAUUGUUUUUUUAUUCAUCUCCUUUACGUUUGAAUGAUCUUCUUAAUCUACCAAAUAAUUCUUCCUUAUGUCAUCGGUCAAAUAACAUAAUCACGUACAUACAACAAAAACAAAUAUGUCAUCACAUAUGCCUAAAUCUAGAAAAUAAGUUUUCAUUUGUCAUCACUUAAUAUUGUAUGCCGGCAUAUGCACAUAUAAAGCUUUAGCAUGAGUAUAUGCUAUUAUAUAUGUGUAGAAAAUGUUAUAUCUGGACAGAUAUUUACUUCACUUUCCUAUAUUUACAUCUAUCCGACUAGAUCUUAUAAACUAUACAUAAGCUUUUCAUCUUGAAAAUUCAAAGUUCUCGUUCAACCAAAAGGUGAAAGAAAUAAUUAAACCACCCUUAGAUGGACAAAGGAAAAAAACUAAGCCAAUGGAUAUAUCUCAAAAGCACAACAAUCCAAGAUCAACAAUAUGGAUCAGAGGAAAGUGGAAAACCUCGGAAGAUUAUCAAAAUACCUAUUGCUUCCAAGAAAGACCAAAUUAGAUGUACCGUAGACUAUAACAUCAGUUUAAUAGUAACCUACAAACACAAUAGGACAGUCUAAUCAAGAGUUACCCGUGAUACCUAGAGCUAAAUUUUUAGUUUUUGUAUGAAAAAGUUUUAUGAUAUAAAUGUAAAAAAAAAAAAAAAAAAAACCUAGAGCUAAGUUGGAAUAACAUCCUACGUAUAAUUAUGGUAAUUUUCAGUAUUAUAUUCCACAUGCAGUAAAUUCAAUCGUCUCGCAAACAUUUAAACUUAUGCACACAUACAAAUAAGACAAAACGAGCCUUGCACAUGGAAUAUAUGCAUGCGAAGUAAGAAAUUAUCACGUUUUCCGGUUAGGAUUAUCGAAUCAAAAGACAUUUGGAUAUUUGAUACCAAAAUAUAUAUAUAUAUAUAUAUAUAUAUAUAUAUAUCAUAAACUUUUGGAAAUUAUUUCAAGCGUAGCAAAAAUUAUAAUAUGAUAAAUAAUUCCAGUAAUAUAUCAAAAUGUUUAUACUCAACAUGCGAAAAUAUAUGUCCACUUUAAUAUAUUAAGAUUCAGUCGACUAUACCAAAAAAAACUAAUAUUUAUUAUAAAAAAUAAGAUUACUUAUCUUUGAUAAUAAUUUAUGAUGAUUUUUCAUGAACCACCUAAACAAUUUGCUUUUAGUUUCAUUUUUUUUAUUGCUGAUUUAGAUUUCACCCAAAAAAAUUAUUAUUACAAAGCAAAAAAAGAUGCCGACAGACGGAAAGUGAUCAGUAAAGUCAAGACGAAGUAGAUGCAAUGCCAAUGUUAUCUCAUAUAGUAUUGUGUAUUGGAAAGAAAGAAAAAAAGAAAAAAACAAACAAAGCAUAUGGUAAUGUGAGUAUGAGAUGUGAUCUGAAGUGACCGAGAAGCCAAAAAGUUUGAAACUGUGUGAGAAAGAAACAUGAGAAUCUAUUGAAGAUGUGAAGAAAAAAGAAAAUAUGUAAAAGAACAAAAGUCCCACAUCUCACUUCUUUAUGUCCCACGUGUCCCCGUCGCAUUAUCGUGCGUAUCUAUUUUUCAGAUACGAUCUCAAUAAAUAUUUAUCAAAGUCAAAUUAACUUCAAAUUUUAUGGAUACAUUAUUACUUUAUGUAAGGUUGUCUUUAAUUAUGACUAUUAAGAAAAUUAUGUUUACAUGUAACCAUAUAUACUUUUAAUAGUUCUAAGGUAAAAUAAGUCAACACGAUUAUUUUAACUAAUCAUAUAUAAUUUGGAUUGUAUUCAAAAGUCAACACGAUUAUUUUAACUAAUCAUAUAUAAUUUGGAUUGUAUUCAAAAGUGAGUUUUGUUAGUGUGGCACUCUUGUGUAUUAUCAAUCAUUUUAAUUAAGACAUAAAACUUAUGUUAUUUGGUACAAAUUAUAUAUAUUUUGGCCAUGUAUAUUUUUAUUUUCCUAUAACUAUGUUUUAUGCAGAUUUAAAUGAUGCAAGGACACUUACACAAACCAUCACGUUACAAGUGACGUAUAAUAUUUAGACAAAUUCAACCAUAGUACUUAGAAUAUCAAGUCAAACAUGUAUCACAAUUUUGAAAUCAAGAUUUUGAAAGAAUGUUCAGUUUAAUAUAUCUGAAUAAGCAAAGAGAUAGCUUAGUGGAUUUGAAGACAAAGCUCUAAGUAAGUAAUGUGAAAAGAAAACUAGUUAAAAGUGGGGUUUGUUAAGGAGAAAGAAAAGAAAAGAAGGACCAAGAUAAAGUCUCAGAUGUUAACAUGUUCCCCACGAAUUACGUGCCAAGUGACCAACACUUGUUUCACGAGUAUGUUUGCGUGAUUGACGUCAACAUUCACAUACACAUACACACACACACGGACAUAAUCACUUUUUUCCUAUAUUAAUUAUCAUACUUAGAGAUAUAAUUAUGUUAUAGAUGAUGGAUCACAGAGAUCUGCGAAUCUUACUAACUCAAUCAAAAGUUAAUUGGGUGGUUUCUGAUUUGAUUAAGGCUUUUUCUUUGUACCAAAAAAAACUUAAUAAUUGUGUAAAACCCUGAUAUAAACUAAAGUCUUUGUUUGGGGCUGGAGAAAUGUCCCAUCUUGUCUCUCUUUUAAUUAUAUAUCUUCCACGAGAAUCUACAUAAUUCGUUUUCCUUGGUUGUUUCCUUGUAUCUUCUUUUAAUUUCUUUCUCACCUAAGCAAUAGCUUAAAUAGCUUACAAUUGAAAUAUGAAAUAUCGACAUGUGAAUAAAUUAACUAUAAAUAAAAUAAAUUAUAGCAAAUACUUCAAAGACUAAUGUAAUUUUUUCGAUCCGGUUAGUAACGACGUUAAAAGUUUUUUUAUAAGACAAAUGUUACAUAAAUCAACAAACACAGUAAAACAUAAAUGUAGGAGUACAAAACAUCUAAAAGUAAUUUCUUUUGUAUUGUUUUUCAUAUGGCUUUUAUGAUUAAUUACUACGACAAUGUUAUAUUUCAUACACAUUAAUACGGGAUUACCAAACGAAUCUUUAUAUGUAUUUUCACAGAUAAUCUUUAUUUUAAUCAACAUAGUUUCAUGGUAUUACAUUAUAUAUACAAAUCACUGGUGUUUACAUAAAUUACUUGUUUACAGUAUUCAUCUAGGAAAAUUCCACACUGCAGCCUUAUCGAAAUGAUUUGGGAUACAUAUGGUGUGAUAUGAAAUGAUAUUAUAAAGUUCAAUCAGAAGUGUGUGGAAGAUAUGCUUUAAAUUAUCAUUUUAUUUUUUUAAAUCUCUUGAGAUCUCUCUUUUAAUGGAGAUGGAGCACAUGAUCAUAGAAUUCGGCUCGGUGGGUUUGCUAAAACAUUUAUUCUAUUUUUGUCAAACGUCAAAUUUUGCCUAAACACAUUUAAAUAUAAUCAAAUAAUAUUUCUAUACUCCAAAUUUUGUAGAUUAGACCUAAUAUUUUCUGUAUAAACAUAAACUUAUAUAAUGGAUCUUUUGGAUAAAUGUGAGAGUUGAUUACGAAGAAUUCAUACGCUCCUCGAUACGCAAUACACAUGUUAUACUUCGAAUAGAGAAGACCUAAAAUAAUCUAAAAUUGUCACUUGUUUCUGGUGUAUGAUUAUAAUCAUGUUAUAACUAAAAGCAAAAAAAGAUGCACAACAUGCAAUUAACGUUCUGCUUUUUUAUCUUUAGCGGAUCCAAUGAAACUUUGUUUUUGACUUUCGUUAAUAAUAUGUUUUGUGCAUCGAGUAAUUUAUAUGUUCCUUUCUAGUGCGAACUCAAGGACGCUAAUAAUGUGUGUAUGGACCAUGGAUUUUUACUUAAAAAAACACAUACAAUCAUGAUAGAUAGGUCUAUCCUAUGACAGAAAAAUAAAUAAAGAUUGGCCUAUCCUAUGACUAGGGAAAACAAGGAUUGGCCUAUCCUAAAAUUAAUAAUCUAAGUGUUCAAAUGUAUGUCAUAGGUUUUUUUUUUCUUGUGGGGGGACCAGACAUAUAAGAUCAACUCCAUUGGCAUUGCUUAAUGGGAAGCUUAAGACAUUGCCUAUAUUUAUUGCAUUAUAUUUAAUACAAAUCAAGCACUUUUCAUAAGCUUUGUUGUCUAAUUAACUCUUUAAGCAAAGACUAAGGGCUACUUAUAAAUUUAUUUUUAAAAAAUUAAUGCAAAAAAAUGAAUAAGCACCCUCCCAUGGUUCUAACCAUUGGAGAUGGUCUAAGUCAUUUUUUUUACCUGAACUUGACAUUUUCAUUAAGUUCUCAUUCUUUGUUUUAUCAUAAGCCAAAACUAGCUAAGUACUUAUGUUAAAGUAUUUACUAAAUCAUUGUUUGUAAGUGUAACUAAUAUCUAAAUUUUUGUAGGUAUUAAAUUUAAGGUUAAUUGAUAAUGAGUAAGGAAAUUUAUAAGAUCCUUAUACGUUUUUUAAGAUAACGAGAAGUAUAUGUUAUUUCAAAUUGAAUCUCACUUUAAAACCGAUUUUAUUUUCGUAUACCGAUUUGAACGAUAUUGGUUUUUAGGUCCUGCCAACAUAAGAGAGGGAGCAAGUUUGGAAACUUUUAAAGUGAAGAAGGGAAAAAAGAGGAAUGAGAAAGGUUGUGAAAUGUGAGGAAGUGAGUGGACAUAGGCACGUAAGUUUUCUCCACUAAUGAAGGAUUACGCAUGUGAUUAUGGAUCCAUAUUCUCUAUCUCUUGCUACCUUUUUUCAUAAAACUGAUAUUAUUAUUUUUUCUGAUUCUUCUUCUAUUUUAUUCUCUUAGGGAGUAUAGGAAGUUAGGAACCUUAAGCCAUGUUGGUUCUAGUUUCUAGAUUUUUAAAAGCAAACUUGCAUAUAUCUUCUUAGGAUGGGAGACAAGACUUACUAAUCUUGAGUCUUAGGCAGUUUGAGAACUGGUUUCACCAGCAACUGCCCACACAAUACAAUAAUUUGGCCUAUGAUUCAUGGCUUAACUUUUUGCAUUGUUUAGAUUACUUCACAAAUCAACUUUAUAUUAAGAUAUGACCUAAGAAAAUAAAACUACUUUAGGUCGAGACUUAAGCACUUGGAAUAAAUAAUACAGUAUAUACUUAAUUAUGAAUAACAGUUUAAAAACAAGAAAAUGAGAUGAAAGCAUAUUGUCUUCUUUUUCUUUUCUUUUUUCACGAUUAUGCGAUUCCAUUGAAAAAAUCUUACCACAUGACUAAUAAUGGGUUUAAACAGAAUUUUCCAAAAGAAAUGGCGACAUCCCAACUCGUGGAAUAAUUUUAGAAAAUACAAAAAUUGAUGACAACCAAUAAGCCAAUAAGUUUGACAAUCUGAAAUAUAUAGUGGUGUUUAAUCUCUCUUUUGAUUAAACUCAUAAUUACAUUUUUAUUAUCUCUUCUUCUUACAUGUCCCGGCAAAAGUGUUAUUAUUUGACGAAUAGAACUACCAGCUGUCUAUAUCUCAAUGCUCUUGUCUAGCACCAUUUAGGUACCAAUGUCAAGUCUAUCAAUUUUGAUUAGAUAUGAUGUUAUAUAUAUAUUUUAUCAUUAUAAGAUCUCCAAGAUCAAAUUAAUGGCCCACCAAAUUUUGAUUAGCAGGGUUAAUACAACCAAUGGGGUUUAGCAUAAACUAAACUAAUGCAUAAAAAAAAUAAAGUACUAGCUAGCUCCCACACAAAAGGGGUAAUUAUAAAAAUAUAAUGUAGCUUUUGGCUCACAAGUGCGAUUAAUUUAGUCUAUAACCCACACAUCAGGAAGAGUAGAAGUCGACUUUUCAGUUUUUGAAAAGAAAAAGGAAAAAACCAAAAUUAGACAUUUGGGUUUUCAAGUCUAAAUCUCCUUUAACGGAUAUCUUCUUAAGUAUUUUUUAUGUAAGCCAGACAAAGAUGGUGGGGUGUGAUGAUUCAUCACAAAGUCCCAUUAUGAACUCCAAGUGACACCUAAUGUAGCUAAUUAAAUCUUUAAUUACACUUAUUUUCCCACUUUUCUUAAAGCAGAAGGGCUUUAGGUUACACAUUAAUCCAAGUGGGACACGUCAAGUGGUUGCAUUAAGACAUAUUAACUUCUCAAUGCCAAGUGCUAACUUAAUAUUCCCAAAUAAAGUUGAAAAUUUAAAAUGCUACCUUCGUUUUAGAUUAAAAGUGGUAUUAGAGUUUAAAUUUUAUUUCACAAUAAAUAUCAUUUUAAAUUCUCAAGGUAAAUAUUUGUUACAGUUUUCUGAUUUAUCUUUUUUUUUUAGUGUAUUGAUCGAUAAAAAUGAUAUUGUGUAUUAGUGAAGGAUGAAACUGAAAUUUUAAAUGAUUUUUUAACGUGUAAAAUAACAUUGUAUAAUGUGAAAAAAUGGACCUCUUGUGAUUAAAAAUUCCUUUUUAGAAAAACACUAUGCAUAAUGCAUGUUAGAUAAAGAUAGUGAUACUAAUAUACAAAUCCUUUAACUAUAUGUUUUGGUCAUGCAAAUACUCCAGUUAUAGAUCUAAUACGAUGUCGAACAACAAUAAUGGUUUUUUAAUAUUAAUCAUAUGAUCCAAGUCUUUACUUACUUUACUAGACAUUUCUGCAAUGUUCUCUGAUAAAGCCGUGAUGCAUGUGGUUUAGCAUUUGCUAGUAAACAAUUCAUAUGAUCAAAAAUAUAUAUAGUUGCCUUUGCAUAGACGGUGCCAUAUCGAUCCGUGAUUUCCAGAUAUAAAAUAAACAGCCACAUUUUAUGCCUCACAUCGAGGAAGCAACCAUGUAAAGCUGAUAUAUAUUUCUUUAAAGACUUUUUUAUAAAAAGAGAAUUUUCUUAGGUUUUGCGUAAGACGAAGAGGUAAACAAAGUCACAAGUGUGUAUGUCAGACUGAUUUCAUCACUUAUAAAAAAAUGAUGGUUGUAUCAAUUUGAUUACUACUUUUUUGAUAACAUAUGAUUUUUAAAGUUACUGGCUAUUUAAAAGUAAACUUAUAAUUAUAAUUUUCUCUUUUAAAUAAAGUUAAUUAUGAUCCCAAAGAUGAGAAGCAAAAAAACACAUCUACUACAAGUUAUUGAUUAGUACCAUGAAUCCUACCAAUAGCCAUUUCGUUAGCCGCCGGCACAAAUAAUUGAAUUACUUUUAAUAUUCUCUGAAAUCAUGUGGUCGAACUAGUUGCCUGAACUGUGUCAGUCUAGUGCUAAGAUGCUUGGUCGAUUGAUCACUCUCUUCUGUUAUUAAAUGUCAUUGAGUUUAAUGUCUUGUACUAAUUCUUCUUAGUUCACUUUGAUUUAAAGUUUAUUCAAUUACUAAAACAUGUUUAAACUAUUCUCUCGUAUCAACCUCUCUAAACCGCACUAACACAAAACUCAAUCACAUUGUUGUUUUAGUCCAAAAGGCUUCAAAAGUCAAAACAAGUUUAUCUUUUUUAUUAGUCGACCUUUUGAGAUAUUAAUAAUUAAUGUUAACAUAAGCCAAUAAUCACUCUACUUUGUGCGUUGAGUUUUAUAUAAUUUGACAUCCCCUUACUACACAUAUUGACGAUGUUUAAGUUGAAAUCUAGUCAUUUGACAUUUCAAAAUCACUUUUUAAAAAAAUACUUUCAUUAUAAGGAAAAGGCCAUGUAACUUCUACCAUACGCAUAGAGACUAAAGUUUUAGAAUCAUAUUAAACAUACUUAUAGCUUCACGAUCAAUCCAUUUGUCCAUCACUAAUACCAAAACCAAAUACUGUAUUCCAAAAAAAAAAUUGAUCGAGUGUCUUUAAUUGUAGUUUUUUGUUUUUCUUUAGGGAAAGUAUUGUUGUUAACUUGUCCAAUGUUCUAGUCAAGGGCCCGAAUCAAAAAUCUCAUAUUCUUCUAACCGAUAUAUAUGGCCCAACCCAAAGUGAAUAGGCUACUUUCCUCUGACCACAACAACCCUUCUACAACAAAAGAGUUUAUGGAGCUUAUGGACCAUUCCGAUGAACAUAUAUAUUUUCCCUAGAACCACAAUAGAAUGAAUGAACAAAACACACUUUUUGGUCCAUCAAGCUUUUUAUGAUCAGAUCCUAUGAGGUUCAAGUUGAACCAAUUUGUCUUGGAACUGUCUUUACUCUCUGGUCCGCCUGAGCUUUGCUGCUACUACGGUUUCUUCAAGAAAGUGGUGUAAUCUGAAAUCUCUCACCUUCCCACUAACUGAUGUACCAGUCAGAAGAGGACUAUAACUAUAAUAGUUCCAUUCAUAGCCUCUUCAAGAACAUUGGCAGACACAGUAGUUUUAAUACAUAAGAAACUGAAGCAAGUCAGGCGUUUUUCAAUUUGAAUCUUGAGUAAUAUCAUCAACCCACCGUGACAAUGAGAAUUCUGUUUUAUAUAAUAAAUAUAACAAACAAUGAAUUGAUGAAAGCAUAUUCAUACAAAAUCAAAACACUUCCCAUUCAAAGAGAGCUUUUUGCAUCUCUCUCUCGCCCAAUAUCUCAAACCAUUCCCAUGAAUAUAUAUAUGCCUACAUAGAGCGACUCAGUGAUGAACAAUCACUGAAUCACUUCUGUCUAACGAAUGAACAAAAUACCAAAUGACUCACAACAAAUCAGCCUUCUGGGUCAACCAAGCUUCUUAUCAGAUCCUUUUAGGUUCAAGUUGAACCAUUUCCUCUUUGCUUUGUCUUUACUCUCUGUUCCGCCUUCUUCUCCUGGACUAUCCCCAUCGCCACCUUUCGAUUCCUCUCCAUGAGUUUUGCUACUACUUCCAUUGCUCAAGUUGUUGCUGCUUGGUGUCUUCACAACAGAGAAGGUCGAAUGGAUUGUAUCCCGUUGCUUUAGCAGUUCAUCAACCUUCACCACAAACCAAACACUUUUAGAAUGGUAAAAAGUAAUAUAUACAUGUGCAAGAGGUUCACAAAAAUAAUAUCUCUCAAAGUAGAAAAUGCAGUGAGGAAUAAAAUUUUCAUAUAGAGAAAAGAGAUUCAUCAAACGUACAGUUUGUUUCUCCUGUGUGUAUCUGGUGGUAACUUCUUGAAACCGCGCCAAUGCCUUGCAAAAGAAUUUAGAAAAUUAUCAGGUUACAUGUCUCCCUAAAAUACUGACUGAGCUCUCAACUACUAGAAAUUUACUUUUCGGUACUCUGUUUCAAACUGCCGCAACUCAUUUCUCUUUCUUAAGAUUUGAGCUUCAAUCUCCUUCAACUUCUCUGUUGUGUCCUCAUAUGUCUUGGCACAGAGUGCCUCAAUCGUGUAGGAUGCAGUCUUAAAGAAGUUAUCACCUGAAAAGCAGCUAGAGACAUGUUAAACUACAGUCUCAAAAAAUCUCCAGCUAUCGUAAAUAACGAAAUAACUCAUACCAUAAACUGCAAAUAUAUGUGUGCCAGCUUUCAGUUCCGAAACCUCACAAGGUUGAAGACCUUCCAGUCGCUUGAAGAAAGCAGAUUCAGGGUCUUUGGCUGCAGCUAACUGCGCAAUAACCACAAUGUGGAUUGCUUUAAUACCUCUGCAUACUUUAAGAUGUCAGCUACAUAUGAAAGGAACAGAGCUCAUAAUUUUCAUACCGCAUUGACAGUCGAAUCCAUUCUGUACACUUGAAAAUGUAAGAAAUACAUGCCAGCUGAUGUCACCUUGCCUGUUUUCUCACUCUCUUCCUGAGAUAACAAAUAGACGUUUAAUGAUGUCAUGGAAUCACCAUGAGAGAAAUGGAAAAGCUUUCUUAAGAACUAGCAAAACUAUAUCUUUUCAGUAAUGGUGUAAAACUAAGACCAAUAUUCUUUUAAUACAAAGAGAAAUGAUUUAUACCUGCAGUGCCAGUCCAUAGCCGCCACUUGAAUCUUGCUCAAAAUAAAGUAACUGAAGAUGGAAAAUUUUAUAAGUUAGUCAUAGCGUUAAUUAGGUGAAACAGCUUACAAAUUAGUGGCCAAGGACAAGGAGCAUGCACUAAAUACACUAAACAUUAUCAGGAUGGUCAAAAAUGGCAUUCCAGUAAUACCUUAAAUUUACUUUGUGCUGUUGAAGUUACUCUAACUACGACCCCUGAUUCAGCUUGUUGCUCACUUAUUGUAACUCCAAAAAAAUGAGCGCAUUGCUUCUCAACCUGAUAUAAGAAAUUUGAUAACUUUCAAUUCCAAAUACAGGAUGAAAUGAGAUAAGAAGAUAAUCGUGUAAUCUGAGUUGAGUUCACACCUUUCCACUAACUGACGUUCCAAUAGGAAGGGGUCUAACUGUAACAGUUCCAUUCAUAGCCUCUUCAAGAACAUUGGCAGAUACAGUAGUUUUGAUAGGCACACCUAGUUUACUGAAGUUAACAAUUAUGAGGUUUAUAAAAGGUCAAUAUAAAGGAUUUGAAACAGAUUCCUUUCUUAAGAGCUCUGGAGAAAGAAAGAAAAAGGGAAACCAACUCGACCUGAACAAUGCUGCAAACAUGGUAUUUACAGUCCCAAGGUUUGACAAGUCAAUUUCCAUGUCCAUUCCAUCAGCAUCAAGGGCCUAAACAUCAUAAAACAACUCUUACUGAAGCUACAAGAAUGUGUAUCACAUUACUAAAAACCGAAAAAGAUACAAUUUUAUACCUCAAACCCUGCAUUGUCAUAGUGUCUUCUCUUUUCUGGGUCAGACAAAAUGCUAUACGAAAAUGCAACCUCCUUAAAAAGUUCAGAAGCAUCGGGAUUAUUCGCAUUCUUAUCCGGAUGAUACCUAUCAAUAGUUUGGGAUCCAGUAAAGAAUAAGCAUCUUCUAAACAAAGUCAAAAGCAUGACAAUAGAGAUUCUUAACAUAUCAAAGUCAGUGAAACGAAUGAACUACACACACCAUCCUCUCUCAAUUCAUUACGAAAUCUACACAUGAGGAUUCAAAAUAGGACCAAUCUCAGAUUCCCAAUAUAACAAAACCAGAAACCCUAAGAAAUCAAUUGCACACAAAAACCAUGAAAUUGAAGCGAAAUCAAAUAAGAUAAAUCUUAUAGGUCUGAUAACAAACACACAUAUAUUUGCUAUCACUUAGCUUACUUGAGAGCUAAUUUUCUAUAAGCGGAUUUGAUUUCCUGAUCGUUUGCGUCCUUUGAUACACAAAGAACCUCGUACGGAUCCCGUCGAUUCGCCGGAGCCGACGUACCUUCCACUUUCUUCGCACUCAUCCUCCGCCGACCCAAAUCUUCCGCCUCAACCACAGAUGUCUCGAAAUUCAAACGGAAGUUUGCAGAUCCAAGACGUAUUCAGGUAACUUGAAUCGAGGGGUUUGAAACUCUGAAAGAAACGAUGAGCGAAAGAAACCAGAAACGAGGGAUCUUAAGAAGCUCACCAAAUAAGAGCGAAUUGGGGAAGAAGAUCGAGAAGAAAAGCUUACGAAACAAAAGGGUUUCAAAGGAGAGAAGUCCCCAAACAAACAAAAAAAUACAAAGGACCAAACAAAAUAAAUCUGUUUUAUUUAUUUUUUUAUUUCGGAUGACGUAAUUUUCAUAAUGAAAACAAAAGAAGAUUUUUAAAAAGAAUAUAAAAAAAAAACAAUACAUAACUCGUUGAUUUUUCAAAAGUUUCCUUUUUUUGUCAACAUAUUACGACUUAAUUGGAAACUUUAAUUUCUGAAAAAUGGAAAUUGCUAAUUUCACAUCUCUUUUUUACUGAUUUUUUAUAUAUUUUUUGUUAUUCCAGUGGACAUUACAUAUAGUAAUUGUAUAAUAACAAGAUUAAUUACAUUAAUAAUUACAAGUGGUUUGAUAUAUACAUUAUUUGUGGUAUAGUAGUAACUUAAAUUUUCCAAAAUUAUAUUACUGAAAUUAAAAAAAUUACAAGUUUAUGUUACAUGGAUAAUUGACAUGCAUGUGACUACUAUGCAUGUUUUAUACUUUAGCUUUAUUAACGUUGUUGUUAGUGAUAGAAGACGACCAAAAAUAUAUGAAUACGAUAAAUGAUUCAAACUUAGGUCAUUCAAAAUCUUUACUAUUGAUUUGGGAUGAGAAUGGAAUAUUAGAAUAUGGUGAAAACAAAAAAAAUGUGGUUUACAGAGGCCAAAGUUUAUUUUUCAACUCAUAAUUUUCUUAAAAUGUUUUAGUUAAGCCAAAACAACUAGAAAGAAGAAUCAUGUCAAUGGUCUUUAAUUAUGCACAACACAAGUCAUCAUCAUAUAACUUAACACUCUUCGUCCUUUAGCCACUCGCCCACUUUAACAACUCCAUAUUCACCUCAGACUCACCAAACAAUCUCUAUUGAUCGAGGCUCGGACUCAUGUUUACUAGCGUCGGGAUAUAUAGUGCUCAUAAGGACAACGAGAGUAAGCUUUGAACAUUAACCAGUAGAACGUGUCGGAGACGAUCACUAGGGCCAUGGCUCGGUCUAACUCGAACCACUGUGAGCGUUUGCGCUAGUGGUGCAUGUGGAUGUGACGAUACAUGCGGCGGUCGUAGGCUCGUAGCGGACACGACCAAUGGAGAGUUCGUAGGUGUCAACGUGGGUUUGAGUGGAGUCAAUGAGGAAGGAGUAAACAGAGGUGAAGUUGAAAAGAGGGAUGCAUGAUUCGGAGAGAAGAAUGAAACGUUCGUUGUUGAUGUCUAAUAAAGCAUUUGCUAGUAACCUUCGUUCUGCUUCUACCAUGUUUGGGUUUGCCCAAUCCACCUCUACGUGCGUUUAUAAAUAACGACGUUAUUAGACUGAUAUUUAAGUGUUCAAUUUUAUUUUAUAAUAAUAAGAUUAGUAUACAAGAAAUAACAAGUUUAUGCCAUAGAUUUGAUUAAGAAAUUAUCAUAAGAAAUAAUUAUAUCAUAAUGAUUUAUAGACCUUCAUAUCCUCGAAAGAACCUUUCUCAUAGAGGAGCCAAAGGUAAAGGUCCCCAAGUCAAGAACAUGAAAGCAACCUUUGGGAUUCUAGGAGACAAGUGUAAUCUAUGAUCUUGGGAUCUUGUGAAGCUCUCCAAAGAAGCUCAUCAUCUUCCAUAUCGUGGUUGAUGUUUUCUCCGGUGGCUUCAGAAACAUUUUGAUCCGAUUUUUCCUGAGAUGAAGGAGGGGGAGAAGGAGAAGGGGUUACAAGGACUAGUUGGGAGACGCUUUGGAUGAUUUAGCAAAGAAGGCAAUGAUAAGGAGGCUUGUAGACAAGAAUGAACAAUGACAGCAACUAUCACGCCGAUGCAUAGGACAAUGAUGUUGAGUUUUGGUUCUUUCGGAUCGCCAUUUUCAACUAGAGAUACACGUUUAAGAGAAUUCUUGUUUCUGUAUUUCAAGGUUUCAAAGAGAGGAUAUAUGGAUCUCAUUUACUAGUUGAAAUGAGGUGAUUACAUUAAAUAUUUUUAAUCUUUCACUAUCAUUAAAUCUUUUUACAUCAAUAUUAGUUUACUUUAGAAUUGAUGGGAGAAAAGUAGACUAAUGGGGGAUUUGAAUGUUCUAUUUGUAGUUUCGCUAUAUAUUAGUAGUUUUCUUUUGUCGCAAGUUUAAGUUUCUCGCUUUUACGUGUUAUAUACCCAUAAUAUGUUAAUGUGACCGAUGCAUAAAAAAACGUCCUAGUUUAAAUUGCUUAACGUUUGCAACAAUUACAUUUUAUAUAACAAAAUGAGAUCGCCAUGAAAACAAUACUCUAUGGAAACUUAAUUAGCACCAUGCACAAGUUAAAACAAAGUCGGGAUUUGUUAUAAAUGUUGGAAGUAAACUAUUACUAGAAUGAAAUGACGCGGCUUAAGAUAUAGGAUUUGGUCAGAUUGCUAUUAUAAUAAAUAAAACACUAAAUUAGAACGUUUAGAAUAAAGAUGAAAAUUUCAUAUACUCGACAUUUUUUGUAUGCAAUUUUAUAUGACAUGAUAACCAACUCCUAUGAAGAACAUUACACCCCUUAAACGGUAUAAAACUGUUACAUGGAUGGAAAAAGCAAACUAGCGAUAUUCAUAAAUACAAGUCAUAUAAAGUAUUCAAAUUUAACUAUAAACACAAAAUGCAUAACUAUAUAAUUCUAUAAACUCAAUUAUGAAUUAUGUAUAUUGUAUAUGGAAGUCAACCUUGAGAAUUCUAAACUGAAAUAAUAAUAGGAAUUUGUUGCACUAAAUAUUGAAAAUGAAACUAAUUGGUCAAGUUUACGUGUAAAAGUUGUAUAUGAUGAAGAGAUGAAUAAUUGUGCAACACGUGGCAUUAAUCUCGGGGAAGUCAUUACGCAUAGUUGGAAAUUUCAUUCUCUUUGGGGUAAUUAAGAUUUUGUUCCUUUUUUUCCUGAAAACGAAAUUAAUCUUUGAUAUAAUAUUUCUCUAAUCUUAGUUUUAUUUUUAUUCUUGAAUCAGUUGAGAACCGUCAGACUAGACGAAGACUAAUGAUGGCUGAAACUUUGUGGCACACAAGCCCCUCUAUACUAUGGUCUAUGGCUGCGACUGCGAACGGAAGACAAAACCGUAUGGUCGACCAAUAAAACACAAAUAUUUUUAGUUAUUUUACAAUAUUAUCAAGGUUUUUACAAACAUAAUCUGUGACAAAACCUUGAUCUUACCAUGGUAGAUAAAAAAAAAUAUGUGUGGUCGCAAAUGGUAACACACCAUUUUAUUGUGAGAAAUUAAAAAUGUUGAAACGUUACUAAAUAAAAUGGAAAAUAAAACGUCGAUUUAUUUAUGUUUUUAUCUUUAAAUUUUCCAGCUAUAUUUUCCCUAAACUUAUUUGAAUUGGCGGAUUAGCAUUUAUUUUUCAUUGAAUAUUGUAAGAAAAUAGAAUUUCACUCAACAUAGAUAUUGACGUUUUUUUUCAUUGGUUUUCGUUAAAUAUUAAAUACAUAUUUAAUGAUUUUCAUUUUCAUUUUGAUUUACAGAAAAGUCAGUCACGCGUAAGAUUUAUUUUUCAGAUUAAAUGUAUUUUUGAUGAAAUUAAGAAAAUUAUUUGUAUAUUCCAAAGUUUUAGGGAUAUUAGCUAAUUAAAUUUAGAGAUAGUCACUAAAUUUCAGCUAUUCUACCAAUUGACCAAUUUUGAAAAUGUUAGAAAUUAAAAUUCACCAUCAAUUAUGCAUGAAAAGCUGCCAAAUUCAGUUUUUGUAUUAGAUUCCACCGUUGCCUAUUUACAUCUUAUAUAAAGUUCUUUCUUUUUCUCGACGACAAGAAAAUUCCACAUUUCAACCCCAAAAUUUUAUAUUUUAAUUUGACCCAAAAGAUAAAGAGAACUCAAUAACAACAACAAAAAAUAUAUAUUGAAAAUUUCUCCACUUGAAAAAGCGGUAUCGUAUCUCUUGCCCUUAAAGCAAAGAACUUGUCUCUAGCUCCUUCUUCAUUCAAACUUUGUUGAUUACAUUCACUCCUCUUUUGGAACAUCAACACAAGCUAAGCACACAAUUCUCUCUGUCUCUCUCUCGAUGAAGAACCCAAACUCAUCAUUGUCUUCCUCAACACCAUCUAGAACAACAAAGCUUCUCAAUGCUCAAUACCAUCACUUUCUCAAUCUCCUCUCUUAUUCUCUUAUCCUCUGUUGUGGCAUAAUCAUUGGCAUACUUCUCCAUUCCUCUCUACAAGACUUCUCUUCUACGUCUUCACUAAGCAUCCAACGCAUCUCUCAGCUCUUCGUCGUCUCCUCUCUUCCUCCUUCUCCUACUCUCCCCCUUCCUCCUCCUCCUCCACCUUCUCAGCCCGAGAAAGAUGGGCUGGAACGCUUUAUUAAGCCACCAGAGAAGCUUAUGCACGACAUGGAAGACGAAGAGCUUCUUUGGAGAGCUUCAAUGGCACCCAAGAUCAAGAAUUACCCUUUUCCUCGAACACCAAAGGUUGCUUUCAUGUUCAUGACAAAGGGUCAUUUGCCUUUAGCUCGUCUAUGGGACAGGUUCUUUCGCGGGCAUGAAGGCCUUUUCAGCAUCUAUGUUCAUUCAUACCCUUCUUACAACCAGUCCGAUCCUGAAGAUUCAGUCUUCCAAGGCCGCCACGUUCCAAGCAAGGUCAGCUCCCUACAAUUUCCAAUAUAAUAAUUUCUUUUAUGAGUUUUAUUUUUUGGAAUAUGAAAUUUAUUACUCUUUUGAGUUCACUAGUCCUGUAAAACAAUAUCAAAACGUUAAGUUGACCUCUCCUUUGUCCUAACAUACAACAAAAUAGUGUCCAUAUUUCAAAACUAGAAAUUGAAACCAAAAAUCGUAUACAUUUUACAUUUAGUAAUUAAUGGAGUUUUUGAUGUCAAAAAUAUUCUUUACAUAUUUCGAUUUUUCGAGAAAUGUGUGCUCUUGUGUUAUAAACAUGCUCUGACUCAUGUGAUUGAGUAAUUAUCAAACAAAAAUCUCAUACUAAAAAGAAUAAAAUUGAUAAGGAAUUGUAAAGGGAAUGUAAAUUAUCUUGAACAAUACGAUUUGCUUUUUGUUAAAUAAAUUAUAAUACCUUUAAUCAAGCAAUUUUUUGUGGUCCGUCGGUGCCUAGUGCUAACAUAUAUUAUAAUACAAUAACUUGCAUGGUUUCGUUUUUUAUAUUUGGUUAUAGUUAUUGCAUGGUUUCUAGCUUCAUUCGUUUAACAUAUCGCUUUUGCCGACGAGUAGUAGAGACACAUACUCAUGUACCUGUAUGUGUUUCUAGUUAGCACAAACGCAUGUGUCUUAAUUAUUUCCCACCAUGACUUUCUCAAGUUGAGAGGAUUCUUCUUACGAUGUGACUUUUGUUGACGACGGCUUUGUGUGUCUCUUUUAGAACUUCUUAAUAAGGAAAUAUCUACAUAAAGGUGGUUAACAAUUUAGACUUUUAAUCUUGUUUCAGUCGAUGGCGACUCUUUUACUUUUACUUCUCUUGGUCCAUUCUUACACGCGGUUGUUUGAAUAUAGUUUUAUUUUAGGUGAUCAUGUACGUGUACGUACACUAGUCGGAUUUUUAGAAAUUUAUGCUACUCAUGUAUUUGGAUCUUUCUUUUGUAGUCAAACUUAGUUUGAUUUCUUAAUAUGGAACAUGGCGUCAUCAAAUUAACUUUGCACUUUUAUGAGAAUCAUUGCAACGUGUAGCGUUACUUGUAAAAGCACUAUUUCCGAAGAUUUAUCACAAAUAUUAUAAUUUUCCAUACGGGUUUCUAAUUUUACUAUUAUAAUAAUGCAGAGAGUGGAUUGGGGAUACGUGAAUAUGGUGGAAGCAGAACAAAGAUUACUAGCAAAUGCUUUAUUAGACAUAUCAAACGAACGAUUCGUACUUCUUUCUGAAUCAUGCAUACCUCUUUUCAACUUCACUACCGUUUACUCUUACCUCAUGAACUCAACUCAAACUCACGUUGAGUCUUAUGACCAACUUGGUGGAGUUGGACGUGGCCGAUACAGCCCUCUAAUGCAGCCACAUGUUCAGUUACACCACUGGCGUAAAGGCUCCCAAUGGUUCGAGAUGGACCGUGCCAUGGCCCUAGAAGUCAUCUCCGAUAGAAUCUAUUGGCCUCUCUUUUACAGUUACUGUCACCAUGGUUGCUACGCGGAUGAACAUUACAUCCCUACACUCCUCAACAUCAAAACAAACCUGAACCGGCGCAAUUCGAACCGGACACUCACGUGGGUCGACUGGUCCAAAGGUGGCCCUCACCCGAACCGGUUUAUUAGACACGAGGUGACUGCGGAGUUCAUGGAGAACCUUAGGAGUGGUGGUGAGUGUCUAUACAAUGGAGAAAAGACGAAUAUGUGUUAUCUAUUUGCUCGCAAGUUCUUGCCUACUGCUCUAGACCGGUUGCUCAGGUUCUCACGUAUUGUUUUACAUUUCUGAUUAUUUACUAUUCUUCUUUCAUUUAUUAUUUUUAUUUUUCAAUAUUCUUCACCGUGAUAUUAUUGUAUAAUUAAUCUUUUGAUUAUUCGUAAAUGAGGAGUUUAAAAAAAAAAUUUAUUUUAGGUGAUAUUCAUCUCUAAACAUUCCAUCAAACUUUUCUUUUUGCUAAUUCCGUAAAAUCAGCCGACGAAAACAAGCUUCAACGACUACAUAUGUUAGAUAUUUUACGUUUAUUUAGUUGACUAUCGUGUAAACUCUAUUACUAGUCUAUGCAACAAUGUUACAUACUAUACGAUAACAUGCGCACAUGCUUGCCACAUAACUCUAUAAAGUCAUUUCUAGUUUCUAUCGUCCGAGAGAGAUUAGAAUAAUGGACCGGACUUUAAGGCAUUUCUUGUGGGAGUUCCCUUUCAUUCAGGCCCCGGCUUUCUAGAGUAUGCAUGCACGUCCUUAGUUAAUACCUAGACUAGGGUGAUGAUUGGUGUAGAUGAUCGUUGAAAUAUAUAAAAUUGACCCAUUUAGAUUCAGUGAAAUGGUAUCCAAAAUAGGAAAGGUACAUUCUAUAAAUAAAAAAUUUCAUUCAAAUCAAUAAGGGAGAUUGAAACAUUUCCAAAGAUUACAAUACUGUUCUCAAGAUCAUAACUUAAAAAUCCACUCCAAAAUAUCCGAUAAUUCCAAGAAAUUCUCGGAAACAUUCUAGUUUGAGCGUAAUAAGGUAUUUGCAAGACACUAGAGCAAUGUUUAUACAAACUAGAAAACCAUAUAAAUAUUAUACUUGGUGCCCAAAUCUCGAUACUUUUUUUUACCAUAAAUUAUGUUCCACAUGAUAACUAAAGCCUAAAGGCACGAUAGCUAAGCGUGUGAAACGGGACUAUCAGAAUAGUAUUGAAAUUUUUGUUUACCCCUAAUCCAAAAACACUAGUGAGAGACUCACAUAAUUAUCAUAUUACAAACUAAAACGAAACAAACAAAAACCAAAGUCUACUACUCUAGAAGAAUGAUAAAAGCUGAGAUUCUAGCUAGGCACGUGAUUUACAUUUUUGUAGUAAACAAAUCUUACUACUGACUAGUAGUCCCACCGCACGUGUCCUCGGACAAGCAUGGCGAGUCCACCGCAGAAUUGAUCCCAUCAUUGCCCGGCGAUGCCUCAGAGCCACCACCACGUAUGUCCUCUAUCAACUUCACAACAUGACCCAUCUUCGGACGGUGAUCAGCCGCAACCGCAGUGCAAGCCAUAGCAAUCUGUAGCAACCCCACCAUCUCUUCCUCUAUAUCCUUAUACCUCAUCAGCUCCAAAUCAAACACUUCAGCCGUCCACUCUUCCCUCACAACCGAUUGUACCCAUCUCGGUAAAUCCACUGCCCCACCCGCACCGCCUGAGUGACCAGUUUCAACCAUAUUAGGACAUUUUCCGGUAAGUAUCUCCAAAAGAAGCACUCCAAAGGAGUAAACAUCAGAUUUUUGGGUAUGUUUUCGGCCAUCCAUCAGCUCCGGCGCACGGUAGCCGUUGGAUUUAGCGACGCUUAACGAUGGCGCGAAGAUAGAUAGCCCGAAAUCAGAAACACGAGCAUUGCCUGAUCUGUCAAGUAGUACAUUGGUGGAUUUGAUAUCACCGUGUGCAAGCUUCAUGGUUUUACAAGAACCAUGGAUGAAAGCUAAGCCACGCGCCGCCCCAGCCGCAAUCUUAAGGCGCGUGGUCCAGUCCAACGGAGACCUACCCGGUCCACGGUUACCUGUCCAAAACCCAAGCAAAACAACAACAUUACAAAUUUGCCACUCUACCUCAAAAAAAAAUGUAAUUAGUCACUUUAUUAGUUACUAAAAACAAUGAAUAAAGUCAUAAACAAAUGGUUAGGUAAGGACAAAACACAAGAAACUAAACAAAAAACGAAUAAAGUUCCCAUAAAGAUCGAUUUAAAUGAGACAGAUCAGAACUUUAUUUGUCCAACUUGUUGCCAAUGGUAGUGUCUAUCCAAAACAGACUUAAAUUUCUCAUUAUCUACAACAUAGUAAUAACAAAUAUCUCAUGAAAAUGAUAUUUCAACAGUUUUUCAAACAUAUAAAAAUAUGAUAUCUCAUUCUCACUAACUCCAAAAGAUUUAAACCCUACUACUCUUAUGACUUUUGGCGACUACUCUAUGUAACCAAGUUCCAUAGUUUCUUUCUCCUCAUAUAGAAACUAAGAAACAUUAACCUAAUAAGCAAACUAAUUAGUAAAAGGAAUGAAUCAAAAAUGACAACGUACCAUGGAGAAGCCAGUAGAGACUACCAUUAGGCAUGUAAUCAUAGACAAGAAGCUUCUCUUCUCUAGCAAAGUAAUAAGCUUUCAAGCUCACAAGAUUAGUAUGACGAAGCCUUCCUAAAACCUCCAUCUGUUGCUCAAACUCUUUCUUUCCGGCUACAGUCACUGCGUCUUUAAGCCGCUUCACAGCAACCUCAUUGCCAUCUUCAAGCACGGCUUUGUACGCCGUCCCGUAUCCUCCUUUCCCUAACAUCUCAGCCGAUGCUCUGAGAAGAUCUUCUAGCUCAAAACGUCUAGUUCCUUCGAAAAAUACCAUUUUGCCCUUGUCACCACCUUGUUGAUUCUGGUUGUUGUUGUUGUUUUGUGCUGAUGUUGGGUAAGGACUUGAUGAGUAGACUAUCUUCUCUCCUUCAAGAACCUUUGAGUGUUUCUUCUUGUUCACUGCGUACUGUCUCCAGAAACAGUAGUAGAGAAGGAGAGAGACGAAGCUUAAGAUAAUGAAGUCUCCGAGGAUGAUGGCUACGAGUGAGACAGUACUGAUUCUUGAUGUGUUGCUUUUGUCGCCGCCGGAGUGAAUUGAGGUUGGUGAUGAAGGUACGGUUUCAGGGUUGGAUAAAGGUGAAGCCUUUGCUUCAUCGGGUCGACCCGGUUUAGUCGGGUCACUAGAGAGUUUGCUACAUUUUAGCAAUGGAGGUCCACAGAGAGAUGGGUUUUGUGUAAAGACUGAUUCAGGGAAUUGAGACAACGAAUUUGGUAUCUGACCGUUGAAGUUGUUACCGGAGACGUUGAAGUCUUGUAAAUCGGAGAGGGUUAAGUUCGGUAUUUGACCGGAGAACCGGUUUGACUCUAACCGGAGAGUGAGGAGAUGGGUUAAAUCGGUUAAAUCCGGUGGAACCUCGCCGGAGAAGUUGUUGAAAGAAAGAUCAAGACGGUAGAGACGAGUGAGUGAAGUGAUUGAAGUAGGGAAGUCACCGGAGAAUUGGUUGUGUGAUAAAAAUAGAAGCUUUAAAGCAGUGAGGUUCGAGAGGUUUGGGAUUGGACCAGAGAGGUUGUUAUGUUUGAGACUGAGAACUCUGAGUGAAGUGAGUGAAGUGAGUGGCGAGAUUGACCCAGUGAGUCCGAUGUCUUCGAGGAUUAGCCGUGUGACUCGGUUGUUGUUGCAGGUGACUCCGGUCCAUUGGCAUGGUUUUGUUGUAGUGUUCCAUGAGUUGAGUUUUCCGGUGGAAUCAGCGGUGAGUUUGAAGUUCAAGAGAGCUUCUGAGUCAGAGCUUGAAGAAGAGGAAAUGAUACAGAGAUGGAGAAGAGAGAGAAGCAAAUGUGUAUUGAAGAAAGAGCUUUUGGCCAUUGUUGUGUGCAGAGACAGAGAAGAGAGACAAGAAAAAAGUGAGAGAGAAUAGAAACGAGCGUUGAGGACUUCAAGACAGAACAGAGUGGUAUAGGUUCGUAAUUAACGCAAACAGUAACGUAAACUUAACCUAAAAUGACUAAUGUACCCUUCUCUGAUAUUUUACUGUAUGUGAUGAAACCUGGACCGUACGAUCUUGCUUUAGAUUUGACCAAAGGGUUUAUAUAGUUUAGUCAAAGGGUUUUGAUUUUCCCCGUAACGGUAAAGUAAUAAAUUAGUUGGGUAUGUUCACACGCGUGACUAUGAUUCUCACGUGUUAAACUCUCUACAUGUGAAGAAGAUUAAUGCUCUCAUAAUUACUUUGUUUGUAAAACCAAAAAAUUAAAUUCUCUGUCAAUCAAAUCUUACAAAUUCCCAAAAUCUCAGUUCUUUAUACAGAAAUAUUUUUUCUUUUUGCCUUAUUAGGAGAUAAUCUGGUAAAUAAAGAGAAAAUUGUGGGGCUUUCCUUUUUAUGAUUAUUGAUGUAUCAGCAGCUUUUUUGGCUUUUGUCAUAAUAAAUCAGAAGAAGCUGAGCUUUUUUUGGCUUCAACAAUGUCUUUGCUUGUUUCAUGCAAAAUUGUUCCCCACCAUCAUACAUAAUUGUGGCAACCUUACAAAUUCCAUUAUUCAGAUUAGGCUCCAAAUAAAAAUAGAACUGGACAGUGUGGUGUGGUUAGUAACAAAGAUAUAUGCAUUUAUAUUUUUGUUACUAUUAGAACCGCACUAUAUUUUUUCCGCGUUUGCAUCGUACAUUAUCAUUCAAAGCUUUAAAGCUUUCCGUUUAGUAAUAAAUAAAACAAUAAAGAUAUAUGUAUAAGCGCCAUAAUUUCAUGAUCUGUUUUUUCAAAGUUGUUUCAAAAUAUAAUGAAAAUGUAAAGUCCCAUAAUUUCAUGACACUUUUAAUUUAUAUCAAAAUAUGUUAUGGAAAGAAAGAAAGAAAAAAGAAAAGCAAUUGGAAUAAUCUUUUGGCUUUUAUUUACUAAAAACCAAGUUUUGAUUGAGUAACAAGUAAAAAUAUGCCAAAAGGAGAACAAAUUGGAGCGUAUGCUUUAAAGGGUAUAAGGUCCCUACUACUACAAGUUAGUACAUUUGAAUCAAAAAAUCAUACCAAUCUCGUGUCUUCCCUAGGCUCCACAUUACGACCAUCCCUUACGCAAUGGUCGUUGAUCCAUGCCAAUCUCUGCUUUGGAGGUUUUGGAACAAACAUCUUUGAUUUGAGUCCAAUCAGAUAUAGUAUGACCUAAUCCAAAUCAUUCGUUCUUAAAGAAUGGGCAAAGAGAGACGACAUUUGAGCUUUUGUUUAUCCAAACUUUUUCAUAUAUUUUGUUUUUGUUUUAAGUAUGAAGACAAGCUUUUUUCACAUCGUAUACCAAAUCAAUCCAAACUCACUAUAAUGAACCCCCGAUUCACAGCAGGUCUACUAAACUUUUUAUUAAUCGAAUGGAGUGUAAUAAAAAAGAACCAACGAAGAAAGAAUUAUAAUGAACGAAUAGAGAGUCUGUGUGUGUUUGUGUGAGGAGAAGCAGAGAUACCAUCUUUCAUUCUUUAGAUGACUUUAACUCCGCUUGGGCGUUUCCCUUCCAUCGCGUCCUUUUUGUCACGACAGUCUGUGCAUAAGAACGGUCCUUGCCACGGUUUUAGACUUGUUGAGAAGAUCGAACCCGCGUGGACUGAUAUCCCAUCGCUUGGUGCCAAGUCUAGUUGGCAGAUCGCACAUGUGAAUAUCCCUCCUCCUGUUGUUGAUUCCUUAGAACAAUCACCUGAUCCUAACCUGCAAGAAAUAGCAUCAAAGUUGUUAGAUAGGUCGCAAAACGUAAGAUAACUUCCAAAAGACUUUUAUUUUUAGGGGGAGAAAAAGGAGUGACCUUUCAUCGAGCAUUGCAGAGCCUUCUUCGAAGAGCUCUUCCACGAUACCAACACUAGAGAGUUUCUUGGAGAGUUUGUUAGAUGAGUUUGAUUUCUUUCUGAACAGCAAAGAUUUAAAAAAGUUGUUGUGUUUCUUAGGAGGAGAAGGCGGUGGUUCUUGGAAGUUGUCGGGUGGGAUUAUGUCGACCACAACGCACGUAGUGUCAUCCUUAAGUCCCCUCUUUCUCAAUGCUUCCUGCAACAGAAACCUCAAGACUCUUUAGUUCACUUCUUUACAAGCAAAAAGGUUACACAAUUUGAAACUGUGUUACCCAUAUUAAAUUACCUUAACUACUUGUCUAGCAGCAAGUUCAGCGGAUAAUCCGCGGCAAGUUUUCGCAGCGGCUUCUGAGGAGAGAGCAUCCCAUAUGCCAUCUGACGCGAUAAUAAGCCUCCCGCCGAGAUUUGAUAGCUUUAUAUACAUAUACCAAUUGUGAAGAACAGUGUGAGAGUUUGUUUUUAAAUGACGAGACAAAUCUGUAAGAAAACAUUCGAAGAUAUAUAUACCUUCACUUGCUUUACAAAGGGAACUGGAACUAUGAACUCCCCGACAUCCAUAUCUCCGAUAGACCUUGAAAGGCAGAGACCUCCGGGCCAACACCGUAGAGGACCAAUCUGCAGAAUUCAAUAGUUUUUUUCAAGGCUCAAAACUAAAAAGUAAGCUGCUUAAAUGGGAAAUACAGAGUUUUAAUACAACACACCUCAACGCCUCCAACAAUGCUUAGCCUGCCAACUUCUCCACCACUAGCAGUAACCCGUUCCCUCCUGAAUCAUAAUAUAAGGGUUUAGAUUUAGAUUCUGCUUUACAAUCCCAAAAACAAAAAAUUUAGAAAGAUUCCUUAUUUCAGGUACAUACUCUUCUGUAUUAUCUUCAAGCCUGUGAUCCACAGUAAGGUUGGAAACUGAACCACCCUUAGUAUCCAAGAUGCAGCGAGAGUCUCCAACACAUGCAACGGUCACAGUCCAUCCAUCUACUAUCACAAAUGUGGCUGUUGUUCCAGAAGUUUCUCCUAGUAUCAAGAGAGGAAUAAACUACACAUCAGCCACAAGUAAAGACAAACCAAAAGUGGAAGUGAUGAUAUCUAGAAAACAUACCUCUGCUCUGAAACUCCUUAUCAGUCUUCACGAAUCCAGAAACUAAUGCACGGGGUAAGGCGUGAAGCCAUUCAUCACGGCUAAGCCCACUGGGAAGAGCACUAAUAACAUGAUCCAACAGAUUCUCCCUUGUAAAAACCGCUGCAGCUUUCCCAUUGUGCCCAUCAAAUACCUAACAGAUGGGCAAAGGCAACAUAAAACUAUAUACAGUCAAACAAACGACAUGGACAGGGUAGGUGCAUCAGUAGGAACUUAUCCAUACAAAGUCAUCUAGUUGAACAAUCAAACAGUGAGGUUCCAAGACUUAAUCUGCAUUUCUAUGGUCCUGCUACUCAAGAAUACUCAAUUCAAGAGUCUAGUUGCGAAAAGGAGUAACAUUUCAUAAGCUAUUACGAUCAUGUAUCUGAAGUAUAUAUACCGCAAAGACAGAGAACGCAGUUGAAGAAUUGGAAGGAACUCGCAAACUAUCAGUCUUGAUCAAGACAUAAUCUUCUCCUUUCCUAGAUUGAGCAGCUUGUCCAAAUCUCACAAUCGGUUUCUCCAUCUUAGCAGCUUUCGUCUCUCUACUAAUCAAAGCAGCAAGAGGCACAAGCUUCUCAUCAUGAUGAUGAUUAUGAUUACGCCUCUUUCCUUCUCUAGACGCCAUUACAGCAGCUUCCGAAUUAACCCUUUGUGCUCUCAAAAAAUCUUAUAACCCUUUACUAAAACCAAUCUUUCUGACCCAAGAAGUCAUGAAUUUGUAACCAAGAAACCCCAAAAGCAACCCAAGAUACAAACUUUACCUGCAAAUUACAUUGAAGAAGAGCAAAUCUGAAUCAUUUAGUAUAAGAAAGUAUCUAUUUUUAAACUACUCCAGGAGAAGAGAAACUAACUUAGUGAUUGCUUCGAUGUUCUUCUUCUUCUUCUUCCUCCUCCUUCUCUGUUUCGACGACAACAAGUACAGAUCUGAUUGAGACAAACAGAGAAAAAGGGUAAAGAGAAGGAAGAAAGUAUUAAAGAAUCUCCAAAGUCAGAAGUAAAGGUCGACACGGAAGAAGAAAGAAACGCGUAAUGGUGACUAGAAAUGAACUGUAAAAUCAAAACCAAUCAUCCAAAUCCACAAGGAAAGAGAAAAAAGAUGGGAUUUUUCUAAGGACAAAAAAGGAGAACUUUAAGGAGAAUCUGAAUAAGAAAAUACCCAGAAUUAUAGGUAGGUUACAAACAAGAAUCCAGGAAGAAGAAAAAAAAAAGAUUGCAACUUUAAUGAGUAGUAGAAGAAGAAGAAGAAGAGGAGGAGGAGGAGAAGAACACAAGGCGGUUUCUCAACAUCUUCCUUUGUACCAAACAUGAAACAAGUUUGGUUUUUGUUAUAAGACAAAAUGGAUUAGAUUAAGAGAGAAAUAUAGUAAAAUACAAUGAUGAUGAUAUGUUUGUUUAAGUACUUGUGCCGGUGAGAAAUUGGCUAAACGCUUGACCAAAUGUGAGAAAGCAAGCUGUCACAAAAACCCCACAUUCAGGCUAUGAUUGGUGACAUAGAUUCUUAUUAGCAAUUUCAUUUUUAUUUUUUUCCCAUUUAAACUAAUCCAUAUUCGUUGCUGCUCCCUAAUCUUUUUGGUUCAAAGUAAGUGUUUACAAUAUAAGGAUUUAUGUAUUUUUAACUUAUUGUUUGCCAAUACUUGAUAGUAGUAUGAAAUCAAUAAUGUGAAACAUAAUAGAAUUUCAAGAGUCAACUGUUAUAUUAUUUUUCCUAAGUAUAAUAUGCCAUCUAAUGUAUGACUUAAUUAAUGUAAAAAGUGUAUAUUUUUUUAUAAUGUAGAUGGAAGAUAACAUUGGAAGUUUGAGGUUUUGAACAUUUUGAUUACAUAAUUUAUUUCCAGUUCAUUGGAGUGCUUAUAAUAAACUGAUUAUUUGAUUUUGCAUCAAAAUAUAAUUUUAGUUUGAAAUUACUUUAUACAAAUUUGAGUUUCCAAAUAAGGAAAAUAAAAUUGGCAGAAGAAAAGAUGAAUUAAGGGGGGAAAAACAAUCUUAACCCUUAAAAAAAAAAACAAUCUUUGUAAGUUUCUGUUUUUAGUAUUUGUAUAAUUGUAUUGUUAAGUACAUAAAUUCAGUUAAACGACAACGUUCUCACGGGACAUUGGGCUUAGUUUUAGAGGACUAGUGUAAAAUUUGUCGCUGAUAAAAAUAUUUUAGGAGCGGCGAGAGUGGUUACACUUUCUUCUUGGGAUGUGUCAUGUGUGUUGUGAAAUGUGAUCCUCGUCGUCAUCGUAAACGAACAACGAGGCUUUCCUCUACGUCAGAAAAUUCUGAAUUACUUGGUCAGGUGUUUUCUUUUUUUUUUAACGCCUUAAAUCUUACCCUAGAAAAAAAGAUAAAAAAACUUAUCUAGCUUAGAGCAUUCUACUGAUAAGGGUCAAUAUCAAGGUUCAAAGAGGACGAGAAAAAGUUUACUUAUGAACAUGGUGUUGGAUCUUUCCACAAGACCACAUCUUUUGCAACUAAAAAUAUACUUUUGUGCCGGGUUGUCAAAUGUCAUUACAAGAUCGAUGGUAAGUUUUGCUCCACCUCAAAAGAUCAAUGGAUAAGUCUCUCACCUCAAAAGAUCAAUGGAUUCCAAUGAAGCUGGACUUUCAAGAGCCGCAGCUCCUAAUGUUCUGGAACAGUGUGGCGAUUUGCCUUCUUUGGUAGGAGUAAAACAUGUUACAAACCAUAAGAAAAGAUCACGUAAUAUAUGCAACAUGCUGAAAGUAACUAAGCAAUGAUCUCUCCAUGAUCUUAUUUGUUUCAUAAUCUCACUAGUUUCUAAUCAUAGUUAGUUGUGGAGUUCUCUCAGUUAAUACAAGUCUGGACAACAAGUUAAUCCUCAGGAAUGUUGUGGUGCCCUCUUCAUUAUCUUAAGUAAUGGCCUCUUCCCUUCCUCUGUUUCCCCUGCUUUCUCCAUCACACUUCUUGAUCAUAAUUACACAAUGCUCUUAUGUAAACAUUUCAAGUUGUUAGGUUCAUGCUUCAACACGACCAAUGACAUGUAGUCUACAUGUAGUCUUUAUUACAUUUACAAGCUAUGAGAUGAUGCAUAGGUUUCUCUACAUGUAGUCUCGUUAACGGAUAAAACAGAGAAUGAAGAAGAACACAAAGACUUGGGUACGAAAAACUUAGACUCACAUUGGUAAAAUCAGUAGUUCCCCAUCCCCUUAGGAAACAAAUAGGUGAAAUCUUGUUCAUCUUUAUUAAGGAUUUAAACAGAAAGAUACCAACUCUGAGAAGUAACAAAUCUAUUCAUUCAUAUGGGAAACUAAUUGUUUCCAAAGUCACAUAAUAAAAGAGAAGAAAAUUGGUAACAUUACUCGGGAAUAGUACCAAGCUUAGGCCGCCAAGAUCGCUGAAGAAGCCGCUUGCUGAACCCAAACCAAGCAGGUGCUGCAUCGGUGGACUCACUUUGUAAACUAGCAGCUGCAUUCAAUUUAGCUGCCAUGGCUGCAAGAACUUCUUCUUUUGUUUUCCCUUUACGUCUCUCCUCUAACUCCACCUCUUCUUCUUCUUCUUCUUUCUCUCCAGAAGACGAAGAGACAAAUAAGUCUCUAAGUUUGCGUCCAGCUACAUCCUUGUGACUAUGAUGAAUCAACGGCUGCUGCUCUCGGCGGCUCGGUGAUGCAAGACUCAAAAGCAUCUUUAAGGUUGUCUUUUUGCGUCGAAGCUGCACCAAAGGACUUGUCCUCGGACUCGGGCUUCGUGUAGGGCUCUGUACAGCCACUCCGCACUGUGUCCCCAAGAACUUGAAUCUUUGCAACGUAGCCAUAGGAUUUGGAAAUGUGGCGAUUGGAAACUUUGCUUUCAAGUGAGGUUCAUAUAAAAGGAUCCAAAACUUGGGGACACUUGUUAAAUAAAUGUCCUUUUGAUUCUUUUGAAGCAAGUCUUUGUCUCGAAAGUGUGUGCUUUGAAUUGGAAUUUUUGUGGACCGUAAGGACACAGUUUCCAAUGAAAAUCCCAAAUUGUGUCAUUAUUGAAUGAGAUUUUGAAAAAGAUAAAGUGUUUAAUUUAUUCGAUUCCUUUUGCUUUUUCUCAUGUUGUUUUUGCUCUUUUACUUUCUUUUUUUUCCUCAAUGCGCAUAGAAGAAGAAUCAUUUGCUAUUGGUUUUUUACCCAAUUUUUUGAAUGAAAUGAGAAAGAAAUAGUGUGAGACUUGAUGAGACUUGAUAGACAGGUGUUGUUGACGACAAAAAAAAAAAAAAAAAAAAAAAAAAAAGACAGGUGUUGUUUUUUGGUCAUAGAUUUGUAUUAGAAUUCUUGUCGUGUUACUGUGUUUGGAAUGAGACAGCAGUGGUAGUCUCACUAGAGAUUUGAAGGAGAAAAAGGGCAAGUUUGAGGAAUUUUGGAGAUUUGAUGUUCAAGAAAAGAAUGAAUUAUUGAGAUUCAGAAACUUUGGAAUAUUGGUGACAACAAGUUCUAAGAAGAAAAGAAAGGAACAUAGUGUAAAUUAUUCUAUAAAUAAAUAUAUAAAAAAAUUGCACUUCUGAUAUUAAAAAAAAAUAAAAAUGUGAUUUUAAGGGUUUCGUAAAAGUCAGGUGAACAAAGUGUGUCAUUCAACAAACAGUGAUGGUGAUUCUUACAAGCGUGAUGAUUUCGAGUCACACCUAAGGCGGAUAACUCAUUUGCUGAGACCUCUGUCCAGGAAGAUCCUAAUUUGUAUCCAGCUGCAUAUGUGCCUGUGCAAAAUCAAGACUUAUCUCCAAAACGCAAAGGUAGUAAGGUACUAUGUAUUUGCUAUUAGUUCAUUGAUUGCUCAAGUUUUGAUUACAGUAAACCAGUGGAUGAUACUAAGAAAGCUUAUGUAUCCUCCGUUUAGACGAGCUCUUAUAUUGUGCUUGCUGUUUCUGCAGCUCCUAAGGCUAAACAAAUUGCUCUUUCAUAUCGUAAGAAGAUUCCUACAUCUCGCUCUUCUGCUUUAGGUCAACCUUAUACGAUCAAGAAAAGAAAAAUCUCUAACAGCAGAAGAUCGUCGAUGGGUAAGAUUUAUUCUUACAUUUCAGAGUAUUUUGGUGUGUUACGGGUGAUAGCAUUGGGAUGAGCUCUGAAGCACAUAGAGCAUAUAUCCAGAUCAAAGUGAAAUAUAUCUCGUUACCAUAUACUACCACAUUAGCCUAGCCUUAAAACAAAUAAGUAGUAUGAUACUCAGAAGAACUUAAUAAUACCUGCUAAUAUUCAUAUAUUUCUAACAAAGGAAAAGAUCAAUGCUAGAAGAACACAUGCCAUGAUCUAAGCGUUGAGUACAUUUAGACAAAGGAGAAGAAGAAACAAGAUUUCACUCUUACCAGUUCAUCUACAUCGACGUAAACAGAAGCAAAAUAAAACGAAGGAUAAAAAAUAAAAAGAUGCAGGGACAAGCAUGUGCUAUAAUCAAUCAUACAUACCUUUUAAAAGUCCAAAAGAAGCUGGGGAAGAAUCCUCUCUAAAUGAGUAGCUUCAAUCUUGUCCAUUCCUUCAGCUUCAGCGAUUAUAGCAGCGCGCUGCACAGCCUCUGCCAAUGCCCAUUAGGCCAUUAAGAUCCUUUAGUUAAGGAGAAGAUUGAGUAGUAUCUAAAAAUGCAAACAUGGAUGGAUACUUGACCUGAGACAAAACUCUUGAGAAGUUCACAGCUGAGCUUUAAAGCAUUUGCGUUGGCUACAAGAACCAAUACUCAUAAGCAUCCAUGUCUCAUCUCCCAAUUUACAUGACAAAAGGAAUUAUAAACAAGGUUACCAGAAGCAAGUCUGUUCUUCUUGGUUGUUCCCAGGGCAACCUGCAACUAAAUGUAAUGCAUCAACAUAUCGAAGAUCAUAGCUGUUACAGGAUCUAGUGAACAAACUACAACAUUGAUAAUAAUACCUCAGCUUCCGUAGCAUCAAUGGCAUCGCUUCUCUCCCUUUCUGUAUCGCAAUUGAGGAUAGAAAAUCAAACAGAGAAGAUCAAAAUAAGCGAAUUUAAGUUAACACUAUCUGUACCGCGAAAUCUUCGGGCCCAAAUGUGUUUGAAAAUGGCGUGAAUCAGAUCCUAAUUCCAUGAAAACAGAGGGUAAACAAUGGAGAUGACAAAAUUGCGGAUGAGAAAGGAAGAAGAGAGUGAAGAUUACAGAAUCGAAGGUAUUGUUCGCGUCCAUGAUGUUUUACGCAUGUGAAGAAGCUUCCUAGGGUACAGAAACCAAAACGUGGACCGCUAUAAACUAAUUUGAAAAAGGAGAACAAAAAAUCAUGGAAAAUUACUACCAUUGUUACAUACACACCUUGAGAUGUUGAUUCAACGAAGGCAGCGAUUUACAGUGAGCCGGCGACGACGAGCUCCGAUGGAGAAGGACUGGAGGGAAGAUAACUGGAAAUUGGAAGACGAAGACGAAAGCUCGAGAAAUGAAAAAGACGCUAAAUUCAAACGACGACGUUUUGUUUAGGAAUAUCGCUAGAUAUUGCAGUCCAUUAAGACCACGUUCAAGGCCCACGAUUCGGCCCAACACCUAAUUAAAAUAUAAAAUAGGAAAAAGGAAAUAGAAAAAAACUUUGAAAUAAUACUAGUAACUAGUUAUUUUCACUCAUACGGUUUGAUUUACUUGUCCUUUUGUUGAUAUAGAUUGUGAAUUUUGUCACUCGUUUUCUCUACUUUGGUUUCUAAAGUUAUUACUUACUUGUCGCUUUUGUUUUGAUGAUUAUUUCAGUUUGCAGCUUGCUUAUGGACCGACGUGGUUAUUGGGGAAGACUACAUUUAAUCAUUACAACAUGAUGACAAAGUAAUACGCUACGUAUGUUUUUUUUCUUGUUCGAUCAUCUUUUCUCUAUGUUAAUAAAUUUUAUUUUAUUUUAUAUAUAUUUUUCAGGGUUUUAGUCUUUUAGAUUUCAUCAUCAAAGAGGGCUUCUCGUCACACUUGUUUCCGGAACAACUUGUGUUGGCUAUAGCUACACAACUUGCUGAGAUACUAAACUUGCCAAAGGUCUUACAGGUAACUCCUCUGUGACCAUUCUUCGUUUAUUCAUUUCGUUCUUAUUAGUUUGUGAAUUUUUUGGAACAGUUAGCUACUUCGAACAGCAGCUGAGUACGUUUUUUCUCCUUUUUAAUAUAGAAGAUAUCCAAACCUGUUGAGUUCCCUUUGGAGUUGGACUUGCUUCCUUCAUGAGCAGUUACAAAGAUUCCCAAGUAAGUGACCUUGUGGUUCCAUAAAAUAAUCUUGACAUUGUCAUGUCUUGACAUCUUAAACUGGUUAUUAUUUUGUUUCCAUAGGUUUCUACAAAAUACCAUCUCUAUGCCAUUGUGAAGCAUCUUUGGAAUAUAGCAUCCCUUGGUCAUUAUGUGAGGUCAGCUACUGAGACAUGGCAUAAGUUUGAUGAUGCCAAGGUAAUAUGAUAUAACAGUUUUAUUUGAUUUAUGAGUUUAUAUUUUUCUUCACAGAAAUGAAUUCUUGAUUUUGUUCCUCAAGAUGAUUGAUGGGUUGAAAUUGCUCGCAACAACGAGGUAUUAAACACUUCUUUGUGAUUCCUGGUUUCAUUUCUUGUUUUGCAGUUCUGCUUGAUGUUAUGUUUCUCAAAUCUGUUUUGCAGGGAUGUCUGGUGCCAAAGAAGUCAACUUUCCCUUUGGGUAUUAAAACGCCUAUGGAUUAUGUUCACAGCAAGGGCCUUAAGCUCGGGAUCUACUCAGAUGCCAGGUAAACUAUUAUUUCCUAUGCUUCUAGAAUCAUGAUUUCAGUGGUUACUAGAGGAAUGAAUUUCACACUUUUCAUGGUGCUUUGAAUAUGAAUACACAUUCUCAUUCUAAUUGUUUUGGUUUACUUGCAGCACAACUAUGUCAGGUUUUUGGUUCCUUAAGUUAAUUUCUUUGUCUUGUAGGUGUUAUGGAAGCGAAUUUAUGAUCCAAUCAUCACUCCCUGCUUCUGAAUAUUCACUCAUACGGUUUGAUUUACAAAUCUUAGUUUUACUUAUCUAUCUGUUCUGUUGUUGUAUAUUGUGGUAGAUGAUGCAGUGAUCAAUCGUUAUUUUGUUGUUUUUGUUUUCAAAAAUUUUGUCACUCGUUUUCUCUACUUUGUUCUCUCUUAUGAAUUUACUAUUUGGUUUCUAAACUGGAUCUGUGUUUUUGUGCUGCCCUCUGUUGUUCAUAAGCUAAAAUCAUUUUUCUCUCUUUGAUGCAGAUCGUCGUCCAGGCAUUAGGAUUGCUCUGUUGAAUCCUAUAUUCUCUUAUAUCAUCAUCUGUUUAGGUAGGUUCUUUGUGCUACAUCUUCUUUUUCCCCUAAUGACUUUCUGAGAUUUGCUAUUCUUGGUGAGGUAUGAUGUGAUUAGUGUUCAUCCCCCUUAUCUAUUUUUUCUCUUUCUGAUUUUAGAAUCUAUGGUUUAAAUGCUAAUCACUUUUCCGUAGGGUUGUCUUGUUUCUUUCUACAAAAGUCAUUAUCUGUGUACUGUAUAUGGAUUGGAUCAUGGAAUUGGAAGUUUUGUUUUGAUAUGUUAGCCUAAAUGUCCAUGUUUAUGUGCAUUGGGAUUUUAGCUAAACCUGAAUAGGUUUUUAGGUUUUUUGUUUUCAAUGUCAUUUUUGUAUGUCUCUUAGGUUUUCCAAGUUUGAGCUCCUCUGAUGCACAAGGCUGGACAUGGUAUAAAUAAUUGACGUUUUUUAAGAUAAAUGAACAGGUUACUAACUGGUCUCAUUCCCCUUUUCUCUAUGUAUCUAUCAUGCUGCACCUAUUUCUAGUGUUUGAUCAUAUUCUUAUGUCCAUGUGAUUUUUUACCUCUUGGAUUUGUUAUUUUAGAUUAUGGAGGAUGCUUUGCUCGGUUGGUGAUGGUUCUGAAUCAGAACUUCUGAUGGAUCGUUGUCUUCUCUGCGCUACAUCUAAAGGUAGUGUUCUUCCUCUUAACCAAAUUUUUUUUCUUUUCUUUCUAUAUAAGUGAAAUUAAAUACAUAUGUCUGUUUGAUGCAGACCAUCGAGGCACCGAGAUUACUGUGUGAAAGGGUCUGAAGAGAGAAAAUCUGGUUACUAACUGGUCUAUUUCCCUAUAUAUCUGUUGGUUUCUCAUGCUAUAUAUCUGAUGCUACAUCAUACUUGUCAUGGUGCGUUUUGCCAUGUUACUGAAUUUUUGCCUUGUUAUUGAAUUUUUCAGGUUAACAGUAAUGUCUGAUGUCUCUGAUCUUCCUAGUGAGCUAGCAUCUACGUUUCAAGCCUAAUACCAUGUCGUUUGUUAUAGAUAGUCGAGGUUCUAUAAGAGAGAAUCAUCAGGUAACUAAUUGGUCUCUUGCCUUAUAUCUUUGUUGGUUUCUCAUCUUCUAUCAUGCUUGUGAUGGUGGUUUUUUUUUUUAAUAUGAAAUGCUCCCUUCUUUACCUCUGUUCUACUUCUCAAAUUACUUCAAUGUCACAACCACAAUUACCUCUGUUCUGUGUCUUAUUGUGUCUUCUGGACUCUCUUGAUGUGUUUUGUUGUGUGUUUCCAGAUUCUCUUGCUUGGAUAGGUUUUGGUAAUUCUUUUGCCGCCCAAGAGGAGGGUGACCAAGCCAUGGCUGCCUAUCGCGCUGCCGCUAGGCUAUUAUCAGGGUAAUCAAGUUUCUAUUAUUUUUCAUUUUCUCUGUCAGAUGGUGAGCCAUACAUUUUUCAUUUUCUCUGAAUCUUUUUUUUUUUGUCUCGUUUUUUAGGUCUUGUGGUUGAUACCUGAUGAUCAAUUUUGUACUGAGAUGUUGAACGUGGCUUUCAUGGAUGAAUGUCAGAAUGGGGUUAAUGCAAAGGUUGAGCUCCAAGAGAAAUUGGUAAGUUUAAUUAACCGCCUUAUUCUAGUUUAUGUUGUAAUUGAUAUGUACUAUCAUUGUGACAACACAACAUAUAAUUUAUCUGCUAGAAAUUGUUGUUGUUUCAUAUGUGAAUGAAUGCUUGGUUUCUUAUAAUGGUCUUCCAACAGCCAACUCCGGCUGGGAGUUCACUUCUGAACAGUUUUUCAUGAUAAUGUUGUCAAGGAUCACAUCAACAAGCAGCAAUAUGGAGUGUGUAUGUUUUUCUUAUAUAUCUCUGGUUAUUCUUUUUUAUCUCUUGUCUCUAGCUAACUUUGGUAUGCAUGUUUUUUGUUGUAUACAUCAGCCUCAAGGAUUGUCAAAUUUGCUCAGGAAUACCAGAGAAAGGCAUCAGUGGAGAUGAUGAUGAUGAUGACUUGCUAAGACGCAAGACCAUUUAUGGUUUCUAGUAUGAAUAUGCACGUUUGUUAUUAUCUACCCUGUGUUAAUUUUAUUUUCCUUGCUCACUCUCUCAUAUGAUCUGUUGGUUUCGUUUUUGUUUGUUUUUCAUCACAGAGGAUUCUCUCAGGAUGCUUUCUGUGAUCUCCCUUUGAUGGCUGCUGCAGUACCGCCUUUAGCACUUGGAAUUUAAGAAAAAACAGAGGUUAGUGAGUUUAGCAAAAUGGUGUGUUUUCUUGUUUCCUAUUAUAGUGAAAUUGUUGACUUUCUCUUCCGGCUUUGGUAUAACUCCUAAUAGUGGCUUCCCUUUUCUUGCUAGGUUAACAAAGACUAACAAGGACCCAUUCCUAAUGUCUGGCUGUAAAGUGGCAGAUGGAAAUGGUGUUAUCCUUUCUACCAAAAGUUGAUGUGCAGGUGCAGAAGCUAUCUUCUUGUGAGACAAUGGGAUCUGCCACCAUUAUUUGUAGCGAUAAAACUGGAACACUAACAUUAAAUCAGGUGUGUUUUGUGUUUAUAAAUAUGCGUUCACUCCAUGUUUAGAGUAAGACUCAAAUGAACAGUUUCACUACAGUUUUACACCUAUGAGUGGAAGAGUUGAUUCGUAUGUUUUCUCUCCUUCAGCUGGCUGGAAGAACCUUACGAUGUGUUGCACUGGCCUAAGCCUUUAGAACAUUUGAGGUUGAAAAAGUUCCAACCGGCGUAGAGCUCUCAAAGUGGGUACUUCUAGAGGAUUACCUUAUUUUACUAGCAAGCAUAAAGAUGAGGAUCAAUUUGGUUUAUGCUUUAUCCAGAGAUUAGUGAAAUAUACACUUUGUGGUUUAAUGCCUCUCGUCCUUUUGAGAUCACUUUUACCGUUUGACAUUGCAAUUAUUGCAUUUUAGUCCAGUUUUAGAGACAUGUUUUGGAGUUCAUCUUAGAAAAGUAUUUACUGAAGCUUCAACAGUUUUGUUGUCAAAGCAAGUUAGCUUAACAUCUGAUACAACAUCAUCCAUGUACACCGGGCCUUGGUGUUGAUUUAGGCUAUGUUGGUCUAUUUAGUAUUUACAGAGUUAGUUUUUUUUGGGCUAAAUAAGUAAACAAAUUGGAUCGUUGUAGUUAAAGCCUCUUUUUGGCCCAACUCUGAUUUUUUUUUUUUUAAUUUGAUAAUUUAUUCUAAUUUUUUUUCCGGCUGUCAAAUCAGCUUUGCUUUAAAACCAUUAGUUAAUUAUUUGAUCUUUUCCUAUCCAAAUCAUGUAAUCAUUUUACAUAUUCUAAUAAUUUCCAAUGGAAGACUGCUUGCACUUUCACUGUUCACAGCUUCCUAACCUUUCAAUUUCAUGCAUAAUAAUCACAAUCACCAUCAUCAUCAUCACAUCAUUGUGAUAACAUCAUCCAACAUUUUAACUUGAAGUACUUAAUCUUUUUUUCCAAGAAAUAUAAAAGGAAUCUUAAAACACAUGGCUUAAUUUAAUCUUUGGCAUACGCAUUAAAAUGAUUUGAUUUAAGCUAAAUAACUAUAUAUCUACCACAAACCGUGAAAAGUGCCAAAUUUCACCAAGAAAGCAAAACCAAGUUUAGAUUUGCUUCGAAGACUUUUAUUGUAGAACACAACACAAAACAACACCACACAAGUUGUUUUAGAGCAAAAAUCGAAAACGUAACCGGUUUGAUAAACCUGAUCUUCUAGUAAGUUUCAAUCUGACUAUUGCCUUCUCGGAUACGUAAACCGUGGCGUGCAUCUAACCUCAGAUAUACGUUUAUUGUGAAUCUGAUAUUUAGACCAAAUCUAAACUCCAGGUCAUUCUGGUGAGAAUCUAAAGCCUUCCUUAUUAAUGCGAAAUUAUUUUUUCUUGCUGCUGCUUCAUUCAGGAGAUUACACGUGGCAUAAACUCUGUGGUGAACAUGUCUUUGUUCCUACAAUUGCAAACUGUCACAAUUCUGGUCCAUAUGAGUCCUUCUAGCACCUUUCCAUAUUUUGCGAUUUUAAGAGUCAAUAUUUCAUAAAAUACAUAAACUAAGUUUCCUAAACAGAAUUAUACAGCCAGAAUUUGUAAAUUCAACCCCAAACUUGAAGAUAAAAUCCAUUGAAAGAAGUAUUUUUUUAAUUCUGUGGAAAAUCAUAGUCAAAAUUCAUUUAUCUGUAAAAAACAAUUAAAGUAAUAAAAUCCUUGAAUAACUAUAUCAAAUUUUCCUUUGAAUAACAAGAAAAUUAAUGUAAAUCUACCAAAAACAAAUGUAGUAUAUUAUUUUAUUUUAUUUUUUUGUGCAAAGUAUAUUAUGAGUUGUCAUAUUAAUUAGUAAAAACUGGCUAUGAGUUGUCUAUAUUAUUAUUCUUAAAAACCAAAAAAAACGAAAAAAAAAAAAAACAAUCUUUUCUCAUCAAUGAUUCCGCUACAUAAAGUAACCACCAACACAAUUAUUUUGGACGCCUCAAAUCCAAACCUUAUUUCAAUAAUUGUGAAACAAAACAAACAACAAAAUAAAGCAAUAUAUUUGUGGUAGGUCGUUCAAACCCACUCAUAAAAAUAUUUAUGAUAAACCGAUAAAUAAUAAUAAUAACAGCCAAAAAAAAUUACUAUUUUACUUUAUCCAUUAUUAUUUAUUGUGGUUGUGAGAUAGUUACAGACACAGAGAAUACAUCUGUCAGAAAGCUGACUCAUUGUGAUUGUAUCUUAUCUCUCUCUUUCUUUUAUCCUACGUGUUACCAUAAAACUCUCAUAUUAACCCACUAGAUCUCCGACACGUGUGGUUACUCCUUUAAACUCUUCACUUUGGUCUUUUUAAAGACUUUGCUCAAAGCCUCUUGCAUCCUCCUCUCUAAUCUCUUCUCUUUCUCUCUCUCAAAACUUUUUUUUUUUCUUUUAUCUCAUAAACCAAAAAAAAAAAAAAAGAAGCAAACCCUAUAAUGGAGGUGCCGGUGAUAAAUAGGAUUAGGGAUUUCGAAGUUGUUGGUAUAAACUCGAUUAACGAUCCUUCGUUUCUUUCUCGAUCUGUUGCUGUUUCCGGAAUCGGUAAGCUACACCAAGCUUACGGGUUUUGGAAAUGGGGAGCUUUGAUUAUUGCGUUUCUAGCUUAUUUCACAAACUUUGUUAGUAAACUCAAUAGUUUAGUUGUUAGGUUAAGAAAAAACAUAGAUGUCUCUGUCUCUUCCCCAACUCUUUUUGAUGAUUACGACAGCGAUUCCGAUGUUUCUUGUUCUUCUGCGGCUUCGUCGGACGAUGAAGAAGAAGAGGAAGAGGAUCAAGAAGAUGAGGAUGAGGAUGAGGAUGAAGAUGUUGACUCGAUCUUUAGCGAGAGACGACGGGUCAACGGAGGUUUCCGCGUGAGAGGAUCUGAUUACGACGAGGGGCAGAGUGGUAAUUGUACGUGGAUGCGGCAGAGGUGUAGUGGUAGUUUUGGAGAUUUGUUCUCGUGGCCUGAUCUUGGUGGGAUUGGUUCGAGUGGUGUUGUGAAGCUUUGGGAUCAUUUAGAUGUUGGUGGUGGUGAUGAUGAGGAUAACGAGAAUGUUGUGGCGACGUUUCUCAAGAAUUGUAGCUUAGCAGCCUCGUCGUCGCCGGUUUUUUUGGCCGCGGAGAAGAAAGGUGUCGACGGUGUUAAAGUGAAGGCGUGUGAUCCACGCGCCGGGUUCAAGAUGCCGGCGUUGUUGGCGGAGUGGAGGCAGCCGGGGAGGUUGUUAGGGAAUAUUAUCGGAGUUGAUGCUGGUGGAGUGGAGAAAGUUUACGUGAGGGAUGAUGUGACCGGAGAAAUCGCCGUCGGGGAUUUGAGGAAGUUUAACGGUGUGUUGACGACGGAGAGUGAGGGUAAGACAUGGUGGGACGUCGCUGACGUCGUUAUCUCGGGCUGAUGAUGGUGAGAUUGAUUCGGUUGACGAGAAGGAUGUGUUAAAGAAGUGGUGGGACGGUUUUGGUUUUGUCUUAAAAAAGUUUGAAAGAUUCAAAAAUCCAAAAAAGUGUAAAACGAGAAACGAUUGAAACAUUUUGUAAAUAAAAAUUUGUCUGUUUGCUUUGCUUUGGAGUUCGAUUCAUUGAAUAAACAUCAGCCUCAAGAUUAAUUAAUAAAAGUGUGUUUGGUCGGUUACUACUGGUUCACUUGUUAUCUGGCUCUAUGCGUAGCCACUAGCCAAUGUUGGCCGGUUUCGAGUUUGGUGUGAUGAGAUUAGAAUAUAGGACAGAAAUGUCAGAAACCACAAAAAAGAACGAAAAAAAAAUUAUAUUAGUACCAAUGAAACCGAAACUUAAAAAAUUAACCCAAUCAGAGUUUUAAAAAAAUAGAAAAUUGUAUUUUAUUUAUUUAAUAAUUCAAUUCAUUUUUUUAAUGAAAAUAGUCGUUUUAGAGAUAUAUUAUGACAGGGAAAUGUGAAUUAGUUAUUUAAAAAAAUCAUAGCUAUAUUUAGGUUUCGUAUAGUCAACAAAAUAAUAAUUUGAUUAAUCUAAUAAAAUCUCGUCAAGGUACUGAUGCUCUCAACCGAACUAACAGAGCACAAGAUCAUAAUGGAAUGAGACAUGUACUGCUUUUUAUCAUCUUAACUGUAAUGUUCUUGGUGGAGAUGUCACACGAGAGAUAUCAUAUCAAAGUGUUCUUUCGGAUAAAUCUCAUGCCUCAUCAGUCGAAACUCGAAACUCUUUGUAGACUUUUAUACAACAAUCUUUUAAAUAAAAUUUAUAUAGUUAAUAAUAAUGAAAAUGAAGACAUGUAAAAUAUAUUCUCGUAAUUUUUCUUCAAUACGAUUAAGUUUGUCAAAAUCAUCGAAGUAUACGACUUUGAUUUUAUUCGUAAAGACAGAAACGUGUUAAUCAAAAUACUGCAUUAGGCAAGUGAAAACAGUUAUUUGCGAGAGACUUUUUGACCGGAUUGAUAUGAACAGUUCUUUGAUUUCGGGAAAUCAUGUUUCUUCUAUUCGUGUGGUUCACAUUUUCACGCAACACAACUCUCUCUUCAAGCAUUUAGCAAAAAUAAGGCUUUAGUUUUACAUUUUAGUUACACCCUAAUUGCUUUUAAAAUCAUAUAAAAGAAAAGUCUAAGUAAUAUCACCAUCUUUGUAAAGCAAAUGUGAUUCAGAUUUAAGAUAGUAGUAUUAUGUUUAAAAUUAGCAACAAUGAUAAAGAAACUGGAUUGGAUAGAUGGCCAACUAGUUGACCAAGUUAAAAGGCUUAACAUUGUUAUUCUCCAUCUCCUUAAGUAACUCUUGUCUCUUUCUUCUUGAUAAAUUUUCUUGUUUGGAAUAUUAUUGCAUGUAGGUAGACCAUGUAUUUACUUAUUAGUCAAGAUUCAUUGAGGAUUUGAAGAGAGAUUGGAUUUAUAUAUUGGUAUGUAAAUCUUCCGAAAACGUAGUGUCACUAAGAAAAAAGUAGAGAUAUAGAUUUGUGGGAUAAGAAAAAAAGAAGACAAAUACUAGAAUCAUUGUAAGUAGGUGGUGACUAUAGAUGAAAGGAACUAAACGUAUUUGCUAAAUUAUAAUAUAUAAAGUUUCUUUUACUUUAGACUUUGUUUUUGUUUCAUGAUCAUAUAUAUAUAUAUAGUGGUGAUCGGUCGAAACCAAAAUUGAAAAGUAUCAACCGAUUCAAUCAAAUAUGGGACACUAACCAAAUAGUGAAACAGCUGUGAAACUCUCUACAAAUAAAUCCAUAACACAAUCACAUUUAGUGGGAAAAAGACAUUCGUAGUGGGAUUUAUAUUUCGAUACAAAUAAAACAAAAUUAAUUAAAUGAUGCGUUAAUAACGGGCCUAGGAUCUAUAGUGAUUUGUAUUUAGUUAGUCAUGUGGGCUCAACAAGAAGGCCCUAUACGCAUUACAAUUUAUAUUUGCCAACAAUUUUGGAUAACCUAUCAAUUUAUUGAAGUGAACAUAUCAUUCACAUAACAUUUGUAUAAACAAAAACGAAAUGUAUAUCAAAUUAUACAGUAAACUGGAGUAUAAUUUAACUAAUUUUGCUAUAUGAAGGUCACAAUAGAAACUUUAAGUGUAGGGUUCAUCAUCAAAAUGGAAGCUUCUUAAACAACAUGUUGACUCUCUACGAUUCUCAAACCGUUACAUAUAUAGAAAAGUUAAUUGCUAAUUUAAUUUGCAAUUAAACUUGGUCAUAGAUGUGCUAUAAGAACAUCAACUCACGGCGUCCCCACAUUCACUAACUACAAUGUCAUCUACUAACGUUAUCAUUCUAAUUUUUUUUUUAAAAUAACGAGAAAUUUGUACACAGCUUGAAAACUAAAUUUAUUUGGAAAUAGUUUUUAUUGGACGUGAAUAUUUUUGGACCAUUGUCUAUUAAAUACCAUCCAAAUUUAACCCACAUAUAAAAAAAAUUAUCUUAACAAAGCCAGAUUAUUUGAUAGUUAUUUAUAGAUGAGCGGUAGAUAAUUCUGUACCAAUAUUAAUAAUGUGACAUCGUACUAUAUUUUGGUAACAGAAGUAUUUGAAAAAAAAAAAUAGAUUGAAAAAUUAACAAGAAGAUCAAAAUAAAUCGGAACUACCACUAGUUCUAUUGCUUCCAAUUUCUAAGUUACAUGUACAUUUUAUAUUUUACUAAUACAAAACUUAUUUAUCGAUUUAUGUCAUCAAUCAAUCUGAUUCAUGGAAAGAUUCUUGUUGAUAUAUUACAAAAGUAUUUGAGAACCUGCCCUGUUGCGUUUUAAAUCAAAUUAAAUACAGUAACUAAGUGACAUUUCUUUCUUGGUUUAUGUCAUAAGUGACAUUUACACCAACUAAUUACGACUAAGUAAAAGAACUUAAAAACAAACGAAUGAACAAACCAAAGUAACACAUACAAAACGAUAUCACAAAGAAGUACUAUUUUCAAAAGUCUUAUUUGAACUUAAAUAGCGAAGGUGAAAACGAACCGGUCCCGUUCGGAGACAUGUAAAGAAGUUGAGUUGGAGAACCAAACAAAGUCAUCGAGCUCGGUGUGAACAAUGGCAUAUCAGCUAGCUUUUUUCGUUGUGCCGCCGUGUCAUCAUCACCUACGUUAACUUCUUCCGUCACACCAGAUGAUGAUUCGCUGACGUCGUUAGCGUUCCGUCUAAUAAUAUCCUCUAAACCCGUGAGCCUCUGAACCAAAGCCAUGAAGUCCUCGGCUCGCGUGUGGAUCACUUUCGGAGAGUGCGCGUAGAUGAUCACCGGACCUGUCCGUCCAUGUGGCCGUGGCUGAGACUUACACAACGUCGUCGUUUUCUUGAUGGUGUGAGAUCCUCCGGCUAGUUUUAGCGACGGAGGACGUGAGCCGUUGAUCUCAUUGCAUCUUGUAGGAAUCAUGGUUACUAAUAUAUCUCAAGAGAUUGGAGAAUGAAAAGAUUCAAGGAAGGUUUUGAAAAUGAAAAGGAGAUCUUUGGUAUAUGUAGAAAUAUAUAUUAUACAUUUGCGUGUAAGUUUGGUUAUAUAUAUAAAAAUACGUCUUAUUAUAUCGAAGCCAACGAUUCUGACCGUUGACUUUAAACAUUACGUUGAGAGUUUUGAAUUUAGAACUAGAACUGUUGUUGUGUUUGAAUAGUAGACAUGGCUCAGGUAUAUUCUGCUUAUUCAAUAGUUUCCAAAAGGAUUGUUAAUAUUAUUUUGGUAAAUAAUUCUUAAUUUUUGUUCAUCUUUGAAUAUUACUGGCUGUGAUUAUGUGAACAAUGACCAUGCAAGGUUGGCUGAAGGAGAUUGUUGAAACAUCCUUCAUGUACUUCUUUCCUUAUACGUAAUAAGGAGUUUUUUUUUAAAUGUUCAAAACUAUCGUCUUGUUUUUUAAAAAAUUAAACCCAUUUACAGGCAGCUGAAAUCAUUAAUUUAACUUUGUUUUCCCCAAAUUGUUAGGUAUUAUAGUGAUUAUUAGUGUAUAACAUUGACAUUGUUUUGUUAAUCACUUUCUUUAUAAUAUACGAACCUGUGGAAAACAUAUCAACAACAGCUGAUUCAUUUAUUUUUCCAAUUGGAGAAUGUAAAUCUUAAAAGAGUUUAGACAGAGUUUGACUUCUGUUCUAAUCGGCCGAUGUGUACAUCUGUUUUUAUUAAUUUCAAAAUCAAGAAGGUAUGUUCAAUGGCUAUUUGUAAUAAUUAAGGAGGGGUAAAUCCACACAGUUUCCUAAUUAAAUACAAGUAUGAUGUAUAUAAUACAUGUGCCAUGAGAAUUCGAACACCACUUGUAAAACACUAAUUGUUUAUCAAAAAGUCAAAGGCCUUUUUGUUAAUUACUAAUUAAUAUUUCCACUACUAAAACUAAAAUAGUUGUUGUGGAAUAACAAGACUUACACAAAAGUCAACCUUUUUUUCUUCCUGGGUGUAAGUGUUAUUCUCCCUUUUUCUUUUCAUUCUUCAUAACUUAAUUAGUGAUUUUUAUAUAACUUAAUUAUUAUUUUUCAUAACGUAAUUAGUGAUUUUUCUCUUUAUAAAUCCAAAUCCACUAUUAUUUGGAUUUAAAUUCAUAUAACAUAUUCUGUUGAGAAAAGAAGCCAAUUCAGCCUUCAUUGCCUCGAUUUGUGUUGGUUCAAGAGGCUGAUGACACAUAGUGUGACUUCAAUGGUUUAAAAAAGGAAUGAGUCUAAGACUUGCAGCUAAUAUCAAACUAAAUAUACGCAAAGACUAACAAGUAUACUCAGAUAUCUCAAAACAAGAUGAAGAGUUUAACCUCGAUAUCUUCAAAGAUUAUCUUCACUAGUUGUUCUUCUUGCUCUUUUAACAUGCUUCAACCAUGGCAACAUCCUUUUCAUUGAGCCACCAAUCACUGUAAGCGUCAAGAAUCCAAAAUACGCAACAUUUGGACCCAUACUAGUUGCACAUGCAUAAUGGACUUGUAUAUUUCAUUUUCAAUGGGUUCUCUAUUUCUAACUAGAAAUUUUUCUAAAAUGGUCCAGAUGCUAUUAGUAAUCCUGGUAAGCCCAAACAUGAGCCCAGUAAACAUACUUGUACGGUUUGAAGCCUAAAAUCAAAAGAGCAGCAACUAAAACAAGCCAAAACUUAAGAGUGCAUGCAAUGUAGAAUUAUAAAAUUGGAAAAGCUGAGACCUCGGGAUUAUAGGAUCACGCGCAAACACACCGCACGCGCACUAUUUGCUGCAUCAUUGAUCAUUGAAGCUAACAUUUGGAUCUAACUGUGCUACUGUUGUUUAGGCACCACUGUCAUAUUUAAUGGAACCAAAAUUAUUGUGCUUCGGGAAAGAAAAAAUCUAAUAAACUAUUACAUGAAGGAACGAUUCAAUUCUUGAUAAAUACUUCUUACAGACCUCGGAUCUCUCCCAUCUACUGUUUUAUUUUCCUCUUUGGUUUUUUUUUGUCUGUUCGUUGUCCCUUAAUUAAUACUUACAUUUUCUUGUAAUUUUAAUAUGUAUUUCCUAAACUGUUUCUACUUGCUUCAAGCAACAGCAUUUUCCUUUGGCCAAGAGGAGUAUAUAUGAUCACGCAUGUCAGUUUCUUGUUUCACGAUGUACAAGAGAAGAGAUACAUAGAUGAGCUGAAAAUAAAAUUAUAGGCCUUAUUUUUUCUUACAUUGAAAAUCCUUUUAUCAAAGGAAAAAAAAAUAUUGCAAAUAGGUAAUGAGAAGCCCUAAUCUUGUGGACACGAAUACUUUCAACAUGAUGCUUCGUUGUAGUCGUUAUGAUUUUUGUCUUUUAUGUCCUCUAUUUCAACUAAUGAUGAAAAUAAGACUAUUAUAUUAGAUCCAUAAACCAAAUUGUCCAAAAGAACGAUAUAAUUUUUUUGUGUGAAAAGUAUGAAAAUUAUUAUGUCUUAGAACACUAGUGCUCCUAAUCAAAAUUUUUAACGUUGCGCUAAUAUAAAAACGGUUGGUUUAAUAUGUCAUUUCACGAGUGAGUUUUGAUCAUUUCAAAAUAUCAUUUAAGAGGAAAAUUAUCUAUCGCCAGCACUAGUACCUAAAUUUUAUAUAUUUUGAUUUUUUUGGGAUGGAAUAUAUUAUAUAUUUUGAUUUAUGUGUACUGUUUUGGGGAAUAACUGCAUAUUUCAUCUCUAUAAUCAUAAUGUUUAUUUUCUACCGUAGUAUACAACUACUCUAUACUACUCUGACGGCUGAGAAUAAACCUCAUCAGUUAGUCUAGCACCCAAAAUAAACCUCAUAUGACUGUAUGCUGGAUUAUCUUAUAAUUCACAUAAUUCUCUUGGAAAAUAUCACUUCAAGUCUUCAACAAUCAACAAUUUUCCAGUUAAAUUUUUCUCAUAAUAUUUUCUCUCUAUUAAAAUUGGGAUUAAGAUUAUUAAGCAAGCAUAUGAUGAUGGAGAGUCAACAUACCAUCCAAAUUGCAAAGUCUUUAUCAUUCAGAAAAUAUUGCUCGAUACAGUGAAAUUAACCAGUUUGUUAUCAACGAAUGCAAACUCAAAAUUAGUACACAAUUUCAAGAAAAAGAAAAAAAAACAAGUAAAAAACUUCUUAAUUAACUUGAGGACUUUUGUUGACGAUGAAUUAAGUUAACAAAAAAAAAAAGCACCCUUAAUGUAACAUGUGCUCAAAGUUUGACUUUUAUCAGUUUUUUUUUACAUCAUUUGACCUUUUUUUGUCACAAGUCUUCUGCCUUUUAAAGUUUGACUUUAUAAAACAUGCAGAAAUGUACAAAUAAUAUUUGUAUAUAUAAAUAGAAGGACACAAGAAUGAUAGGAAACAAAAAAAAAAGGGUACAAAGAAGCCCGUACCUUGAUCGUAGACCUUAUUAAUGUAUAUGAACAAAGAGCGAAUAAUCUGAUAGAACUUGAUAAUUAUAUGUUUGAAAUUGAUGUAAAGCUGUCAUUUGCAUGCAUUUAGACAAAUUUGGGGGAUUAAAGAGAAGCUUCCUUUCAAAUCUGAUUCGGGCUAGUAAUAUGGCGAGAUCAUCAAGCAUACCAAUCAAUGUCAUCAAACCUUAUAUUUAAUUGUACAGAUAUAUUUUCUCUUUGUUCCUUCACAAAAAAAAAAAAAAAAAAAAUAUAUAUAUAUAUAUAUAUAUAUAUAUAUAUAUAUAUAUAUAUGUAUACUAUGUAGUUCCAUAGAUCCGGGCAUUUAAACUAUGGAGGAUUGAAAAUACAAACAAUCCUAAGCGUUCGGCCACGUUGGCUCCGGUCUAUUUUAUGUUACUAAGUGCAAAGAAAACAAUCAAGUAUAAAACUUUGCUUCAUGCAUGGAUCGUUUAGCUAAUAUACAUUACACAACAUGCCCAUGUUUGGAAAUUGGAGAAAAUGUUAAAAUGCCAUUACGCAAUAUAUGUGUUCUAAAGUUCAUUUUACCAUAUUUGGGAUGAGUGAAACUAAAGAUGUCACAAAAAAAUCCUCUAUAUCUCAGGGCAGUAAUUUUUCUCAUCGAAAUCAGUAAACACACUAUAAUUUUUAAAACAUAUAUAUACAUUUAAAAGAAUUAAUCUCUCUAUUCGCUUAACGCAGUGAUCAACGAUAUGUUUACAUUUCCGCAUGCUAGUUUAAACUUUAAAUUUGUCUCGCAUUCAACUUCUUAAAAUUUUCGAUUUCCUUUUUCAAAAAGUUUUAUAUCUUAUUCAGCAGCAUAUAUCUUUUUUUUUUUUUGUAAACAAAAAAAUCUAGUGAUUUAUAAAAUUUUAGAUAACAAAAAUAAUAUAUGUAUAUAUGUGCAUGUUUGUGUGUGUUGUCAAUUGAAAUAUAUAUAUGUAUCCAAUAUAUGCGAGAAAGGGACCACUUGUAAAUUUACACUACGGACAAUACACAAUCUAACAAUCCAAGUAUACACGAGAGAAGAGGUAUCUAUGAGUUAGCUAGCUAGGUACAUAUGUAUACAUCAUUCCUUAGAUUGGAAUGAAAGAAAUAAUUGCAUUCAAAGCGCUUGUUGACUAAGACCUAUCCAAUGGUGAAAAAGUUUUGAUAGCAACCCCCUCCAGUCUAGCUUACAGUUUACGUGCCAAUAUUAUUGUCUUUGGUUUCUGAUCAACAACAAGUACUGUCACAAAUUAUGACGCCUUUUUGAAACUGCAAAGAACAAUGGUCAUGAGAACUACGAGAGAAUAAUAAAUGAGUGAUAGCGAGAUCGAUAGAAAAUAUUAUUGUUAUUUCACUUUGUAUUGCAGUGCACAUAUUUACAUAUAACAUUGACUAUAUAUCCAAGUUUUGUUAACCAUCCGAACUAAUCUUAGGGAUGAUGAUUGAUGAACAUGUUUUUUAAAGUCAUCACAAACGAAGGAACACACGAUUAUAUAAUCGAACACAAAAGUAUGUCGAGUUUAAGUUCAUGGUCAUAAACCACGUGUAGUAUUCACGAACAAUGAUUUUUUUUUUUUUUUGCUAACUAACAGUGAUCUUUUUUUUAUAUUACAAAGUCUGUUCUAUAGAUCUUAUUUUUUUAAGUACGAAUUGUUUAUACGUGGUGCAUGCACUUAAAACUCAAGAAUCAAUAUAUAUAUCUUGUGACGAGAGCUUGUAGAUCCACGGCUAACUAGAUGUGGAACAAAAUAUCGUGUGGAAGUUAUAGAAGAAUCCAUAUCAGCUCGUUAUGUCUGUUAUGAUGAAGACUUAAUUGAACCUAAAAAAUACUUUUAUAAUAACUUGGACCAAAAACUUUAAAAGUCCAAACAAAUCAUUACAGAGAUCAUUGAAAAUAACUAGUCGAAUAAAAUCUAUGUAAGAUUGUCUUUUAAGAUUUUGGAGGAUUUCGUUUUGAUUAGUAUUAGUUGUCAUAUCCUGACUUCAAGUAAGUUCGUGGGGCUGUCUGAAUCUAAAAACCUCCUUGCGGCUCAGGUUGCAAAACUCUGUCUGCAAAUCUAGAUAACCCAAAAAGUAAACAUAAACCAAAUUAAAACACAAAAACUUUGAAAGAAUAACUCGAAUUACAUACAUUAACGAUCAAGCAUCAUAAAAUGUAGAAUGACUCGUUUUUAAUUAGACGAAUUAUGUGUUGGCCUCCUAACUUAAACCACCGGUUAAUUAAGAAUCCAACAAAGGCGACGAUCAUGUAAGCCACAUUUUAUGUUUAACUUCUGAAAUAGUUCAAAAUUACGGUAUCAUUUUUAUAAAUUAGAUAUGUUAAGAAGUGUAGUUAAGUAUGGAGCUAACCCUUUUUUAUUAAUAUAGAGAAACACAACAUGGUAUAGAAUACCAAUUAUAAAACAUGUUUACUUAAAUUAUUGUAAUGUCAUACAUGUUACUCAUUUUAAGUUCUCUUUUGUACAUAUGAUGACCACUAAUACUAUAUAAAUUACAAUAACAACUCACUGAAGAUCAAGUUGUUAUAAUCUUAUACUACUAAACACUCAAGAUUGGUAAUUAAGCUGGUUUAAGACUGAUUGAGGUUGAGCCUCCACCACAAUGACAAUAACACAAAAAAGGUCUUUUUUGUUCCGACGCUAAUUGCAAAAAAAAAAACAUCACUCUCUCCCCAUGCCGUUUGCUUUCUUCUCUAUACGCAACACAACAUUUCUGCAUACUACAACAACAAACAAAAAGCUUCCUAAUUUUCUUAAAAGAUCAAAACUUUUUGAAAAAAUUGUACACUUUACACAAAAGAAAAAAACAAUUAACUUUUCUAAUAAAAUUUUCCCAUCAAUUGAGGGGUUUUUAAGUACCAAAAAUGGCGGAGAAGGAGAUCAUAUGUAUCAUGUUUUCCCAACAAAACAACAACAAAAAAUGUUCUUUUUUUUUUCUUCUUUCAUUUUCGUUUUUAUUACAUGACCAAAAAUAUUAGUAGUUUCCCAAAAAAAAUGAGCUGUAAAAUGGCUGGAAACAAAAAAAAAAAAAACCUAAUCUUCCACCAACAGCCGCUUCACAAUCUUUACGCUUGGCUCCAACACUUGCUCUUCCCAAACCUCUCUCCACUUCUCCGACGACGAACUCAUUUUCAUAACCUCUUUAAACGACGCCGUUGCAUCAACUCUCUCUAUCUCCCACCCGGCGUCUUUUAGCAUCUCUAUCUUCUUUAUCUGUCUCUUCGCUAACGUCCACGUGUUCCUUUUUAUAUCAUCCACCGCCUUAUCGUACGCCGCUUUUCUCAAACCAUCAUCAUCAUCCCACUUUAUCGUCUCCGGUGGAUACUCUUUGAAGUAACCGUCGAACUCCGGUACGCCUAUAGCUUUCCGGAUACCAAACCGGGGUGUUAAACCGGAUUUAACCGGGUCGUAAAACCCGGACAGCUCUUCGAACAUACCCGAAUCCAUCAUCUCGUCGACCCGUUUGAGGAGGUACUCGUAGAGCACGAUCUCCGAUACAUCGACCCAGAUGAAGCGACACUCGUAACGCAAAUCGGAGGUGAUUAGACCCGACCCGGAUGAGAAAGGAUCGAUCUUUGGGUCGAAUCGUUGAGCCAAGAGUGCGUGGAUGAAAGAGUUAGAUCCACCGGCGAUGAUCGGGAGCUUUUGACGAGAUGUUAUGUCAGAGACGGCGUUUGAAGCGGCGGAGCGAAACUCCGCGGCGGUGAGUUCGCCGUGUUCGGGGUUGAGGUAACCGAGGAGAUGGUGAGGGACGCCGCGACGGUCUUGUAACGUAAUCUGAUUCGUUGUGAUCUCUAAACCUUCGUAGACUUGGAUUUUAUCUGAGUUUAUGAUCUCUGAAGGGAAACGAGUGGCGAGAUCGACGGAAAGUUUCGAUUUUCCGGCGCCGGUUGCUCCUAAAAUGACGACGACUUUGUCUUUUCGAUUCUUUUGCGGUGAGUAGUACUGCUCCAUGCGUAUGGAUGAUGAUGAUACUAAAGGUUGGUGUUUUCGUCUCCGUUUCGUGAAAGAGAUGAGAGAGGAAGAAGAAUGUGAUGAUGAUGAGAACGACGGUGACGUUGUCGUGGUGGCGGCGAUGAGACGAUCGGAGAUUGUUGGAAGGAGGAAGUUGAGUUCUGUCAUUAGCAAACAACAACACGGAAAGAGACAAAAAAAAAUCUGAAGGUUUCGUACGGUUCUGUUGUGUUUUUGUAACGAUGCACCACACACACACUAUACAAAUCUCUCUCUCUUUCUCUCUUUGUUGGGUGAGAGAGAGCUUCACUUCAAUGGAGGUGGCUGACCUGUAAUGUAUCACCACUACUUGUGGGUUUGGAGAGGGUUUUAGAGGAGAAGAAAUAAAUCAAUGAAAUUUUGAGAUAGAAAUUGUUGGAGUAGCAUACUUGCAUGAUUAACAACAACAAGAGAGAGUUUUUUUUUUCUUUUUUUUUUUUGGAUUUUUAAAGUACCAUUUGUUUAUAUCUAUAGACGUGAGGAUAUAAGUAUAACCUAGAGAUUAACAAAGACAUACCGAUGAAGAGAAAAAAAUAAAAACAUCACUGUUUUCAGGUUUAUAUACGAAGUUUGUUUUUUUCUGAGGGAAAAAUAAAUUAAAAAAAUGAGUUAAUUUUUGUUUUUUUGUUUUGUUGUGGUUCCAAUGUGUGUUUUCAUCAUUGUUUUGUUGUAACACACAAAUGUGUUUUUUCUUUUUAACAUUGAAAAUAGGAAAGAAAAGACAAAAAACGAAGCUCGAUAUUUACUGAUAAAAAUAGAUAAAUCAUCCAUAUGGCAAAAGAGGAAUUAUUAUAGCUUUGGGUUUCUCGAAUAAAUUAAAAAAAAACGCCAUAUGAAAUGUUAAAGCCACGUGUCCCUUGGAAGUGUGUAUAAGGAGAAUGGGAGAGCAAAAAAAAGUGAAGAAGGGGUGUGGCAAAAGAGAGACGCGUGGGGAUGAUUCUGAUUUAUUGGCUUAUUGCUAUUUGCGAGGGUUACACUUACAUACAUACAACGCACCUAUAAAUCUUCAUAUAGGAGUAUCUACUUACAAGCAAUCGAAUGUGUAUGUUUGAGAUCCGGAAUAGAAGGUUAAACAAUUGGGUUUAUGAUGAAAUGGAGUAAUUUAAGUCAAGAUUUUCGUAAACACGAAAACGAGUUUACCAAGUGGAUUUUAGUACAAGUACAUGACAUCAUGGUCCAUGGAGGUUACGUUAUUUGAGUAUUAGUUUGUGAGAGUUGAAAAAAGAAAGAAAUCAGAUAUCUUAAUCUUCCCGUUUCCCACCUUUGUAUUAAUCGUGUAACGCUCUUUGUGAUUAUGGCAUUAGCCAUUAAGUCUUUCUAUCUCUCACUUUGGUAAUAUUACAUUUUUCGUCGAUAGACUAUUAAGUGUAAGAUUUGACCAACACAAAUAUACUUCAAGUUGCUAUGUUAGUUAAAUAAAUUUAAAUCAUUUCACAUGACUAAUCAAUUCUAACUUGUGCUUAGUUCUUCUUCAAAAAUAACAUCAAAAUGCACAUUCGCAUUCGAUGGAUCCGUCAUUGUCUUAUUUGCUAACGUUUCUUAAUAGUUUUUUUUCAGAAUUUGAUAUGUAUGUAUAUAUAGUAAGAUGAUCAAUAUGGACUUUUACCACAAUAACAUAUGCCAACAUACCUCAUAUAUAAAACUAUAAACACGUUAAAAAAACACUUGAACUGCAUGUUGUUGUAUUCCUCCUACUACGUACGUACUAUACAAUUCAUCUUUUUACGAUAUUUUUGAUCUCCUCUACUUCGGACCAAAAUAUGACUAGUCCACUUCUUUUUUUGUCUCCUACUAGUCCACUUCUAAGAAUGCGUUUUACACAUUUUUUUUUUCUUCUUCUUGAUAGUUACGUACGCACCACACAUUUGAACGGCCUCUUUCUGCGAAAUUCGUUAUGAAGCUUAUUCUAUGCAACGAAAGACCUAAACCUGAUUAAUUUAUACGUGCUUACGUUGAAGCAAGAUGGUUCCUUUGGUUUUCGGUCGUAGGCUUAUGAUGUUGAUGUAUGCUAUCCAUCUAGCUAGCUACUCCUUGUGUGGAUUAAGUAUUAAGUAUACAUAAAUUUAUAAAUUGUAUACCAAUGUUUAUGCAAAGUCAAUGGCUUCUCUAAUCCAAUACAGGAAAUUAUAAUAUUUGUUAACGCUAAUCAGGUCUUCUUAUCCAUUUUAUUUAACUAACUAAAAAACUUUCGCUUUCACCCACAUUAUCAUCAAUUAUUAUAAGAUAUAAACCGACACUAAAUACAACUAGACUAAGAUUCAAAAUGUUUCUCGUUAGAUGAUAUAUGAAAAUAAUGGUCCAAACUGGGUCUUCUUUAUGUCAUCGAUUCAAAUUGAUACAUAAAUUACAAUUGUAUGCACACAUGCGUGUCUAGAUCUACUCGGGUAUGUAUUGAUGGUCUUAUACAUGAAUAUAUAUAUAAGUUAAUAAUCACGAGAGAGUUUGAAAAAAAAAAAAAACAAUUUUGAAGGACGUACGUUCGUACGUAUUAUGGAUAUGCACGUAUAAACUUUAUUUAAAAUAAGAUUCAAUUAUAAUGUAAAUGAUAUAAAACUAAUGAUAAUAUUUUUCUUAGAGAAACUCUUUCCGCCGUUGGAUUAUAAUUAGCUAGCUUUUUAUUAAUUAUUAGAGACUUAUGGUGAGAAAUUAAUUAUCAGAAAAGAAUCCUUAUAAUAAAUUAGAAAAUUUGAAGAAUAAUGUGAAAUAAAUGACAAAGAAAAAAAUUAGACAAAGCCACCACUUGGCUUCUGCACAACUCAACGGUUCAUUCAUCAUCCGGACCUGUAUUGUGUCUGUAUCUGAUUAAUGUUAACCUGUUGCUCUAAUCAUGAUCCAAGUGCCGUAGGUCUUGUCUCUUAUGGAACAUAUAUUAAUUUAAUUAGUCCUUAACUUCGUUUUAAUAAUAGUUAAACACUAUACGUCCAAGGGAAAGUGUACCGCUUGAACUGAUGAACUUAUAGAAUAAUCAUUGCGUAUAUUAAAAUAGUCAGCCAACUGAUAUAGAUAUAUAAAUCGAAUUAUAUAAUUAAACAGAAUAGUAAUAUAGCUGACUUUAAUUUCCAAGUCAAAAAAGGGAAAAGAAUAUAUAGGUAAGUUUUAUUUCGACAAAGAGAUUUAUCGGUUUCAUAUUCAACAAACACUAGUAUACGUCCAAAUCAAAUUUUAGAAAAUUUUACUUCUAAUUUGUUUUUCUUAAAGACUAGCUAGAUAUUUUAUGUGACCAAAAUUAUCUUCCCGAACUAUGCAUGCACCACAAUAUAUAUGCAUAAACAAUAAAUUGCUUAGUGAAAUGGUCAUCCACAAUAUGAUCAUGAACGCCUUAGAUUAGUUUAAAACUUUGUCGGGGAGGGGACAGAAUCACUCAGUUUCAACCCCUAUCUAUGUUGACCAAACCGGUUGAAGUCGAUUAACAAACUCAACAUGUGAUACAAUUCACCUAUAUAAUACGUAUACGUCGAUAUUUGGUGGUGAUGAUGAGACCAAGUUAUAAACUUAAACUUGACGGUAAUUAAGUUGUAUUCCAAAACACUAAUCAAGUUUAGUUUAUUGAAAACAGCAUGACGACUAUCUUUUGUGAAGUCCACCAAACUUUUGCUGCACGCUGAUCGAAUAAACGACAAGGUGCUUCAAUAUAGAUAAUACUAUGAUAUAGUACCAUGACUACCAUCUACAUACGACAUGCUGCAAUGUAUAGUAGUAUAAAUUAAGUUGAAUGGAACGAUAUGUCGGGUUUUGUAGUUUAUCUGAGAACGAGGUUUAGGUACCUAAGUCGUGACGUAGUAAAAAAGAUCAGAGAAAACAAAACUCGAAUUAUAUAUUCUUCAAAUGUUUACAAGGGAAACACAACAUUAUGAUGAUGUCCAUCAAAAUUGUGAAAUUAACAAUUUUAUAAUAUAGUAUUAAAUAAAUUAGUUUAAACUUCUCUGCAAAUUUGAGCAUCCACAUGCUGUCAUGCUAGCUCUGCCUCUCCCACACGCGUGUCCCUAAACAAAACCGUAUUGAGACUCAAACAAAAAAAGUACAACGUAGUUUUAAUUAAUAAUUCCCCUAUAUGCUCAACUCAACUAAACAGUAAACACUAAGCACCGUAUUCUCAUAAUUCUUAGUGAAUUUUGGUGGAGGAAAAAAUCACUUCUAAUAAACAUAUGAAUUGGCUGCAAAUAUCUGAAAACUACAUUGAUUUGUAUCAAUAUCGGUUAUUUCGUAAUCGUAUUUAUGUUAUUAGCAAGUUUCGAUGAUUCAUAUAAAAAAUAUCAGUGUUUUGAUAUCGAACUUUGUUAACUCAACAUCAAAAUUAUCUUAUAGUUGUACUGAAGAAUUUAUUAAAACAUUCACUUUGAGUAUAUAAAUUACUAAAAAAAACUAAUGAAAUUAUAAUUUGCUAUUGCAUAAUGUUAUUUGAUUACAGAUUAGUACUUUUUCUUUUUUUUGUCAUAAUAAUAGAUUAGUACUAUUUGGUUUUCUUGGUCCAAAUAAGCAUUUUAUGUAGAAGGCCCAAAUACUUGUGUGGUUUUUUUUUUUUUUUGGUGAGAUGCCUAAAUACAUACUUUGUAUUCAUAUAUUAUCUUUUAUUCUAAAUUGGGCUUGAGCCCUAUAAAAUAGUCAUGGGCUAUUUCUGCGAAUUGUCCAAUAGUUACAAUCUCAAAUAUUUGUAAUUGAUUGUAGUAGCUCUAUAGUAAACUCUACUACUCAUUUCCUCUUUGAUGUUUUUGUUCACCGUGGAUCUUGGCUGACUACAAUGUGAUUGGCUACGGUGGCCAAUCGUGUCCUAAAAUCGCAAUUUAACUUGUAAUGUGACGUGUCCUAAAAUGUGAUUGCUAAGGUCAGUUGUUGAGUCAAAUACAUAAGGGAAUGUUUUAAAUCAUAGACAAGUUGAGACUUCAUAGAGCCGCAGAAAAAUUCACAAUCUGUCAGACUGUCACACAGAUCCCACAGUGGCAGUCAAGAAGGUGAUGUAGAUGAAAAUUAUAAUUCUUUAUUAAUUCUUUGGGAUUAAUUACAUAUGGAAAGCAGAAAAAAAGUAUAUGGCAAUUACAAGGAAACCAUAGCCUUGGCCCUUGCUUGCUUAGCUAAUGCCUCUAAAGCUACAUCAACCGCAUCUGGCAAAUCAUAGUUAGUAGCGUUUGGAUGCGCAUAAGUCAUGCUCGGGACCAAACCGAUGACUGUUUCCCGCAUUCGAGCAACCUCACUAUCCGAGAUACUUAACAGCUCUUGUUCUAUUUGAGUGCUGUUAAUUUCGUCCAUGAACACUGAGUAACUCCUUUUAUCGUCUGGAAGAUACCACAUGUACUGUGUAUACAUAGUGUGUGGUGAAAAAAACACCGGUAUGCACCCAGCUAACAUCGAAUCAAAUGUUGAUCUACGCGUGAAUGAGUCCCCUGGUGCUUGUAGACAAAACCGUGACCGAGUCAUUACUCCUAAUACGUUCAUUGGGUCAUGGCACCUACAUUAAGCAAAAAUAGUUAAGGUUACAACAUUUCCUCAUAACGACAAAAAUUGGAUACAUAUAACACUCAAGAAUCAAGAUAGUUCAACAACCAAGUCUCCUAUUUGAAUUAUUGUUACAACUCUUAGUCAAAUUAGUUGAGAGAGUGUUACUACUGUUAACCAAUGAGAAUGUAAAGUAAUAAAAGUAACCAAAUGUGGCAGUAGUAGUUGUCAAUAAAAAUUAAAUAGUAAUGUUUAUGACUUUUGGACCCCUCCAAUAUAAAAAUUGUGGUGGCUGUAUUCAAUUGCGAAAACGUGUAAGAAAAAUUAAGAAAAAGAGAGUAAAUGAAAAACCUGGACCCUCCAUUUUCACACUUGAGAAGCUCACAGUGGCUUGAAUCGGCGCAUUGUCUGAUCAGCUCGUCUCUAAUGGCGGCUUUCUCCAACCCUUUCCUCGGCCCACCGACAAAACUAAACAAGUUUGGUCUCUCGACUCUUCUCAUCUUGUCUUGCCACGUCACCAUCUCUGCUGACGUGUACGGGUGGAAAUAAGAAGGAUACGGUAUACCGAAGUGAUUGUCACCUUUCCAAGGCUGCCUCUCUACGGUCAGCACCGACAUGUUCAUGACACGUGGCAUUUGCAUGAGGAUGUUUGCUCCAAAAUCAGUGUCGGGGGAGCGCAUGAAGUCCCAAGCUGUCCUACCUAUGGCCAAGAAGUGGUCGCGACCGUUGCUUCUCCUCCACCACCGUUGACCACUAAUGUAGUCGACUAGUCUGACGGCUAGCUCGUCGCGUUUGGUAAGGUUCUGCUCUCGGAACACGCUUGAAGCGUAGAGGCCACCGUAGAAAGGGACGUAGAAGAUAUCCGCAUUGUGUGGAUUCCACGUGCGGCAAGGGUGGUUCUCCACACGCGCGUGGAAGAUCAUCUCGGCUAUGAACUGGUGAGUAGCGAACCAUGACGUUCUUCCACCGCGGUGGAGAGGCUGACCGAGACCGUUGUUGGAGACAUGAGGGCACAUGUUGGUGUAGAUGUUCAAGUGCCGGCAGUUUUGGAGUAGGCCGAUGUUGAACUCCUUGGGAAGAUCGUACACGUAGACGGUGAAGUUUUGGUUGCAUUUGCGUGGGAGUGAGACUUUGAACUCUGUUGUGAUGGGGAAGUGGAGAAUUAAGAAGAGGAAACAAACUGUGGAGGAGAUAAGGAGAGUGAGAUGUAUCAGCUUGUUGUGUUUUUUGUUUUUUGGGUAUUUCUCUUUCUCUUUGUCCUCCUUCUUCUCUAGCCAGAGAUCGAUCUUGACUUGCCUCAUAUUGUAAACGGAGAAAGAGAAAGAUGAGGUUGAGAAGUCGUGAAAGAUAUUUAAAGAAGAGAGUGUUAUUACUUUUACUUUGAACGGUAGAACAUGAAACCCGGGGACUUAAUUUGUUGUUUUCUAUUGUGAUUUUAUAUUAAAAUUUGUAUGGGUCAAUGUUAGAAGUAAGAGUUUUGAAUUUUAGUUGAUAUUUAAUUCAAGAAAAAACCCACUAUUUUUAUUUAUUUUAACUUUAUAUUGCGAAGAAUUGAUCAUAAUGUAAAAGAAAGUCACAUUCCAGUAUUUGUUUUUAGAAAGAAUGUUUGAAAAUGCUUUAUGUUCUAUCUUUAGAAAUUUUUUUGUCGGUAGCAACUUGUCUUGGUGAUAAAAUCGUCUUUAGUUUCUUGUCCAAGUCACAUUUUACAUUAGUUGCAAACUGUUUUGCUCAAAUGAAAACAUAGCAAAUAUACGUUUAGGCUAGCUAUCAUGAUCAACAACAUCUCCAGCAAGAAAUGAUUUUAGUGGGUCUUGCUUUAAUUGUGUAUAUCUUGUCUCAAGAAUCUAUUGUAUGAUCAAAUUCACAAGUAAAUUAAUAUACCAUAUAAGCCAAUUAAAUAACAAAUGUGAUUGGCUGAUUGGCUCAUGUACAACAAAUACAGUAUUCAUAGUUAAAAUAUGUUAAAAGUGGCUGACAAUCCAGAGCUUCUUGACGAAAUCUCGAAGUAUAGUUUUCAAGGAUAUUAACAUGUGAAGCACGAGAAAAUGUUCGAAAUAAAUUAAGCUUCAAACAUCAUAUUUAGAAGAAGACAAAAAGACAGAGGGAAUAAGUUGCCACAUACUAUUAUUGAUUCAUUGUAAACAAAACUUUAAUUCGAUCUAGAACGUCAUGUAAUCAAUAAAAAAAAAAAAAACUGAUCUCGAUUUGGUUGCGUCUGAAUACAGCCUACUCGUUCUAAAAUUAUGUGUACAUAAGUCAAAUGUAAUAACAAAACAGCAUAAAAUAAACAUGAAUUUUCUGAUAUGUGACGCAAGAAAACAAUCAUUAAACCCAUAAUGACCAAUUCGGAGACAACCUGACAAACUGAAUUAUUAUUAGAUCAUAAUAAAAUGAUAAUCGACUUUCCACGCAGCAUGAAUAAAUAUAUUAUAUUUAGACUUCAAAUUCACCAAACAAAAGAAAGCAAAUCUAGAACCCAUCAAGAUAGUUUCCAUCAACAACAAGAACAAAGAUCAAACACUAAUGUGUAUGUUAUCCAAAACUCAAUGUGUAUGUUAUCCAAAACUUGUCCUUAUUCACUCUAAACAUAGAUUCAACUAGCUUUUGUUCAUCAAAGCACAUAUACAAAUAUUUGUAGAUUAAAAGGCAAAAACCGCAAAGACACUAUUACUAAACCUUUUUGAGCGAUAGAGAAGAUAAGUUUAGGAGAAGGAGGAAAGGAGAAGGAGGCCCGAUGAAGUUAAAAAUCAUACUUAUCUUCUCUAAGGCCUGGCCUUCGAGGGCAGUUUCACAAAACAUAUCAGUCGAUGUUAGUUAAAGCCCAUUCGUAUGAAUAUUGAGGCCCUUAAUAAUGAGAAUUUUUCAACCCAGGCCUUGUUACUUGAUUCAUUUAUUAGUGUAUUAUAUUGGUACGUAUAUACAAAUUGGUAUUACGAGAGUUUUUUCUGUGUAUGGUUCAGAAGAAAACAAAUGAGACAGAAUAAAAACAAUGAGGCUAGUUCAUUGGUAAGUAGAGCUAGUAGCAUGGUUGCAUGCGGCUAAGGCUAGUCAGUAUAGGUCUAUUAUAAUAACUGUUUCAGAUAUCAAAAUGGCAAAUCUCUCUUUUACUAUUUUCAUCAUAGCUACAAAGUAAAUAACAUUAUUACUGCAACUUAUAUCAAUAAAUCACCGCUACGACUUUUUGUAUUAAUACUUUAUCAUCAUUUUACAAAGUUAUAUGAUUAUUUUCUAAUUGAGUAUUUUUUUAAUUGUUUUUAUACAUAGAUAUAUAUUAGCUAUUUAGAUAUAUAUGUAUUCCCAAAAUUAUUAUACAUAGAUAUAUAUUAGCUAUUUAGAUAUGUUAUACGCAUAGAUAUAUUAUACAGACAUAUAACCUAGCACCUACUAGAGUUCUAUAUUCCUAGCUUCAGUAGAAGCAGAAAGAUACAAAAUUUCGAGUUACAACAAAAAUAUUUUUACUCACAAUGAUAACAACAACUCGGUGUUUUUAAAAUUUCAACUAUAACUCAAAGAUAGUUAUGAAAAAUAAAAAAAUAAAAUCAAUAAAUAUUCAAACUGCAAGUUAAGAUCAUGUCCCCACGUGACUAUAUAUAAAACUUCUACACUAGUUUCCAGCAAAAGAUUUUCGUAAUUAAUGAAGUAUAUAUGAACAUGUAAGAGAUAAGAGAAAUGAUAUAUGAACAAUGUAAAAAAUGAAUAAAAGAGUUAAGAGCAUGCAUGUAAUGUAAAUGCAAAUGAGAAAACAAAUAUUAAGGCAGCAGCAGCAGCAACUUUAAACAUUCUUCUGCUUCUUGGAGUGCACGACGGUCCAGAGUGUUUUUUUUCUUUUUCUUUCUUUGAAUCGAUGGCAGGCAGUGUAGAUUGAUUGCUAUAUAACAGUUAGCUGCAACAUUUUUAGUGUAGUUCUGAGCCUAUCUGUCUUAGACACACUAGGCAUGUAUCAUUCCUACUUCUAUACAUACAAAAAAUCUGAUGUAUUUAUCUCUAUACAAUACCGUAUUAUAAGCAUGUUUUGUGUAUGUAGAUGAUAGAGAUGUGGAUGGUCGGAUAUAUAACGGACGUAGAAUCCCGAGAUAAAUCGGAAGAAAGGUACGGGACGAAAACGUUUUUGCUUGACGGAUCUGUCUCUACGUGUGUGGUGUUGGCUUGUAGCGGCGAUACGAAAGAUUUGUAAUUAGUUAAAGUUGUCUUCACAUUGCUUUCUCUCUCUCUCUCUCUCUCUCUUUUUUUUUUCUUUGUCUUAACCGUGACUUGUUCACAUCUUUCGUUCGUGCUUCUAAGUUUCUUUUAUAUCUUUCUAUUUUCUUUUCUUUUUUUUCCAAUUUUGUCACCCUACCAUUUCAAUCUUCUAAUGUUUUUUAAUCUUCACCAGUUAUAUACUAAUAUUAGGAAAUGUUUAUCUGUAAUUAUAUUUCUAAUUGAUUCAUUAUGGUGUAGUUGAAAAGUAGUUGAGAUAUAUAUUGACAGUUUUAUUUAGGAAAUACGUACAGUAUACAGCUUUUAUGUUAUGUUAUAUAUAUUCAAAACUUUAUAUUGCAAUCUUCACUCAAAAGUCUCAAGCAUUUCAAUAUGACAACCUAAAAGUGUAAUAGGUGCCUUGUUAUACGGCGCUGCGGUGGAAACUAUUCACAGCUCUUUCGUCCAAUAUAUAAUUAUAGUAUAUCAAUUUUAAGUUAUGUGGUCAACGUAACAUACUUUUGAGUUGACAUCACCCGAGAGAAUAAACUCACAAAAACCAAACCAUAUAAUAAUAAAAUAAAACAAAAUCAGAAGUAGGAUCGGCCGAAGCUACAUAAGAAAAAUGUCCAAUCAGGUCGGGCUACUGAUAGACCGGUUUGGGUUAACUAUAUAUAGCGAGACAAAUAUUUUAAACUUUUGGGGGGCUUAUUAAUGUGAUCCUUUCCAUCUCAAACCACAUCCAGCUUUAUAACUCCAUUAUCGAACUAUGUUUUACUAGAGUGAUAAAAAAAAAAUUGGUCCCAUGACUCAUUAUAAUUCGUGAAUCGUUCGAGACUGAAUGGUUUCUAUUCACACCAUUCACAUGAUGACGUUACAAACUUACAAUAUAUAUUGUAUAUGAAAUGACCAUAGGUAAAUAGCCAUAUAUAUGAAAAUUUCAUGUAUAGUAGUAGUACUACGCGUAGUAUAUGUAUCAGUGACAUACAUAUACAUAGACAGUGAUUCGUACUCAGAACACGUUGCUUGGAACUAAAAACUCAUCUCUGUCGUUUCCAUUGCAUGUGUAUAAGUGUACUUACAUAUGCUUCUACGAUAGGCCAGUGCUCGUACGAGCUAACCCAUGACAUCAGAAAACCAAUAUAAACAUGUCAUAUCAAUGCAGAUCAAGUUAGAGAUUCGGCCACCUCACCUAGCUAUAUAUGAUCAUCCUCUUUACAUAUAUGUAUGUUAGUAUGUAUCUAUGUGUAGUUAUAAUUCAAGGUCAGAAUUAAUAGGAAGGAACCAUAGAUAUGCUCGAGGCCAUUGCCUCUCCAGUGUAAGCAUAUAUCACCCUGACCACAUAUUAUAUGCUUUUAUAAUUAUCCAACAUAAAAUAAUUGAAAAUAUAUAUUUCUUCAAACGAUUUGCAAACUCGUGCACAUGAGCCAAAAAAAAAGGGGACUAUAUACACAAUUUUAACUCACAAAAAUUGUAGUAAAAAAAAAAGAGUCCCAAUAAUUUUAUAUCUUUCCACCAAAAAAAAACUCUAUUUUCUCUAUGUUACCAAUAGAUAAAUAAAUUAGCAUGUAAAGUGGUCAUGUAAAAUAAUAUUCGAAAGUAAUAACUAUAUGGAUAACAAAUAAAUAUGUGGCAUGUAAAGUGGGGUGUAAAUAUUGGUCGAGUCGAGCUAAUUUUUAUUUUUUUUCCUUUCAAUAAAGAGAAAUAUAUGAAAGUAGUAGUUGAAAGAAACUAGCUAGAGUGAAGCUGAAAAUGCAAAGGGGAAGUUUUACUAGUUAGGGGAAUUCAGCUUGCAUCUAACGGUCUCCAUCUGGAUCUAGUUACUUCUUUUCAUAUAACUUUAUAUGUAGAUAUAUUAAAAAUGUCCUUUUUUAAUUUUAUUUGAACAACCAAACACCAAAACCCAUAGACCAAUUCCCUCCAAUCCCCAAUCCUCACAGCUAGCUUCAGGCCAAAGUAGCUGAGAGUUCUAGAUGAACUCAGAUAAAGGCUGUUACCAAUCUCACUACACAUUGUUUCAUAUAUUAUCAACACAAUCUCUCUCUCUCUCUCUGACCCAUUUGUCCGGUUCCUCUGUCCUCUCGUUGUUCUCUAAUAUUGCAAAUGCUUUAUAUUUUGCUUAUAGUAAUCACUUCCAUUGUGUAUCCAUAAAUGGAAACUUUGUUAAACGUUUACCUUUUAAUUUAUAUCCAAUAGUACACAUCUUCAUGAUUAGUCCCUCUCAUCUUCUAACUAUGUUAACACUUUAAACUCUUAAAUGAAUUCAUUUAACAUCAUGUUGCAUCUGCGAUUGAUCAGUACGAUAAUUUUUCAGUUUUGUAUUUACAUCAUCGCACUACAAUAAUCAAUAAUAAACAUAAAACAAAACCCGUUUGAGAUUAAACAGAGAUAUUUCAACUAGACCAAUAAAAAAACAGCAAGCGGGUCAUUAUGAUUAUAACACAUGUAGGAUCAAUGGCGUUUAGACAAUUCUUGAUCCCACUUUUACAUAAAACCAAACAAAACUACAAAACAAGACAACAAGAAAUACUAAUUAAAAAAAGGAAAAAAAAAAGCAGAGGGAAACUAUUAAAAUUUCAGAGCGAGUGAUGAUCUUGGAAACGGUUGAUGCGGAACCUAAGAGAGUGAUCUAAACGCUGCCGUGAAGCGUCACCAUCAUGACCUAGUGGCGGUUCGAGCGGCGAACGGACGCUGGCUGAUUCACGGUUAGGAAAACCGGUCGGACCAACGGGUGCACCAACACAAGUGUAGCUCGGUUCCACAGGACUAUCGGCCAUGUAGUUAACGGUGGUGGUGGCGGGGAGAUUAGGGUUUGGAGAGAUGCUUCUGCUCCCUCGGAAAGAUGGGUUUAAGUAGUAGUCGCUGAAGUGGUUGUGAUGAGGAGAGUAUUGGUUUGAAGAGUAUGGAUAUGGCGGUGGCGGCGGCAUCGGCGGUUGAGGCACUAAGUUUGUUGAGGAGCUUCCAGGGUAUAGCAUUGGUGAUGAGUAAACCGACCGGUACAUCGUUGGAUCUGUAGUAUGAUAGCUGCCAAUAAUUUUUACAAGAAAAUAAUGUAUACUAAGUACAUUUUGUAACUUAGAUGUUAUAUAACUUUGAAGUUUAAGAGGAAAGUAAAUUACCCAAAAGGUGAAAUUCCAGGUGGGGUUAUGGUAUCGUUACGGUAGACCAGUUGACGAGCUUGAUUCAAUGUCUCGGUCUCCCUCUCUUUAAUAAGUUCAUCGAGACAAGGACAUCAAAAACCAAUGUUUAGUCUUAAAUGCGAUUAGAUACAUCUACUCUUGUUUAGUUGUAGUCAAAGCGUAUGGAUGUGACGUCAAUCAUUUAUAUCAAAAGACAAAGAGGGGUUUAUUUGGACGAACUAAAAAAAGUGUGGGUAUGAAAUCUGGAUUAUAUGAAAGUUUGAAAGAGGUUGAAGGAGAGAGUAAUAUAUGUAUAUAAAUGGACAUGCCUUGUCGGUGGCGAUUCAUGUGGCCACCAAGAGCUUGGGAUUUGCAGAACUUGAGUGAACAAAAUCGACAUUCGUACACCUUCCCACUCUCAUCUUUCCCUUCUUUACUCCCUUUCUUCUUUCUUUGACCUAAGGACCAACAAUAUACAAACCUCACAUUACUUAACACUACCAUUAACACACUAAUACUAGUAUAGUCUUAAUAAAGUUGUAGUUAAGUAAAACAAUCUUUUUAGGGUUUUAUGGUAUGCAUACCAGAGGAGGAACCUUCCUCGUGGGCUUGUUUAUUGCCAUCUUUAGAGAAAUCAUCAGGAAGAUUGUUGAGGUCUAAGUAAUUCUCCUCAUGCCUCCUGUAAGAAUAUUUCAUUAAAGAAAGUGUAAGUAUAAAGAUUAGGGAAAGUAUUAAGGGAAGAUAGAACUAAGAAAGUGAUCUUGUGGGGUACAUAGUGAGAUUGGCGUGAGAUAAGACUUCUCCCGAAGAGCUAGAAUAAUUGAGAAUAUAUUUUAGAAGACUUUCAGUUGGAGGCGGCACCACAAAAGGAAGAGAGAAAAAAUAAAACGUAGAGAGUAGUAAAAGUUAAAUAAGAGAGGUUCGAAAGUUUUCUAUCAGUUUAUCUGCCACAAACCCUCCCUCCCAUCUCUCUCUAUCUUUCUCUGUUUCUCUCUCUGCGUGUGGAAACUAAAUUAACAAAGUGGGUCUCGUGACCUUUAAAAAGAUGAGGUUUGGUCAUGUAGGUUUAAGGGGGUGUUUAAUUAAACCAGAGAGAACGUGUUUGUGUUUGAGUUUGUGUGUGUGUGUGUGUGCAUGUAUGUGUGUGUGUGUGUGUGAUGAAAGAGAGAGAUGAUAGGGACAUUUCCUGAGUGAAAGGAGAUGCUAGGGCUACUACCCUAGAACCCUAUUACUGUACAAUUAAUUCAUGUUAAAGAAGACAAACUCUUAAGAACUCUUUUUUCAAAAAGAAUCAAUGAGUUUGGAUCUUUUAGUUGUGUAUACAUAUAUCUUUAUAGAAAUCAAGAAAAAAAAGUUAUAGGAGAUUCCUUUAAACUAGUUAAGUUAGUCGGACUUGUAAAUUCGAACUUUGGAUAGAAAAUGUAUCUUUGAAACUUUAGAUCGAUUUAUGAUAUUUUUCAGGUUAAGGAUUAUGUUAUUUAUUGAGCACUUCCACUAGUUUUUUCCCUAUUGUUGGACAAAAUGACUAUAUAUGUUAUUAACUAUAGACAUAUAGAAAAUGUGGAAAAAGUUAUGAAGACUGGCUCUCAUGAAAUCAACCUCAAAAUUGCACAAACAAUGGAAAGAAACAUUAGGUAAGUUGAAGAUGCGCUUAUAUUAGAAUAAAAAUACAAAGAAUAUGAAAAACGUUGUGGUUAAAUUAGGUUUAAAUUUAAUUAAAAUAUUAGGCUUCUAAAAUAAGAAAACAAGAGUAGUACUUUUUGAACAAUGAAUUAAAUGUGGAAAGACACAUCUAGCGAAUCAUUGUCUCUUGAUAAAGAAUCUUUCAUGAAUAGUUUGCAGCUACAAGAUGGUCCUUGAUGAACUUGUGAUCCUCACUUAAGCAUAGAGAGGAAAGAACCAAGUAACUAAAAGAGAAUAGAUUUUAUACUUUUAAGGACAAUCCGAUACAUGGCUAGUUCUAUGGUCCUGCUGUUUUGAACAAUACGUUUUGAGAAGUUUUACAAUAAAUAUUUGUGUAUAAAUUGCUAGCUAGUAAUGGUCCCCCAUAUGUAGAUGCAAUGUAAUGCUAUGGCUAGGCCUCUCCUGGGGGCAUCCACAUCAAAUAAAAAUUUACAAUCAAAAUUGUUUUUUGUACCCUAGGGUUUUGCAAAUGGGACAUGCAAGUGUUGCUAUCACAUAACUAAUUAUUAGGGUCCUUUGUGAUCUUAAGUUAGAUAUGCAUGUCGUCUGUUAUCUUUAUCUUCCCAUUACUUGUUUUUAUAUACUCAAUAUUACGUGGUUCGUAAAUGAUCCCCAAUUAAUAUAAUGUAAUUCAAUCAAAAGUAAAACAUUGGGAUAAUCAUAUUACCACAUGCUAUUUCUACUUUGGACAUAUCUUGCAGAACUAACGUAAGAUCUAUAACAUGUACUUUCCUCAUCCAAUAUCUAUAAACUGUUUCGUUUGUGACCAUUCGAUUGUGUGCAUGGCGAUGCUAACUAAUUAGUAUAUAUGAAGCAAUAAACUAGUGCCCGUGUAAUAUGUACAUAUAUUUCUCUCUUCUCUACUUGGACAGAUGAGAUGCUCAAAUUUUACAAUUCACGGCCACGGAAGCGUGUGUGUCACGUGCCAAGUGGCUUGAAGUUGAAGGUCAAAAACUUCAAAACCCCCAAAAAAAAGUGUAUAUAUGCUCGUGAGUCGUGGCCGACCUACAUAAUAAAAAGGAAUAUGUUGUUUAUAUAAAGUCAAGCCUAACACCGUUAUUUCACGGCCUUGUACAAUAAGCAAGUUAUGACUCCAUGAGUUGUGACAAGACAGAGAUUGUUAGUUUCGAGUUCAUCAAAUCAAAACCAACGCGACCGAACCUUCAAUCAUAGUCGACGCGAGCUACGAACAUAUUUUCUUUGUCGUGAUUUUGGUCAUUUAGCUAGUUAGAUCGACUUUACUUAUGUAUUAAUCAUAACUUAUGCAAUCAUAAGAUGGUACUAAUUAGUUCUUAAGGAUUUUAGUAUUGAUUAAUAUCUAUGCAUAAACAGAUACUUUUUGGGGUCAAACGUCUAUAAAGAGUAGAGAUAAGUCGAUAUUUGUAACAUAUGAAUUGUGACAUGGUCAAAAACUUCCAUCCUAGGUAAGAUGAUCAAUUACUUGUUUCAGUAUCCCAAAAUAUAUACGAAAAUACGACUGAUCAUUAAAUUAAAAACGAUAAUGAUGAUGAGGAGGCUCCAAAGAACCAUAAUUCUUUUUUUUUUGCAUUUUUAUGAAUUUGCAUAAGUUAUGAGUAGGAAAGAGAGAGAGAAGGGGGGAUCAGGUGAGAGAAGGACCACACUACUACUCCAAGACUGUCACGGCUAGUAAGCUACGACUUCUAAUCUCUCCCUCUUUGUUUUUCUUUUUAACCUUUAACUUUUUUUUAUUUUAUUUUUUUAUUUUGUAAUGGUUGAGAGAUGAAGAAGACACUUAUUUUUGUUGUAUAUUAUUGAUACUUCAAAUGGUAGGAGCAUAAUUAUUAAUUUGUUCUGUAUCAUCCUUGUCAUAAC